rnacentral:lncRNA from 1 species
AACUUUGUUCUCAUACAUGGAUCCCAUCUCAGAUUUCAUGGCCUCAAGCCAUUUCGCGGAAUCUGGGCUCAUCAUCGCUUCCUCAUAGUUCGUAGGUUUGUCAUGGUCAAGUAACAUGACCUCCAGAACAUGAUUACCGUACCACUCUGGUGCGGAUCUUACUCUGGUUGACCUACGAGGUUCGGUAGUGACUUGAUCUGAAGUUACAUGAUCAUCGUCAUUAGCUUCCUCACUAAUUGGUGUAGGAGUCACAGGAACAGAAUUCUGUGAUGAACUACUUUCCAAUAAGGGAGCAGGUACAGUUACCUCAUCAAGUUCUACUUUCCUCCCACUCACUUCUUUCGAGAGAAACUCCUUCUCUAGAAAGGAUCCAUUCUUAGCAACGAAUGUCUUGCCUUUAGAUCUGUGAUAGAAGGUGUACCCAACAGUCUCCUUUGGGUAUCCUAUGAAGACACCUUUCUCCGAUUUGGGUUCGAGCUUAUCCGAUAUGGGUAUAUGGUGCCCUAUUUAACAUGAAUGCAGCAGUCUUUGAAAUUCUUUGAACUUUUCAAAUGUUUCAGACUUAUGCUUCAUCAAGUAGAUAUACCCAUAUCUGCUCAAAUCAUGUGUGAAGGUGAGAAAAUACCCGCCACGUGCCUCAACAUUCAUCGGACCACAUACAUCAGUAUGUAUGAUUUCCAACAAAUCUGUUGCUCGCUCCAUUAUUCCGGAGAACGGAGUUUUAGUCAUCUUGGCCAUGAGGCAUGGUUCACAAGUACCAAGUGAUUCAUAAUCAAGUGAUUCCAAAAGUCCAUUAGAAUGGAGUUUCUUCAUGCGCUUUACACUAAUAUGACCCAAACGACAGUGCCACAAAUAAGUUGCACUAUCAUUAUCAACUCUGCAUCUUUUGGCUUCAGUAUUAUGAAUGUGUGUAUCACUACUAUCGAGAUUCAAUAAAAAUAGACCACUCUUCAAGGGUGCAUGACCAUAAAAGAUAUUACUCAUAUAAAUAGAACAACCAUUAUUCUCUGAUUUAAAUGAAUAACCGACUCGCAUCAAACAAGAUCCAGAUAUAAUGUUCAUGCUUAACGCUGGCACCAAAUAACAAUUAUUCAGGUCUAAAACUAAUCCCGAAGGUAGAUGUAGAGGUAGCGUGCCGACCGCGAUCACAUCGACUUUGGAACCAUUUCCCACGCGCAUUGUCACCUUGUCCUUAGCCAAUCUUCGCUUAAUCCGCAGUCCCUGUUUUCGAGUUGCAAAUAUUAGCAACAGAGCAGGUAUCAAAUACCCAGGUGCUACUGCGAGCAUUAGUAAGGUACACAUCAAUAACAUGUAUAUCACAUAUACCUUUGUUCACCUUGCCAUCCUUCUUAUCCGUCAAAUACUUGGGGCAGUUCUGCUUCCAGUGACCAGUCCCUUUGCAGUAGAAGCACUCAGUCUCAGGCUUAGGUCCAGACUUGGGCUUCUUCACUUGAGCAGGAACUUGCUUGCCGUUCUUCUUGAAGCUCCCCUUACUCCCUUUACCCUUUUUCUUGAAACUGGUGGUCUUGUUGACCAUCAACACUUGAUGCUCCUUCUUAAUUUCUACCUUUGCAGCUUUUAGCAUUGCGAAGAGCUCGGGAACUGUUUUAUCCAUCCCUUGCAUAUUAUAGUUCAUCACGAAGCUCUUGUAGCUUGGUGACAGUGAUUGAAGGAUUCUGUCAAUGACACUAUCAUCAGGAAGAUUAACUCCCAUUUGAAUCAAGUGAUUAUAGUACCCAAACAUUCUGAGUAUAUGUUCACUGACGGAACUAUUCUCCUCCAUUUUGCAGCUAUAGAACUUAUUGGAGACUUCAUAUCUCUCAAUCCGGGCAUUUGCUUGAAAUAUUAACUUCAACUCCUGGAAUAUCUCAUAUGCUCCAUGACGUUCAAAACAUUGUUGAAGUCCCGGUUCUAAACCGUAAAGCAUGGCACACUGAACUAUCGAGUAGUCAUCAACACGCGACUGCCAGGCAUUCACAAUGUCUACAGUUGCCGGUGCGGGUGGUACACCUAGCGGUGCUUCCAGGACGUAAUUCUUCUGUGUAUCAAUGAGGAUAAUCCUCAAGUUACAGACCCAGUCUGUGUAGUUGCUACCAUCAUCUUUCAACUUAGCUUUCUCUAGGAACGCUUUAAAAUUCAACGGCACAACAACACGGGCCAUCUAUCUACAACAACAUAGACAUGCAAAAUACUAUCAGGUACUAAGUUCAUGAUAAAUUAAAGUUCAAUUAAUCAUAUUACUAAAGAACUCCCACUUAGAUAGACAUCCCUCUAAUAAUCUAAGUGAUCACGUGAUCCAAAUCAACUAAACCAUGUCUGAUCAUCACGUGAGAUGGAGUAGUUUUCAAUGGUGAACAUCACUAUGUUGAUCAUAUCUACUAUAUGAUUCACGCUCGACCUUUCGGUCUCAGUGUUCCGAGGCCAUAUCUGCAUAUGCUAGGAUCGUCAAGUUUAACCCGAGUAUUUUGCGUGUGCAAAACUGACUUGCACCCGUUGUAUGUGAACGUAGAGCUUAUCACACCCGAUCAUCACGUGGUGUCUCGGCACGACGAACUUUCACAACGGUGCAUACUCGGGGAGAACACUUGUACCUUGAAAUUUAGUGAGAGAUCAUCUUAUAAUGCUACCGUCAAACUAAGAAAAAUAAGGUGCAUAAAGGAUAAACAUCACAAGCAAUCAAUAUAAGUGAUAUGAUAUGGACAUCAUCAUCUUGUGCCUUUGAUCUCCAUCUCCAAAGCACCGUCAUGAUCACCAUCGUCACCGGCGUGACACCUUGAUCUCCAUCAUAGCAUCGUUGUCGUCUCGCCAACUAUUGCUUCUACGACUAUCGCUAUCGCUUAGUAAUAAAGUAAAGCAAUUACAUGGCGAUUGCAUUUCAUACAAUAAAGCGACAACCAUAUGGCUCCUGCCAGUUGCCAAUAACUCUGUUACAAAACAUGAUCAUCUCAUACAAUAAAAUUUAGCAUCAUGUCUUGACCAUAUCACAUCACAAUAUGCCCUGCAAAAACAACUUAGACGUCCUCUACUUUGUUGUUGCAAGUUUUACGUGGCUGCUACGGGCUGAGCAAGAACCGUUCUUACCUACGCAUUAAAACCACAAUGAUUUUUCGUCAAGUAUGUGCUGUUUUAACCUUCAACAAGGACCGGGCGUAGCCACACUCGAUUCAACUAAAGUUGGAGAAACUGACACCCGCCAGCUGAUACGUCUCCAAUGUAUCUAUAAUUUUUUAUUGUUCCAUGCUAUAUUAUAUUCUGUUUUGGAUGUUUAAUGGGCCUUAUUAUACACGUUUAUAUUAUUUUUGGGACUAGCCUAUUAACCGGAGGCCCAGCCCAAAUUGCUAUUUUUUUUGCCUAUUUCAGUGUUUCGCGGAAAAAGAAUAUCAAACGGAGUCCAAACGGAAUGAAACCUUCGGGAACGUGAUUUUCGGAACAAACGUGAUCCAUAGGACUUGGAGUGGAUGUCAGGCAACAGACGAGGAAGCCAGGAGGUAGGGGGGCGCGCCCUCCGCCCUCGUGGGCCCAUCGCGGCUCCACCGACCUACUUCUUCCUCCUAUAUAUACCUACGUACCCCCAAACCAUCAGAGGCGACCACGAAAACCUAAUUCCACCGCCGCAACCUUCUGUACCCAUGAGAUCCCAUCUUGGGGCCUUUUCCGGCAUCCUGCCGGAGGGGGCAUUGGUCAUGGAGGGCUUCUACAUCAACACCAUAGCCUUGAUACGUCCAUUUUGCAUCAUGCUUUUAUAUCGAUAUUUAUUGCAUUAUGGGUUGUUAUUACACAUUAUGCCACAAUACUUAUGUCUAUUCUCUCUUAUUUUACAAGGUUUAUAUGAAGAGGGAGAAUGCCGGCAGCUGGAAUUCUGGGCUGGAAAAGGAGCAAAUAUUAGAGACCUAUUCUGCACAACUCCAAAAGUCCUGAAACUCCACGGAAGUUAUUUUGAAAAUAUAUAUAAAAUAUCGAGCGGAAGAAAUACCAGAGGGGGGCCACCCACCAGGAACGAGGGUGGGGGGCGCGCCCUACCCCCCUGGGUGCGCCCUACCUCGUGGGCCCCGUGGUGGCCCUCCGGUGGCCAUCUUCUGCUAUAUGAAGUCUUUCGUCCGAAGAAAAAUAAUAAGCAAACUUUCGGGACGAGACUCCGCCGCCACAAGGCGGAACCUUGGCGGAACCAAUCUAGGGCUCUGGCGGAGUUGUUCUGCCGGGGACACUUCCCUCCGGGAGGGGGAAAUCAUCGCCAUCGUCAUCACCAACGCUCCUCUCAUCGGGAGGGGGGCAAUCUCCAUCAACAUCUUCACCAGCACCAUCUCCUCUCAAACCCUAGUUCAUCUCUUGUAUCCAAUUCUUGUCUCUAAGUCUGGGAUUGGUACCUGCAGGUUGCUAGUAGUGUUGAUUACUCCUUGUAGUUGAUGCUAGUUGGUUUAUUUGGUGGAAGAUCAUAUGUUCAGAUCCUUUAUGCAUAUUAAUACUCCUCUGAUUAUGAACAUGAAUAUGCUUUAUGAGUAGUUACGUUUGUUCCUGAGGACAUGGGAGAAGUCUUGCUAUUAGUAGUCAGGUGAAUUUGGUAUUCGUUCGAUAUUUUGAUGAGAUGUAUGUUGUCUCUCCUCUAGUGGUGUCAUGUGAACAUCGACUACAUGACACUUCACCAUUAUUUGGGCCUAGAGGAAGGCAUUGGGAAGUAAUAAGUAGAUGAUGGGUUGCUAGAGUGACAGAAGCUUAAACCCUAGUUUCUGCGUUGCUUCGUAAGGGGCUGAUUUGGAUCCAUAUGUUUCAUGCUAUGGUUAGGUUUACCUUAAUACUUCUUUUGUAGUUGCGCAUGCUUGCAAUAGGAGUUAAUCAUAAGUGGGAUGUUUGUCCAAGUAAGGACAGCACCCAAGCACCGGUCCACCCACAUAUCAAAUUAUCAAAGUACCGAACGCGAAUCAUAUGAAUGUGAUGAAAACUAGCUUGACGAUAAUUCCCAUGUGUCCUCGGGAGCGCUUUUCUAUAUAUAAGAGUUUGUCCAGGCUUGUCCUUUGCUACAAAAAGGAUUGGGCCACCUUGCUGCACUUUAUUUACUUUUGUUACUUGUUGCUCGUUACAAAUUAUCUUAUCACAAAACUAUCAGUUACCUAUAAUUUCAGUGCUUGCACAGAAUACCUUGCUGAAAACCGCUUAUCAUUUCCUUCUGCUCCUCAUUGGGUUCGACACUCUUACUUAUCGAAAGGACUACGAUAGAUCCCCUAUACUUGUGCGUCAUCAAGACUCUUUUCUGGCACCGUUGCCGGGGAGUGAAGCGCCUUUGGUAGGUGGAAUUUGGUAAGGAAAAGUUUAUAUAGUGUGCUGAAAUUUACUGUCACUUGUUACUAUGGAAAGUAAUCCCCUGAGGGGCUUGUUCGGGGUAUCUUCACCCCGACCAGUAGAGCAAAGAGUUGCUCCUCAACCUACUGAAACUACUGAAAAUGAAAAUGUCUACUUUGAAAUUCCUUCGGGUAUGAUAGAAAAACUGCUAGCUAAUCCUUUUGCAGGAGAUGGAACAUUACAUCCUGAUGAGCACCUAAUCUAUGUGGAUGAAGUUUGUGGAUUAUCUAAGCUUGCAGGUAUGCCCGAUGAUGUUAUCAAGAAGAAGUUCUUCCCUUUAUCUUUGAAGGGAGAUGCAUUGACAUGGUAUAGGCUAUGUGAUGAUAUGGGAUCAUGGAACUACAAGCGAUUGAAAUUGGAAUUUCAUCAGAAGUUUUAUCCUAUGCAUCUUGUUCAUCGUGAUCAUAAUUAUAUAUAUAUAUAUAAUUUUUGGCCUCGCGAAGGAGAAAGCAUCGCUCAAGCUUGGGGGAGGCUUAAGUCAAUGUUAUAUUCAUGCCCCAAUCAUGAGCUCUCAAGAGAAAUGAUUAUUGAAAAUUUUUAUGCUCGGCUUUCUGACAACAACCGCACCAUGCUCGAUACUUCUUGUACUGGUUCUUUUAUGAUGAAGACUAUUGAAUUCAAAUGGGAUUUAUUGGAAAGAAUUAAACACAACUCUGAAGAUUGGAACCUCGACGAAGGUAAGGAGUCAGGUAUAACACCUAAGUUUGAUUGUGUUAAAUCUUUUAUGGAUACCGAUGUUUUCUGUAAAUUUAGCACUAAAUAUGGACUUGACUCUGAGAUAGUAGCUUCUUUCUGUGAAUCCUUUGCUACUCAUGUUGAUCUCCCUAAGGAGAAGUGGUUUAAAUAUCAUUCUCCCAUAGAAGUAAAAGUAGUUGCACCUAUUAAAGUUGAAGAAAAGACUAUCACUUAUAAUGAUCAUAUUGUUCCUACUGCUUAUGUUGAUAAACCACCUUUCCCUGUUAGAAUAAAGGAUCAUGCUAAAGCUUCAACUGUGGUUCGUAAAAGCAAUAUUAGAACUUAUACUCCUCCUGAACAAGUUAAAGUUGAACCUAAUAUUGCUAUUUUUAAAGAUCUCUUGGCUGAUAAUAUUGAUGGGCAUGUUAUUUAUUUCUGUGAUGAGACUGCUAGAAUUGCUAAACCUUGUGCUAAAGAUAAACAUAGACCUGUGGUAGGCAUGCCUGUCAUUUCUGUUAAAAUAGGAGAUCAUUGUUAUCAUGGCUUAUGUGACAUGGGUGCUAGUGCUAGUGCAAUACCUAUUGACUUAUACAAAGAAAUUAUGCAUGAUAUUGCACCUACUGAGUUAGAAGAAAUUGAUGUCACAAUUAAGCUUGCCAAUAGAGAUACUAUUUCACCAAUUGGAAUUGUUAGAGAUGUUGAAGUCUUGUGUGGGAAAACUAAAUAUCCUGCUGAUUUUCUUGUUCUUGGUUCCCCACAAGAUAGCUUUUGUCCCAUUAUAUUUGGUAGGCCCUUCUUGAACACUGUUAAUGCUAAGAUAGACUGCGAAAAGGAUGUUGUUACUAUUGGUUUAGGUGAUAUGUCUCAUGAGUUCAAUUUCUCUAAAUUUCGUAGACAACACCGUGAAGAGGAAUUGCCUAGUAAAGAUGAAAUUAUUGGUCUUGCCUCUAUUGCCGUACCUCCUAGUGAUCCUUUAGAACAAUAUUUGCUAGACCAUGAAAAUGAUAUGUUUAUGAAUGAAAGAAGGGAAAUAGAUGAAGUGUUCUUUAAACAGGGACCUAUUCUGAAACACAAUUUGCCUGUUGAAAUAUUAGGGGAUCCUCCUCCACCCAAGGGUGAUCCCGUGUUUGAGCUUAAACCAUUGCCUGAUACUCUUAAAUAUGCUUAUCUUGAUGAAAAGAAGAUAUAUCCUGUUAUUAUUAGUGCUAACCUUUCAUAGAAGGAGGAAGAAAAAAUAUUGAAAACUUUGAAGAAGCACCGUGCUACUAUUGGAUAUACUCUUGAUGAUCUUAAGGGCAUUAGUCCCACUCUAUGCCAACACAAAAUAAAUUUGGAGAAAGAUGCCAAACCAGUUAUUGAUCACCAACGACGACUCAAUCCUAAGAUGAAAGAAGUGGUAAGAAAGGAAAUAUUAAAGCUCCUUGAGGCAGGUAUAACUUAUCCCGUUGCUGAUAGCUAGUGGGUAAGUCCUGUCCAUUGUGUCCCUAAGAAAGGAGGUAUUACUGUCAUUCCUAAUGAUAAAGAUGAAUUGAUUCCGCAAAGAAUUAUUACAGGUUAUAGGAUGGUAAUUGAUUUCCGCAAAUUAAAUAAAGCUACUAAAAAAGAGCAUUACCCCUUACCUUUUAUUGAUCAAAUGCUAGAAAGGUUAUCCAAACAUACACAUUUUUGCUUUCUAGAUGGUUAUUCUGGCUUCUCUCAAAUACCUGUGUCAGCUGAUGAUCAAGCAAAGACCAGAUUUACUUGCCCUUUCGGUACUUUUGCUUAUAGACGUAUGCCUUUUGGUUUAUGUAAUGCACCUGCUACCUUUCAAGGAUGCAUGAUGGCUAUAUUCUCUGAUUUUUGUGAAAAGAUUUGUGAGGUUUUCAUGGACGAUUUCUCCGUUUAUGGAUCCUCUUUUGAUGAUUGCUUGAUCAACCUUGAUCGAGUUUUGCAGAGAUGUGAAGAAACUAAUCUUGUCUUGAAUUAGGAGAAGUGCCACUUUAUGGUUAAUGAGGGCAUUGUCUUGGGGCAUAAAAUUUCUAAAAGAGGUAUUGAAGUUGAUAAAGCUAAAGUCAAUGCUAUUGAAAAGAUGCCAUGUACCAAGGACAUCAAAGGUAUAAGAAGUUUCCUUGGUCAUGCCGGUUUUUAUAGGAGGUUCAUUAAGGACUUCUCAAAAAUUUCUCGGCCUCUGACUAAUCUAUUACAAAAAGAUAUACCAUUUGUCUUUGAUGAUGAUUGUGUAGAAGCAUUUGAAAUACUUAAGAAAGCAUUGAUUUCUGCACCUAUUGUUCAGCCACCUGCUUGGAAUUUACCCUUUGAAAUUAUGUGUGAUGCUAGUGAUUAUGUUGUAGGUGUUGUUCUAGGGCAAAGAGUUGAUAAGAAAUUAGAUGUUAUUCAAUAUGCUAGUAAAACUCUAGACAGUGCUCAGAGAAAUUAUGCUACUACUGAAAAAGAAUUCUUAGCAGUUGUAUUUGCUUGUGAUAAGUUCAGACCUUAUAUUGUUGAUUUUAAAGUAACUAUUCACACUGAUCAUGCUACUAUUAAAUAUCUUAUGGAAAAGAAAGAUGCUAAAUCUAGACUUAUUAUAUGGGUUCUCUUGCUACAAGAAUUUGAUUUGCAUAUUAUUGAUAGAAAGGGAGCUGAGAACCCCAUUGCAGACAACUUGUCUAGGUUAGAAAAUGUUCUUGAUGACCCACUACCUAUUGAUGAUAGCUUUCCUGAUGAACAAUUAAAUGUCAUAAAUGCUUCUCGUACUGCUCCAUGGUAUGCUGAUUAUGCUAAUUACAUUGUUGCUAAAUUUUUACCACCUAGUUUCACAUACCAGCAAAAGAAAAAGUUUUUCUAUGAUUUGAGACAUUACUUUUGGGAUGACCCACAUCUUUAUAAAGAAGGAGUAGAUGGUGUUAUUAGACGUUGUGUACCUGAGCAUGAACAGGAACAUAUCCUACGCAAGUGUCACUCCGAGGCUUAUGGAGGACACCACGCUGGAGAUAGAACUGCACAUAAGGUAUUGCAAUCCGGUUUUUAUUGGCCUACUCUCUUCAAGGAUGCUCGUAAGUUUGUCUUAUCUUGCGAUGAAUGUCAAAGAAUUGGUAAUAUUAGUAGACGUCAAGAAAUGCCUAUGAAUUAUUCACUUGUUAUUGAACCAUUUGAUGUUUGGGGCUUUGAUUAUAUGGGACCGUUUCCUGCCUCUAAUGGAUAUACACAUAUUUUAGUUGCUGUUGAUUACAUUACUAAGUGGGUAGAAGCUAUUCCAACUAGUAGUGCUGAUCAUAACACCUCUAUUAAGAUGCUUAAAGAAGUUAUUUUUCGAGGUUUGGAGUCCCUAGAUAUUUAAUGACUGAUGGUGGUUCACAUUUUAUUCAUGGUGCUUUCCGUAAAAUGCUUGCCAAGUAUGAUGUUAAUCAUAGAAUUGCAUCUCCUUAUCACCCAUAGUCUAGUGGUCAAGUGGAAUUGAGUAAUAGAGAACUCAAAUUAAUUUUGCAAAAGACUGUUAAUAGAUCUAGAAAGAAUUGGUCCAAGAAACUUGAUGAUGCAUUACGGGCCUAUAGAACUGCAUAUAAGAAUCCUAUGGGCAUGUCUCCGUAUAAAAUUGUUUAUGGAAAAGCAUGUCACUUACCUCUCGAACUAGAACAUAAGGCAUAUUAGGCUAUUAAAGAGCUCAACUAUGAUUCAAACUUGCUAGUGAGAAGAGGUUAUUUGACAUUAGCUCACUUGAUGAAUGGAGAACCCAAGGUUAUGAGAAUGCCAAACUAUUUAAAGAAAAAGUUAAAAGAUGGCAUGACAGAAGAAUACAAAAGCGUGAGUUUAAUGUAGGUGAUUAUGUAUUAUUAUACAACUCUCGUUUAAGAUUUUUUGCAGGAAAACUUCUCUCUAAAUGGGAAGGUCCUUACGUUAUCGAGGAGGUCUAUCGUUCCGGUGCCAUAAAAAUCAACAACUUCGAAGGCACAAAUCCAAAGGUGGUGAACGAUCAAAGAAUCAAACAUUAUAUCUCAGGUAGCCCUAUAAAUGUCGAAACCAAUGUUAUUGAAACCGUAACCCCGGAGGAAUACAUAAGGGACACUUUCCAGAACGUUUCAGACUCCGAAAAGGAAUAGGUAUGUGGCACGGUAAGUAAACCGACUCCAAAACAGUUCUAAUGGCAAUUUUUCUCCAUUUUGGAAUAUUUAGAAAAAUAGAAAAAUAAGAAGCAGUCCGGGAAGGACACAAGGGUGGAGGGCGCGCCCUGCCCCCUAGGCGCGCCCCCUGCCUCGUGGGCACCUCAUGUGCUCUCCGGACUCCGUUUUCUUGCACGAUACGUAUUUUGGUCGGUAAAAAUUCAUUAUAUAAUCUCCCGAAGUUUUUGACCACCGUAUCACGCAAUUAUCCUCUGUUCUUGUUUCGAGCUGCUUUUCUGACAGAUCUAGAUCACCAUGACCUCUCCAAGCUCCCCCAAGGACAAGUUCUUCGAGAAGGUCAUCAACCCUUACCUCGCGGAGGUGCUGCGACACCCUCAAACCAUUGAGAUGCGUGAUGGGUUGCUGCACAUCCGCGAUGUUGAGGGACCAAGGAGGACCGGAAGCAUGGAGACGAGGCUCGAAGCAAUGGAGCAACAAGUUUUCAAGUGCCAGGGGAUGGUGGAACAUGGACUCAACGCCAACCACAUGAUGAUCGCGGAGUUCACCAACAACCACAAGCCGGAUGCCAAGAACAUUGAGGAGGCCAUCUUCAAGCUUCACGAGAAGAUCGAGCACCUCCAAGCCCAAAUCUAUGACCUGCAAAACCAAAACUGUGAGUAUGAAUAUAGAUUCAAAAUGAUGAGUUUGGCUGCAGAUUUGAGGAUCCCGGAGACUCGAUCAUCCUUCUAUGAUGGUGAGCCUAUGCCUUGGAAGACGUACGACAAGCCUACAUCAUCAUCAACUCCACCAUCUUCUUCACCAGCAAAGGAGACAUAAUCAUAUGGGCAUGGGCAUUCCCCUUGGCAACUGCCAAGCUUGGGGGAGGUGCCCCGGUAUCGUAUCACCAUCACACUCCUAUCUUUACCGUUUUUCUUAGCUCGAUCCUUUUAGUAUUAUCUUGAUCUAGUACAAUAAAGUUUUUUGGUAUGAUCUAGUUUUGAGUUUUGCCUUAUGAUUCCUCUAUGUAAUCGAGUCUGUGAGCUAUAUAAUAAAGAUUAGUGUUGAGUCAAGGGCUUGAUUAUUUUGUUAUGAUCUUGAGGGAAUAAAAGAAAAGAGAAAGAAUAAAAAGAAACAAAGAGAUCAUAUUGAUCUUAUGGAGAGUAAUGACUUCACAUAGAAAGAGUAUGAUGAUUAAAAGUUGUUGAGAGUUGACAAACAUAGCUUUGGUCAUCGUUGCAAUUAAUAGGAAGUAAUAAAUAAAGAGAGGUUUCACAUAUAAAUAUACUAUCUUGGACAUCUUCUAUGAUUGUGAGCACUCAUUAAAAUAUGACAUGCUAAAGAGUUGACGUUGGACAAGGAAGACAACGUAAUGGGUUAUGUUUUCUUAUAUCUGAGAUAAAGUAUAUUGUCAUGGAUCAUCCAACAUGUUGAGCUUGCCUUUCCCCCUCAUGCUAGCCAAAUUCUUUGCACUAAGUAGAGAUACUACUUGUUCUUCCAAAUAUCCUUAAACCCAGUUUUGCCAUGAGAGUCCACCAUAUCUACCUAUGGAUUGAGUAAGAUCCUUCAAGUAAGUUGUCAUCGGUGCAAGCAAUAAAAAUUGCUCUCUAAAUAUGUAUGACUUAUUAGUGUGGGAGAAAAUAAGCUUUAUACGAUCUUGUGAUGUGGAAGAAAUAAAAGCGACGAACUGCAUAAUAAAGGUCCACAUCACAAGUGGCAAUAUAAAGUGACAUUCUUUUGCAUUAAGAUUUCGUGCAUCCAACCAUGAAAGCGCAUGACAACCUCUGCUUCCCUCUACAAAGGGCCUAUCUUUUACUUUUAUCUCUUACCCUUAUGCAAGAGUCAUGGUGAUCUUCACCUUUCCUCUUUUUCAUUUUAUCCUUUGGAAAGCACAGUGUGUUGGAAAGAUCCUGAUAUAUAUCCAAUUGGAUGUAAGUUAGCAUGAACUAUUAUUGUUGACAUUACCCUUGAGGUAAAAGGUUGGGAGGCGAAACUAUAAGCCCCUAUCUUUCUUUGUGUCCGAUUAAAACUCUGUAACCACAAGUAUUGCGUGAGUGUUAGCAAUUGUGAAAGACUAAAUGAUAGUUGAGUAUGUGGACUUGCUGAAAAGCUCUGACAUAGACUCUUUCUGAUGUUAUGAUAAAUUGCAAUUGCUUCAAUGACUGAGAUUAUAGUUUGUUAGUUCUUAAUGAAGUUUCCGAUUCAUACUUGACAUUGUGAAUAGAUUAUUACUUGAGCACAAGAAAUCAUAUGACAAUAUUCAUAUAUGUUGCUGUUAUAAGAAUAAUCAUGAUGCCCUCAUGUCCGUAUUUUAUUUUAUCGACACCUCUACCUCUAAACAUGUGGACAUAUUUAUCGUUAUCGGCUUCCGCUUGAGGACAAGCGAGGUCUAAGCUUGGGGAGUUGAUACGUCCAUUUUGCAUCAUGCUUUUCUAUCGAUAUUUAUUGCAUUAUGGGUUGUUAUUACACAUUAUGUCACAAUACUUAUGUCUAUUCUCUCUUAUUUUACAAGGUUUAUAUGAAGAGGGAGAAUACCGGUAGCUGGAAUUCUGGGCUGGAAAAGGAGCAAAUAUUAGAGACCUAUUCUGCACAACUCCAAAAGUCCUGAAACUCCACGGAAGUUAUUUUUAGAAUAUAUAAAAAAUAUUGAGCAGAAGAAAUACCAGAGGGAGGCCACCCACCAGGCACGAGGGUGGGGGGCACGCCCCCUGCCUCGUGGGCCCCCUGGUGGCCCUCCGGUGGCCAUCUUCUGCUAUAUGAAGUCUUUCGUCCGAAGAAAAAUAAUAAGCAAGCUUUCGGGACGAGACUCCGCCGGCACGAGGCGGAACCUUGGCGGUACCAAUGUAGGGCUCUGGGGGAGCUAUUCUGCCGGGGACACUUCCCUCCGGGAGGGGGAAAUCAUCGCCAUCGUCAUCACCAACGCUCCUCUCAUCGGGAGGGGGCAAUCUCCAUCAACAUCUUCACCAGCACCAUCUCCUCUCAAACCCUAGUUCAUCUCUUGUAUCCAAUUAUUGUCUCUAAGUCUGGGAUUGGUACCUGCAGGUUGCUAGUAGUGUUGAUUACUCCUUGUAGUUGAUGCUAGUUGGUUUAUUUGGUGGAAGAUCAUAUGUUCAGAUCCUUUAUGCAUAUUAAUACUCCUUUGAUUAUGAACAUGAAUAUGCUUUGUGAGUAGUUACGUUUGUUCCUGAGGACAUGGGAGAAGUCUUGCUAUUAGUAGUCAUGUGAAUUUGGUAUUCGUUCGAUAUUUUGAUGAGAUGUAUGUUGUCCCUCCUCUAGUGGUGUCAUGUGAAUGUCGACUACAUGACACUUCACCAUUAUUUGGGCCUAGAGGAAGGCAUUGGGAAGUAAUAAGUAGAUGAUGGGUUGUUAGAGUGACAGAAGCUUAAACCCUAGUUUAUGCGUUGCUUCGUAAGGGGCUGAUUUGGAUCCAUAUGUUUCAUGCUAUUGUUAGGUUUACCUUAAUACUUCUUUUAUAGUUGUGGAUGCUUGCAAUAGGAGUUAAUCAUAAGUGGGAUGUUUGUCCAAGUAAGGACAUCACCCAAGCACCGGUCCACCCACAUAUCAAAUUAUCAAAGUACCAAACGCGAAUCAUAUGAACGUGAUGAAAACUAGCUUGACAAUAAUUCCCAUGUGUCCUCAGGAGCGCUUUUCUCUAUAUAAGAGUUUGUCCAGGCUUGUCCUUUGCUACAAAAAGGAUUGGGCCACCUUGCUGCACUUUAUUUACUUUUGUUACUUAUUGCUCGUUACAAAUUAUCUUAUCACAAAACUAUUUGUUACCUAUAAUUUAAGUGCUUGUAGAGAAUACCUUGCUGAAAACCGCUUAUCAUUUCCUUUUGCUCCUCGUUGGGUUCGACACUCUUACUUAUCAAAAGGACUACGAUAGAUCCCCUAUAAUUGUGGGUCAUCGAGCCUCUCCGAUGAUGUGUGAGUAGUUUAUCUCAGACCUUUGGGUCCAUAGUUAUUAGCUAGAUGGCUUCUUCUCUCUCUUUGGAUCUCAAUACAAAGUUCCCCUCGAUUCUCUAUUUGAUGUAACUCUUCUUUUGCGGUGUGUCUGUCGAGACCGAUGAAUUAUGGGUUUAUGAUCAAGAUUAUCUAUGAACAAUAUUUGAAUCUUCUCUGAAUUCUUUUAUGUAUGAUUGGUUAUCUUUGCAAGUCUCUUCGAAUUAUCAGUUUGGUUUGGCCUACUAGAUUUAUCUUUCUUGCAAUGGGAGAAGUGCUUAGCUUUGGGUUCAAUCUUGCGGUGCUCGAUCCCAGUGAUAGUAGGGGAAACGACACGUAUUGUAUUGUUUCCAUCGAGGAUAAAAAGUUGGAGUUUAUAUCAUAUUGCAUGAGUUUAUCCCUCUACAUCAUGUCAUCUUGCACAAAGCGUUACUCCGUUCUUAUGAACUUAAUACUCUAGAUGCAUGCUGGAUAGCGGUCGAUGUGUGGAGUAAUAGUAGUAGAUACAGGCAGGAGUCAGUCUACUUGUCACGGACGUGAUGCCUAUAUACAUGAUCAUACCUAGAUAUUCUCAUAACUAUGCACAAUUCUAUCAAUUGCUCGACAGUAAUUUGUUCACCCACCGUAAUACUUAUGCUAUCUUGAGAGAAGCCACUAGUGAAACCUAUGGCCCCCGGGUCUAUUUUCCAUCAUAUUAAUCUUUCUUCAACAAGCUAUUUCUAUCUUUAUUUACCUUGCAAUCUUUACUUUUACUCUUUAUCAUAAAAAUACCAAAAAUAUUAUCUUAUCAUCUCUAUCAGAUCUCACUCUCCUAAGUGACCGUGAAGGGAUUGACAACCCCUUUAUCGCGUUGGUUGCGAGGUUCUUAUUUGUUUGUGUAGGUGCGUGGGAUCGCGCGUGGCCUCCUACUGGAUUGAUACCUUGGUUCUCAAAAACUGAGGGAAAUACUUACGCUACUUUACUGCAUCACCCUUUCCUCUUCAAGAGAAAACCAACGCAGUGCUCAAGAGGUAGCAAGAAGGAUUUCUGGCGCCGUUGCCGGGGAGGUUUACGGCAAGUCAAGUCAAGAUUUGAGCUCCCGUCAACGAGCCAUUUCUGGCGCCGUUGCCGGGGAGUCUACGCACAAGUCAAGAAAUUCCAAGUACCCAUCACAAACUCUUAUCCCUCGCAUUACAUUAUUUGCCAUUUGCCUCUCGUUUUCCUCUCCCCCACUUCACCUUGCUGUUUUAUUCGCCCUCUCUUUCCGUUCGCCCUCUUUUUCCGUUCGCCACUUUUUCGCUUGCUUCUUGUUUGCUCGUGUGUUGGAUUGCUUGUUUGUCACGAUGGCUCAAGAUAAUACUAAAUUGUGUGACUUUGCCAAUACCAACAAUAAUGAUUUUCUUAGCACACCGAUUGCUCUUCUUACCGAUGCUGAAUCUUGUGAAAUUAAUGCUGCCUUGCUGAAUCUUGUCAUGACAGAUCAAUUCGCCGGCCUUCCUAGUGAAGAUGCCACUACCCAUCUAAAUAGCUUUGUUGAUUUGUGUGAUAUGCAAAAGAAAAAAGAUGUGGAUAAUGAUAUUGUUAAAUUGAAGCUAUUUCUGUUUUCUCUUAGAGAUCGCGCUAAAACUUGGUUUUCGUCUUUGCCUAAAAAUAGUAUUGAUUCUUGGAAUAAGUGCAAAGAUGCUUUUAUCUCUAAGUAUUUUCCUCCCACUAAAAUCAUCUCCGUUAGAAACGAUAUUAUGAAUUUUAAGCAACUUGACCAUGAACAUGUUGCACAAGCUUGGGAGAGGAUGAAAUUAAUGAUACAUAAUUGCCCUACUCAUGGUUUGAAUUUAUGGAUGAUUAUACAAAAAAUUUAUGCCGGAUUGAAUUUUGCUUCUAGAAAUCUUUUAGAUUUGGCCACGGGAGGCACUUUUAUGGAAAUCACCUUAGGAGAAGCUACUAAACUCCUAGAUAAUAUUAUGGUUACUUAUUCUCAAUGGCAUACCGAAAGAUCUACUAGUAAAAAAGUGCAUGCAAUAGAAAAAAUUAAUGUUUUGAGUGGAAAGAUGGAUGAACUUAUGAAAUUGUUUGCUAAUAAGAGUGUUUCUUCUGAUCCCAAUGAUAUGCCUUUGUCUACUUUGAUUGAGAAUAAUAAUGAAUCUAUGGAUGUGAAUUUUGUUGGUAGGAAUAAUUUUGGUAACAACGCUUAUAGAGGAAACUUUAAUCCUAGGCCGUAUCCUAGUAAUUCCUCCGAUAAUUAUGGUAAUUCCUACAACAAUUCUUAUGGAAAUUUUAAUAAGUUGCCCUCUGAUUUUGAGACUAGUGUUAAAGAAUUUAUGAAUUCGCAAAAGAAUUUCAAUGCCUUGCUUGAAGAAAAAUUGCCUAAGAUUGAUGAAUUGGCUAGGAACGUGGAUAGAAUUUCUCUUGAUGUUGAUUCUUUGAAACUUAGAUCUAUCCCACCUAAGCAUGAUAUCAAUAAGUCUCUCAAAGUUAUGAGAAUUUCCAUUGAUGAGUGCAAAGAAAGAACCGCGAGGAUGCGUGCUAAGAAAGAUUGCUUUGUAAAAGCGUGUUCUUCUAGUUUUUAUGAGAAUAAAGAUGAAGAUCUAAAAGUUAUUGAUGUGUCUCCCAUUAAAUCUUUGUUUUGCAAUAUGAAUCUUGAUAAUUAUGAGUCAACUUUAGUUAGAAGGCGUCCCAAAAAUUCAGAGUUUUUAGAUCUUGAUGCAAAAAUUAGUAAAAGUGGGAUUGAAGAGGUCAAAACUUUAGAUACCAAUGAACCCAAUAUCUUGGAUUUCAAGGAAUUUAAUUAUGAUAAUUUCUCUUUGAUAGAUUGUAUAAAGGAGCAAGGGGGGAGGCCGGUCGGCCCUUGGGGCGCGCCAGGAGAGGAGGAGUCCUCCUCCUAGUAGGAGUAGGACUCCCCUUUGCUACUCCUACUAGGAGGGGGAAAGGAAGGAGGAAAGGGAGAAGGAAAGGGGGGCGCCGCCCCCCCUUUCCUAGUCCAAUUCGGGCCAGAGGGGGAGGGGGCGCGUGGCCUGCCCUGGCCGGCCCUCUCUCUCUCCACUAAGGCCCAUGUGGCCCAUUAGUUCUCCCGGGGGGGGGGGUUCCGGUAACCCUCCGGCACUCCGGUUUUCUCUGAAAUCACCCGAAACACUUCCGGUGUCCGAAUAUAGCCGUCCAAUAUAUCAUCUUUAUGUUUCGAUCAUUUCGAGACUCCUCGUCAUGUCCGUGAUCACAUCCGGGACUCUGAACUAUCUUCGGUACAUCAAAACACAUAAACUCAUAAUACCGAUCGUCACCGAACGUUAAGCGUGCGGACCCUACGGGUUCGAGAACUAUGUAGACAUGACCGAGACACAUCUCUGGUCAAUAACCAAUAGCGGAACCUAGAUAUUCAUAUUGGCUCCCACAUAUUCUACGAAGAUCUUUAUCGGUCAAACCGCAUAACAACAUACGUUGUUCCCUUUGUCAUCGGUAUGUUACUUGCCCGAGAUUCGAUCGUUGGUAUCUCAAUACCUAGUUCAAUCUCGUUACCGGCAAGUCUCUUUACUCGUUCCGUAAUGCAUCAUCCCACAACUACCUCAUUAGUCACAUUGCUUGCAAGGCUUAUAGUGAUGUGCAUUACCGAGAGGGCCCAGAGAUACCUCUCCGGCAAUCAGAGUGACAAAUCCUAAUCUUGAUCUAUGCCAACUCAACAAGUACCAUCGGAGACACCUGUAGAGCACCUUUAUAAUCACCCAGUUACGUUGUGAUGUUUGGUAGCACACAAAGUGUUCCUCUGGUAUUCAGGAGUUGCAUAAUCUCAUAGUCAUAGGAACAUGUAUAAGUCAUGAAGAAAACAAUAGCAAUAUACUAAACGAUCAAGUGCUAAGCUAACGGAAUGGGUCAAGUCAAUCACAUCAUUCUCUAAUGAUGUGAUCCCGUUAAUCAAAUGACAACUCAUGUCUAUGGCUAGGAAACUUAACCAUCUUUGAUUCAACGAGCUAGUCAAGUAGAGGCAUACUAGUGACACUCUGUUUAUCUAUGUAUUCACACAUGUACUAAGUUUCCGGUUAAUAUAAUUCUAGCAUGAAUAAUAAACAUUUAUCAUGAUAUAAGGAAAUAUAAAUAACAACUUUAUUAUUGCCUCUAGGGCAUACUUCCUUCACUAUGAUGUCUCCUACUGAUUUACCGCUAUCGUUUUGGGGUUAUGCUUUAGAGAUAGUUGCAUUCAUAUUAAAUAAGACACCAUCUAAAUCCGUUGGGACGACAUCAUAUGAACUGUGGUUUGGCAAGAAACCCAAGUUGUCAUUUCUUAAAAUUUGGGGCUGUGAUGCUUAUGUGAAAAAGCUUCAACCUGAUAAGCUCGAACCCAAACCGGAGAAAUGUGUCUUCAUAGGAUACCCAAAGGAGACUGUUGGGUACACCUUCUAUCACAGAUCCGAAGGAAAGAUAUUUGUUGCUAAGAAUGGAUCCUUUCUAGAGAAGGAGUUCCUCUCGAAAGAAGUGAGUGGGAGGAAAAUAGAACUUGAUUAGGUAAUUGUACCUUCUCCCGAAUAGGAAAGUAGUUCAUCACAGAAAUCAGUUCCAGUGAUUCCUACACAAAUUAGUGAGAAAGCUAAUGAUGAUGAUCAUGAAACUUCUGAUCAAGUUACUACCGAACCUCGUAGGUCAACCAGAGUAAGAUCCGCACAAGAGUGGUAUGGUAAUCCUAUUCUGGAGGACAUGUUACUUGACCAUGACGAACCUAUGAACUAUGAGGAAGCGAUGAUGAGCCCAGAUUCCGCGAAAUGGCUUGAGGCCAUGAAAUCUGAGAUGGGAUCAAUGUAUGAGAACAAAGUGUGGACUUUGGUUGACUUGCCCGAUGAUCGGCAAGCCAUAGAGAAUUAAUGGAUCUUCAAGAAGAAGACUGACGCUGACGGUAAUGUUACUAUCUACAAAGCUUGACUUGUUGCGAAAGGUUUUCGACAAGUUCAAGGAGUUGACUACGAUGAGACCUUCUCACCCAUAGCGAUGCUUAAGUCUGUCCGAAUCAUGUUAGCAAUUGCCGCAUUUUAUGAUUAUGAAAUUUGGCAAAUGGAUGUCAAAACUGCAUUCCUCAAUGGAUAUCUUAAAGAAGAGUUGUAUAUGAUGCAACCAGAAGGUUUUGUCGAUCCGAAAGGUGCUGACAAAGUGUGCAAGCUCCAGCGAUCCAUUUAUGGACUGGUGCAAGCCUCUCGGGGUUGGAAUAUACGUUUUGAUAGUGUGAUCAAAGCAUAUGGUUUUAUACAGACUUUUGGAGAAACCUGUAUUUACAAGAAAGUGAGUGGGAGCUCUGUAGCAUUUCUGAUAUUAUAUGUGGAUGACGUUGUUGAUCGGAAAUGAUACUAAAUUUUUGAAUAGCAUAAAAGGAUACUUGAAUAAGAAUUUUUCAAUGAAAGACCUUGGUGAAGCUACUUAUAUAUUGGCAUCAAGAUCUAUAGAGAUAGAUCAAGAUGCUUAAUUGGACUUUCACAAAGCACAUACCUUGAUAAAGUUUUGAAGAAGUUCAAAAUGGAUCAGUCAAAGAAAGGGUUCUUGCCUGUGUUACAAGGUGUGAAGUUGAGUCAGACUCAAUGCCCGACCACUGCAGAAGAUAGAGAGAAAAUGAAAGUCAUUCCCUAUGCCCCAGCCAUAGGUUUUAUCAUGUAUGCAAUGCUGUGUACCAGACCUGAUGUGUGUCUUGCUAUUAGUUUAGCGGGGAGGUACCAAAGUAAUCCAGGAGUGGAUCACUGGACAGCGGUCAAGAACAUCCUGAAAUACCUGAAAAGAACUAAGGAUAUGUUUCUUGUUUAUGGAGGUGACAAAGAGCUCGUCGUAAACGGUUACGUCGAUGCAAGCUUUGACACUGAUUUGGAUGACUCUAAGUCACAAACUGGAUACAUAUUUAUAUUGAAUGGUGGAGCUGUCAGUUGGUGCAGUUCCAAGCAGAGCGUCGUGACGGGAUCUACGUGUGAAGCAGAGUACAUAGCUGCUUCAGAAGCAGCGAAUGAAGGAGUCUGGAUGAAGGAGUUCAUAUCCGAUCCAGGUGUCAUACCUAGUGCAUCGGGUCCAAUGAAAAUCUUUUGUGACAAUACUAGAGCAAUUGCCUUGGCGAAGGAAUCCAGAUUUCACAAGAGAACCAAACACAUCAAGAGACGCUUCAAUUCCAUCCGCGAUCAAGGCAAGGAGGGAGACAUAGAGAUUUACAAGAUACAUACGGAUCUGGAUGUUGCAGACCCGUUGACUAAGCCUCUCUCACGAGCAAAACAUGAUCAUCAUCAAGACUCCAUGGUUGUUAGAAUCAUUACUAUGUAAUCUAGAUUAUUGACUCUAGUGCAAGUGGGAGACUGAAGGAAAUAUGCCCUAGAGGCAAUAAUAAAAUUGUUUUUUAUAUUUCCUUAUAUCAUGAUAAAUGUUUAUUAUUCAUGCUAGAAUUGUAUUAACCGGAAACUUAGUACAUGUGUGAAUACAUAGACAAACAGAGUGUCCCUAGUAUGCAUCUACUAGACUAGCUCGUUAAUCAAAGAUGGUUAAGUUUCCUGACCAUAGACAUGUGUUGUCAUUUGAUGAACGGGAUCACAUCGUUAGAGAAUGAUGUGACGGACAAGACCCAUCCGUUAAGUUAGCAUAAUUAAUGAUCAUUUAGUUUUAUUGCUAUUGCUUUCUUCAUGACUUAUACAUGUUCCUCUGACUAUGAGAUUAUGCAACCCCCGAAUACCGGAGGAACACCUUGUGUGCUAUCAAACGUCACAACGUAACUGGGUGAUUAUAAAGAUGCUCUACAGGUGUCUUCGAUGGUGUUUGUUGAGUUGGCAUAGAUCGAGAUUAGGAUUUGGCACUCCGUGUAUCGGAUAGGUAUCUCUGGGCCCUCUCGGUAAUGCACAUCACUAUGAGCCUUGCAAGCAAUGUGACUAAUGAGUUAGUCACGGGAUGAUGCAUUACGAAAUGAGUAAAGAGACUUGCCGGUAACAAGAUUGAACUAGGUAUGGUGAUACCGACAAUCGAAUCUCGGGCAAGUAACAUAUCGAUGAGAAAGGGAACAACGUAUGUUGUUAUGUGGUUUGACCGAUAAAGAUCUUCAUGGAAUAUGUAGGAGCCAAUAUGAGCAUCCAGGUUCCGCUAUUGGUUAUUGACCAGAGAUGUGUCUCGGUCAUGUCUACAUAGUUCUCGAACCCGUAGGGUCCGCACGCUUAACGUUCGAUGACGAUUUGUAUUAUGAGUUAUGUGAUUUGAUAACCGAAGUUUGUUCGGAGUCCCGGAUGAGAUCACGGACAUGACGAGGAGUCUCGAAAUGGUCGAGACAUAAAGAAUGAUAUAUUGGACGAUGUUAUUCGGACAGCGGGUGAGUUCCGAGAGGUACCGGGUAAUUAUCGGAGUGCCGGAGGGUUAUCGGAACCCCCCGGGGGAACUAAUGGGCCAUGAUGGGCCUUAGUGGGGAGAGAGAAGGGCCACAAGGGGGCUGGCCGCGCCCCCCCUUGGGUCCGAAUUGGACUAGGGGAAGAGGGCGGCGCCCCCCUUUCCUUCCCUUCUCCCUCUCCCUUCCUUCUUCCCCUUCCUCCCGGUGGAAUCCUACUAGGACUUGGAGUCCUAGUACGACUCCUCUCUCCUAGCGCGCCUUACAGGGGCCGGCCGGCCUCCCCCUCCCUUCCUUUAUAUACGGGGGCAGGGGGGCACCCUAGAACACACACGAUCAAUUGUCUUAGCCGUGUGCGGUGCCCCCCUCCACAGUUUACCACCUCGAUCAUAUCGUCGUAGUGCUUAGGCGAAGCCCUGCGCUGUAACUUCAUCAUCAUCGUCGCCAUGCCGUCGUGCUGACGGAACUCUCCCUCGUCCUCAACUAGAUCAAGAGCUCGAGGGACGUCAUCAUGUUGAACAUGUGCUAAACACGGAGGUGCCGUACGUUCGGUGCUAGGAUCGGUUGGAUCGCGAAGACGUUCGACUACAUCAACCGCGUUACUAACGUUUCUGUCGUGGAAUUAUCAUGGCAGAUGUCCUAGCGAAAGGACUUAGUCGUGGAGCCAUCGCAAGUAGGAAGCAAGAAGGGGUUAAUCGGGACAAAGGACACGGGGUUAUACUGGUUCGGCCCCUUAUGGUGAAGGUAAAAGCCUACGAUCCAGUUUUGAGUGGGAUUGCUUAUGUCUCGAUAACCAGGGAGCGAAUCCGCUUGACCUAGCUCUCGAUUUUAUGUUAUUUGCCCUGAACUGCCGCCAGGUCGUCCCUUUAUAUACAGAGGUCGACGCCCAGUGGCUCAUAGAGCCCCGGCCAGCUCAUAGACAGUGUCCGUCUUGGUUUCUCUCUAUUCCUGCCUUAUAAUACAAGUUACACACAUAUGGCGGUUUAUCUCUACGGGCCUUAAGUCACCCUUUGGACCUUGAGCCCUUAACUAACCCGUCAUCUCCAGGAGUCGUCUUGGGCUUCAUGAGUCGUCUUAAGUAUGACCCGGCACCUCCUGGCGGGUCAUACUAAUAAUUAUAUCCCCAAAAUUAGGCCCCAGAUUGAUUUGAACUGGUUCAUGUCAAUCUUCAACACCUUAGGAAAAAUCUUCUGCUCUCUAUCGCACGGAAAUUUGUAACCCGCCAUGACGUCAUCUUCUGGAUUUGCAAUAACCCGCCAUGACGUCAUCUAUCAUUAAUUCAUAUUUUAUCCAAUAUAUCUCAACGGAUCCUUAUCUUUAAUAACCAUCCCGAGAAUCGAGGCAUCCUGACAAGCUGGAUACCCAUAAUUUUCGGCCUCCUCGUUUUUUGCGCCCACUUAUCAGUCUUUCCCUUAUAAAUAGGCACGACUGGUCUUUCUUCAUUCUCCCCCUUUCCAUCAUCUUCUUCCUCUCGCGACCCUACUGCUGCUCGAGCUUCGCCGCCGCCGCAACGCACUUCGUCUUCCUCGACCCCGGCCGCUGCAUCAACCUGAGCUUGUCCAGAGAACGGCGGCGACCCUCCGCAGUAGAUCUGCGUCCGUAAGUCUCUGCUUUUCCGCACCUUAGAUCCACAUUAGGGUUUGCGAAUUCUUCUGUGUUCUUCGCUAUUCAUCACGGAUUCUUCGUAGUUUCUCGACCGCAUCCUCUUUUGAUCUAAAAGAGGCACGACUUAGAGGCAUAACCGCAUUGUGGUUUUAUCGCAAGAAGGGUCAUCUUCACACAAUCCCAUGUAAUGAACUAGAAUGGGAUAAAGAGUUGGCUUACAAUCGCCACUUCACACAAUACAUAAAUAAAUCAUACAUCAAUCAGAGUACACACAUAGGUCCGACUACAGAACCAAAAGAAAAGAAGACAACCCCAAAUGCUAGAUCCCCAAUCGUCCCAACUGGGCUCCACUACUGAUCAUCAGGAAAUGAAACAUAGUAACGACCACGUUCCUCGUCGAACUCCCGUUAGAGCUCGGUAGCAUCACCUGCACUGGUAUCAUCGACACCUACAACUGUUGGAAGUAUCUGGUGAGUCACGAGGACUCAGCAAUCUCACACCCGCGAGAUCAAGACUAUUUAAGCUUAUGGGUAGGAAAGGGGUAAUGUGGUGGAGCUGCAGCAAGCACUAGCAUGUAUGGUGGCUAACAUAUGCAAAUAAGAGCGAGAAGAGGAGCAACGGAACGGUCGUCAACUAGUAAUGAUCAAGAAGUGAUCCUGAACUCCUACUUACGUCAAACAUAACCCAAAAACCGUGUUCACUUCCCGGACUCUGCCGAGAAGAGACUAUCACGGCUACACACGCGGUUGAUGCGUUUCAAUUAAGUCGAGUAUCAAGUUCUCAACAACCGGAUAUUAACAAAUUCCCAUCUGCCACGUAACCGCGGGCACGGCUCUCAAAAGUUUAUACCCUGCAGGGGAGUCCCAACUUAGCCCAUUAUAAGCUCUCGCGGUCAACGAAGGGUAUUCCUUCUCCCGGGAAGACCUGAUCAGUCUCGGAAUCCCGAUUUACAAGACAUUUCGACAAUGGUAAAACAAGACUAGCAAAGCCGCCCGAUGUGCCGACAAAUCCCGAUAGGGGCUGCACAUAUCUCGUUCUCAGGGCAACACCGGAUGAGACUAGCUACGAGUAAAACCAGCCCUCAAGUUUCCCCAAGCUGGCCCCGCAGGGAGCUCGGUUCGGACCAACACUCGAAGGAGCACUGGCCCGGGGGGUCUAAAAUAAAGAUGACCCUUGAGUCUGCAGAACCCAAGGGAAAAGGGGAUAGGUGGUAGCAAAUGGUAAAACCAAGGUUGGGCCUUGCUGGAGGAGUUUUAUUCAAAGCGAACUGUCAAGGGGGUCCCAUAAAUCACCCAACCGCGUAAGGAACGCAAAAUCAAGGAACAUAACACCGGUAUGACGGAAACUAGGGCGGCAAGAGUGGAACAAAACACCAGGCAUAAGGCCGAGCCUUCCACCCUUUACCAAGUAUAUAGAUGCAUUAAUUAAAAUAAGAUAUAUCGUGAUAUCCCAACAAUAUCCAUGUCCCAACAUGGAACAAACUUCAUCUUCACCUGCAACUAGCAACGCUAUAAGAGGGCUGAGCAAAAGCGGUAACAUAGCCAAACAACGGUUUGCUAGGAAAGGUGGGUUAGAGGCUUGACAUGGCAAUAUGGGAGGCAUGAUAUAGCAAGUGGUAGGUAGCACGACAUAGCAUUAGAGCGAAACAACUAGCAAGCAAGGAUAGAAGUGAUUUCGAGGGUAUGGUCAUCUUGCAUGAAAUCCCGCAAGGAAGAAGAACGAAUCCAUGAAGAAGACAAACGGACGAAGUCGAACAAAUCCUCACAAACGCGACGUUAUGUAACUAACCCGAAGAGGCAACACCGGAAAGAAGCAAACAACAUGGUAAACAACCAUCACAGAAACAUGGCAUGAUGCACAAUCAAGUAUGAUGCAUGUCCGGUUUAAAGAGGCAUGGCAUGGCAAAGUGCACAAACAAAACUACAAGUUAAGUGGAGCUCAAUAUGCAACGAGUUGCAUAUUGACGAAACACCACAUCAAUUGUUUAGUUCUCUCUCGGUUAUGUACCCAAAAAUAUUAAAUGUUGACUAACAUGGCAAGAGGUGAAGCAUAAGUAAACUAACUAUUUAGGCAAGUUUAAAUGAGGCCGGAACAACAAACAACAAUUUCGGAAAAUCCUCAUGUCCAUAUUUUAGAUUUGGUACUGUUCUGCCUAAAACCAUAUUUUAUUGUUGUUAAACAGUAAAACAAGGUGCACCAUGUUAAUCUAUGCAUUUUCCUACCCCAUUUACAUAUCAAGUUUAUUUAUAAUGGAGCUACGGUUAUUUAGUUAUGAAAUAAAUCAUUUUAACAUGGCAUUCGAGCAAAUUUAAACAAACAGCAUUUUAAGCAUUUUAAACAUGGAUGAGAGUGGCAUAUUAUGAAACUAGAUGAAAUUCUGAGCAUUUUACAUGUUUACAUCAUUUUAAUCCGAUGCACGGUUAAAGAGUUAUUAUAUGCAUGAUGUUUGAGGGGUUUUCUGUAAAACAGUAAAUCCUGGGAUAAUUGAUUAAAUCCGUCCAGAGGAAAAAAACACUAUACGGGCCGAAACUGCUGGGCGGCUAGGCUGCUCACCAUGGGCCAAGGCCCAGGCGGUGGAGAGGUAGGCCGAGACGGACUGGGCCGCGCGGGGACGUGGCUGGCGACGCGGGACGAGCGGAAGCAGAGGAGUGGUCAACGCGGCUGCGCGACUGCAGCCUCCUCCUCUCGAACAGAGGCAGGAGCGGGACUUGGCGGCGCCACACGACGACGGGCGCGGGACAGGUCGAUCCGGGGCGGCAACUCCAGAUCCAGGCGCGAGGAAGGCCGCCGGUGGCUUGGGCUUCAGGCUCCUGUCCAUGGGCAUGAAAGAGAGAGAGAGAGAUGUGAGGAACAGAGGGAAGCACGGGGAGGAAGGGAGAGACAGGGGAGGAGAGGAGCGGGAUGAAGCCGGUCCUUGCCGUGGUCGACGGAGGGCGAGGUCGCCAGCAGCAGGUCGAGCUCCUGUUUGAGGAAGGAGGCGCGCGAGGUGGAGCUUCGGCACGGGAGUUCGAGGCAGCGGGGUCGACGUGCUCGGGAACGAGGGCGCCACGGGAGGAGCACGAGAGGAGCUCGGGGUAGGAGGCGCGCUGGAGCAAGGGCUGGAGGGCUCCUGGUGCUCCGGUGGCUUGGCGUUCGAUUUGGAGCAGGGAAGCAGAGGCGGGGCGAGGGACUUGGCGCAGCGACGGGAAGAUGGAGGUCGUCGGCGGCACUUGGCGGCGGGGACGGCUGGAGGCGGAGUGAAGGAGGUCCGAUGGAGGAGGCGAUGGUGGCGUCCUCAUGGUGCUGGUUCGGUGGCGUCGGUGUUCCUGUGAAGCAGAGAGAGAGACAGACAGACUAGGUGAGCCGCGGGAAGAAGAGCGAUGACGAAGGAGAAAGAAAGAGGAGGGUAGGGAGGAGAAGGAAGCAAAGGCAGUGCAGGGCACUCAUCUUCUCGCCGGGGACUCGCCGGAGCGGCGAGGCAAGGUCGGGGCCGAUAGGGAGGCGGCGCCGCGGAGCUGCUAGUGGCGGAGGAGCUCGGGCAUGAGCUCUUGUUCGAUCCAACCGAGAGGAGGACAAGCAGGGACGAGGUGCCUGAGGGGAAGCUUCGGGGCUGGUUCUGGUUGGUGGGAUUGGAUCGGGGGGAAUGAGGAGAUCCCGAGGAAGAAAGGGAGGUGGGUGGCGGCGGCUCGGGAAUAGGUGGAUGGAUGGGACAGUAUCCCUAGUUUUUAGGGUUAGAGUAGACUGAUUAUAUAGCAGUUGGAUUUUUGGGUAUGUGCUAAUUCGGUCCCUCCGAUUAAAAUUGAGCGGUCGAGAAAAAUAGGCUAGGAAGUCCAAAUAAGAAAACGGAGAUGUUUAAUAGAUGUUAGGGGAUGAUCCGGACCCAACGGUAACGAUGGUCCGGUUCGGGUUCGGGGAAGUUUUCGGACACGGGCGAGGGGUCGAUGCACUGUGCAGAGAGGUUGAAAUGGUCGGACAACAAAAGAACGAUUGGUCUUGAGAAAGGUCAACAGAGACGAGGAAGAAGCGGCAACUAUCAACGGGUGCAAGUUUUUUGAAAACAUGCGAUGCGAUGCUCAUGAUGACAUGAUGAAUGCAACAAACAAAAUAAAACACACGGCGAACACGAAAUAUAUGGAAGGCGUCUGGAGCAUCGGUCUCGGGGCGUUAUGACACUCCACCACUACAAGAGGAUCUCGUCCCGAGAUCUAGGAUGGCACCGGAGAGAAACGGAAGAGGAAGAGGUAAAACUAAGUUGCUUCUUUGACAAAAGAGUGAAACCAAAGAACCUUGAGAGAUUGAACGAACGAAAAGAGAGAAUACAAGGGAGAUGAACGAGAUUGAAAACACUCCGUUAUCAAAGAGGAACAAGGAACAUUGCGAGAACCUUUGUAGGUUGAAGAAUAUGAAACAAGAGCUUAACGGAUCAAAAGGAAUAUGAAAGCACAUCGGUAGAAAAGAGAAACAAGGAACACCAUGUGAACCUUGGGGUUUGCAAAGCUAUGAAUGACGAGAACAAUGGACGAGAAGUACAUGCAAGCACUCCGGUUGAAACGAGAUGUACAAGGAACGAUAAUGAUCAAUUACGAUAGCGCUCCGGUUGGAAAUGAAAAGAAUAGAAUUUGAACUUGGCAAAAUGAAAGCACUUGGAUGAGACUCCGGUUAGAAGAGGAAUGAUAGACACAACACUCCGGUUAAAACAAGAUAAAGAAGGAAUAAGAAUGAUAUAAUUUGGGCAGCACUCCGACUAUAAAUGGAAGGAAUUGAACAUGAUCUUGACAAGAUGAGAGGAUACUCGAUGAAAUCGACAACACACUGCCUCCGGAACUAAUGAAAGAAUGGCACAAGGGGUAAGAAAGAUUUCAGACAGUCCUCCGGUUGAGGAAGGAGAAAAAACUUGAAAAGAGGGCACGACACUCCGGUUGGAAAUGGAUAAGCACGAAAAGAACACGGUCCCCACAAUUCGAGAUGAUGAGCGAAGAGAGAAACAUCACCAUGCCUCCGGAAACAAUGCAUGAUAGUUAGAUAGUUGGAGUGAAUAGAACGAAGAAUGAAACCAACAUCUCCUACCAUAAAUGAAUUUUAAAGAGCAUCCUUACGAAGUAGGAUUGAACGGAGUUGUUGGAAAACCAACAACGAAAAGAAUAAGCUUGUAGUGGGCUUAUGGAAACAUCUCAAAAUUAUGAGGUGACAACCCGCCACUAACGGAAACAAUUGCUUGCUAGAGAUCAACGAAGAGAUGAAAACUUCUCUCGCCGAGAGGAUAGGAGAAAACUUGGAUCAUUGAUAGACACCACAAUUAGCAACAUUCCUUCGAGAAGGCUUUAAUUGAAAUCUAUACCAAGAUAACUCCAACAAAGAGAUUAUUAUGGGUUGAAACAACUCUUUGACGAAGAAAAUAUGAUGGGUUUAAAUAUCUCAUUCUUGACAACUUGUGAAUCAUGAAACAUGAAGAAAAUUAUCAAGAAUGACAUAACACCACCUCAAAAGAUAAGAGAGAAAGAAUUGCACUUCGGAAUGCAAUAUGAAGAAUGCUUGAACUCCUCAAAACAACACAUGUGUUGAACACCAUGUUUAUUUUGGAGUAAGCUUGACGGAUCAUAACUUUGAGAGAAAUCUUGAAGAACAAUUGAAGAAUGAAAAGAAUCUUUGAUGAACCACCAUGUAGAGCCUCCAUGAAGAACUCCGGUAAUGAAAGGAUGAUAAAAAGAAAGAGAAGUUAAAAACACAAGGUGAAGCCUUGCAAUGAUUUAGAUGGAGCUUCGCGACGAUAUAAUCGAUAAAACUUGGAACUCCGGAAAGAAAAGAUGAACAACUUGGAAACGAGAAUUUGAUAUCAUGAACGAACUCCGGAAGAAGGAAUUAAUCGCUUGGAGGAAAACAAGAAUAAGAAUUACAUUACGCGUAUCCUUCACCAAUUUAGAUUGAUGACAAACAACGGAUUUUGCAUACUACUUAUUCUUGUAGAAAGGAUUAAGAUAGAUAUUGCGCAAACUUGAAUAAGGUCUUGAUGGAACCACCGGUGGGAUUUGGAAACAACGAAUGAAUUAAUAUGAUAACCAAGAAAGAGAACUCUUGAACGAACCACCGUAAGAAUUGAAAAUGAAAGUAGCAAAGGCACAAUUUACCGAGAAGAAUUGGAAAACGAAAGAAGAUACUUGAGGGGAUUUAGAUACAUGAGAACGAAGAGAUCGUGAACUGAUUAGAGGAUAUUUGAACGAUGCACCAGAAUAAUAUGGAGAUGACCGAAGAGACAUCAAUUUAGAAUAAUUGGAGAACGAGGCUGAAAACUUAGAACAAAGAAAUCUUCUGAAAUGAUGGCCUUUGGAUGAUCAAGAAAUGAAAACAACUCAUGAAAUGCUCCGGAUGGGUAAGAAAAGAAUUCUCACAAUCGAAAAUAAUUAUGAGAGGAUGGCAUAAGCUAGAACUAUGAAUCUUCAAGAGAACGGUCCAAGAUUUAGGAGAAAUUCUUCCUCGGUCUUCAAAUGUUGAGAAUGAUGACGAGAAACACCACCAUGAAUUAUUGAGGCACUCCGCAACCAUGAAGAAUAGAAAGGUUGGAUCAACAAUGAAAAGAAUUUGAAAGAUCUUGGAGAAAGACAUAUGACUGAUGAAUAUUCAUUCUUACGUCAAGCUUUGAAAAGAUUUGAGAAUAACUCCGGAAAAUUAGAAGAGUCAGGUAAGAUCCUGGGAAAAGACCUGUGGGUUAGGGCCCACUCAAAAGAAACACCAUUGAAAUGAUUUAAAAGAGAGAUUGCGCUAGUUGAAUUAAAUGGCUCAAAAGAGAUAACAACCUCGAGAUAGCUUGAACAGAUUGGGAAUGGAAAUGUGAGUCUUCUGAGAUAUCUUGUACACUCCGGAACCAAUGAAAAUAGUGAGAGGUGAAUGAUUGAGAGGUACACCGGCAUGAGAAAGCAUUUGAAAGGAGGAAAGGAAUGUGACCAACAUUGAAGGCUUGAAUUUAGUCCACCGGAGAAGAAAAAGAAUGAAGAAUGAUAAACUUGAAGAACAUCUUCAUGAGAACCACCGGGUAAGAACAUUGAUUGAAAAGAAUGAAGGGACUUCACAUGAAUAAAAUGGAUACUUGGUUAAGAAAUCUGAGUCCUUGAAGAAAAAGGUGGGAGGGCGGGAAAACAAAGACAACUUGGGGCAUAUGGAAUAAACACCGUUGAGAAAACUUAUAAUUGAUCUUCCGGAUGGGAAGAAUGAUGGGAUCAUCUCGAAGAGAAACGCACCGGUUGGAAAUAGAAUUAAUAUGGCAAUCUCGAUGGUCAAGAAGGAUUAGUAUCCCCAUAGAAAUGUGAGAACACCGCUUAGAAUAAGGUAUGGAAUCAACACUUGACAAUGAAGCAACUCGAAUACCACAACUUAAAACAAAACAAACGAUUGGCUUGCAAAAUAAGCCAGAACAAACAUAUGAUAGAGAUUUCGUCCGAAGUUUUCGUGCUGGGGCCCACACGGGCUCGAUCGUACAGCACCAUCAUGUACAAGGCAGUGCACAUGACAUACGAAGCAUCCCCGAGUCGGCAUAGCCAAGGACUCUUUACGACACUACGAGACCACUGUAAAACCAACCAUGGAAAGGCGGACCACUAGACGUCGAACCCCAAUCUCAUAUCAUGCAUCUGUCGGAAAGAUAUCCUAGGGGCUACUUGAAUUCCCACUUAUAAACUCCCGAAACUUUCUGGUUAUGCAAUCUGGUGUUGGGGAUACAGGGGACACAAUAUAUCUCACCCAAACUAACAAUCCCUAGAUCCAGCUGUAUCCAUCCGUCAACACAUAACCAAGAAAACUCCGGAAAUCGUGUACCUCAACCUUCGAAAAGCAUCCGUUAUACGAGUUAUGGCAAUACUCACGAACUCCCGCCCCAGUACUGGGUGGCGUCGAGGUGAUCUCACCAACAACUGCAUAAAAGAGAUUUUCAAUGUCGGCGAAACUCAGGUAUUCCAGAACUGCAAUGAUAAAAUUGUGACGACAACACCUCGGAGCUCAACUCCCCGGGACACUGCCACAACCCCUAAAUGUCAGGAGGCACCAAGAACAAUGUUCUCGUCACAAAACCAUCGGAACGAUUCCAAGAUACCUGCGUGAUCCUAAAAAAAAUUUAGUGAAAUUUGAGGAGAGGAAAGUCAAAACAUCUACGUCAGGAGGCCUCACCAGAGCGACGAAGGGACUGAGGAGUAAAAAGAAUCCUACUCUCCGAUAUAUAUAAUCCUGAGACUCAAAACAUUUUUGUUCUAGACUCAACAACGCCAGCGAUUCGAUCAAGCAGGGGGCUCCUAAGUCGGGGAUGGCUUUGAUUACCAACUUGUAACACCCACGAUGCGGCUAUAUCUCCCACGUGUCGAGGCACGACUUAGAGGCAUAACCGCAUUGUGGUUUUAUCGCAAGAAGGGUCAUCUUCACACAAUCCCAUGUAAUGAACAAGAAUGGAAUAAAGAGUUGGCUUACAAUCGCCACUUCACACAAUACAUAAAUAAAUCAUACAUCAAUCAGAGUACACACAUAGGUCCGACUACGGAACCAAAAGAAAAGAAGACAACCCCAAAUGCUAGAUCCCCAAUCGUCCCAACUGGGCUCCACUACUGAUCAUCAGGAAACGAAACAUAGUAACGACCACGUUCCUCGUCGAACUCCCGUUAGAGCUCGGUAGCAUCACUCGCACUGGUAUCAUCGACACCUACAACUGUUGGAAGUAUCUGGUGAGUCACGAGGACUCAGCAAUCUCACACCCGCGAGAUCAAGACUAUUUAAGCUUAUGGGUAGGAAAGGGGUAAUGUGGUGGAGCUGCAGCAAGCACUAGCAUGUAUGGUGGCUAACAUAUGCAAAUAAGAGCGAGAAGAGGAGCAACGGAACGGUCGUCAACUAGUAAUGAUCAAGAAGUGAUCCUGAACUCCUACUUACGUCAAACAUAACCCAAAAACCGUGUUCACUUCCCGGACUCUGCCGAGAAGAGACUAUCACGGCUACACACGCGGUUGAUGCGUUUCAAUUAAGUCGAGUAUCAAGUUCUCAACAACCGGAUAUUAACAAAUUCCCAUCUGCCACGUAACCGCGGGCACGGCUCUCAAAAGUUUAUACCCUGCAGGGGAGUCCCAACUUAGCCCAUUAUAAACUCUUGCGGUCAACGAAGGGUAUUCCUUCUCCCGGGAAGACCUGAUCAGUCUCGGAAUCCCGAUUUACAAGACAUUUCGACAAUGGUAAAACAAGACUAGCAAAGCCGCCCGAUGUGCCGACAAAUCCCGAUAGGGGCUGCACAUAUCUCGUUCUCAGGGCAACACCGGAUGAGACUAGCUACGAGUAAAACCAGCCCUCAAGUUUCCCCAAGGUGGCCCCGCAGGCAGCUCGGUUCGGACCAACACUCGAAGGAGCACUGACCCGGGGGGUCUAAAAUAAAGAUGACCCUUGAGUCUGCAGAACCCAAGGGAAAACGGGAUAUGUGGUAGCAAAUGGUAAAACCAAGGUUGGGCCUUGCUGGAGGAGUUUUAUUCAAAGCGAACUGUCAAGGGGGUCCCAUAAAUCACCCAACCGCGUAAGGAACGCAAAAUCAAGGAACAUAACACUGGUAUGACGGAAACUAGGGCGGCAAGAGUGGAACAAAACACCAGGCAUAAGGCCGAGCCUUCCACCCUUUACCAAGUAUAUAGAUGCAUUAAUUAAAAUAAGAUAUAUCAUGAUAUCCCAACAAUAUCCAUGUCCCAACAUGGAACAAACUUCAUCUUCACCUGCAACUAGCAACGCUAUAAGAGGGCUGAGCAAAAGCGGUAACAUAGCCAAACAACGGUUUGCUAGGAAAGGUGGGUUAGAGGCUUGACAUGGCAAUAUGGGAGGCAUGAUAUAGCAAGUGGUAGGUAGCGCGGCAUAGAAUUAGAGCUAAACAACUAGCAAGCAAACAUAGAAGUGAUUUCGAGGGUAUGGUCAUCUUGCAUGAAAUCCCGCAAGGAAGAAGAACGAGUCCAUGAAGAAGACAAACGGACGAAGUCGAACAAAUCCUCACAAACGCGACGUUAUGUAACUAACCCGAAGAGGCAACACCGGAAAGAAGCAAACAACAUGGUAAACAACCAUCACAGAAACAUGGCAUGAUGCACAAUCAAGUAUGAUGCAUGUCCGGUUUAAAGAGGCAUGGCAUGGCAAAGUGCACAAACAAAACUACAAGUUAAGUGGAGCUCAAUAUGCAACGAGUUGCAUAUUGACGAAACACCACAUCAAUUGUUUAGUUCUCUCUCGGUUAUGUACCCAAAAAUAUUAAAUGUUGACUAACAUGGCAAGAGGUGAAGCAUAAGUAAACUAACUAUUUAGGCAAGUUUAAAUGAGGCCGGAACAACAAACAACAAUUCCGGAAAAUCCUCAUGUCCAUAUUUUAGAUUUGGUACUGUUCUGCCUAAAACCAUAUUUUAUUGUUGUUAAACAGUAAAACAAGGUGCACCAUGUUAAUCUAUGCAUUUUCCUACCCCAUUUACAUAUCAAGUUUAUUUAUAAUGGAGCUACGGUUAUUUAGUUAUGAAAUAAAUCAUUUUAACAUGGCAUUCGAGCAAAUUUAAACAAACAGCAUUUUAAACAUGGAUGAGAGUGGCAUAUUAUGAAACUAGAUGAAAUUCUGAGCAUUUUACAUGUUUACAUCAUUUUAAUCCGAUGCACGGUUAAAGAGUUAUUAUAUGCAUGAUGUUUGAGGGGUUUUCUGUAAAACAGUAAAUCCUGGGAUAAUUGAUUAAAUCCGUCCAGAGGAAAAAAACACUAUACGGGCCGAAACUGCUGGGCGGCUAGGCUGCUCACCAUGGGCCAAGGCCCAGGCGGUGGAGAGGUAGGCCGAGACGGACUGGGCCGCGCGGGGACGUGGCUGGCGACGCGGGACGAGCGGAAGCAGAGGAGUGGUCAACGCGGCUGCGCGACUGCAGCCUCCUCCUCUCGAACAGAGGCAGGAGCGGGACUUGGCGGCGCCAGACGACGACGGGCGCGGGACAGGUCGAUCCGGGGCGGCAACUCCAGAUCCAGGCGCGAGGAAGGCCGCCGGUGGCUUGGGCUUCAGGCUCCUGUCCAUGGGCAUGAAAGAGAGAGAGAUAUGUGAGGAACAGAGGGAAGCACGGGGAGGAAGGGAGAGACAGGGGAGGAGAGGAGCAGGACGAGGCCGGUCCUUGCCGUGGUCGACGGAGGGCGAGGUCGCCAGCAGCAGGUCGAGCUCCUGUUUGAGGAAGGAGGCGCGCGAGGUGGAGCUUCGGCACGGGAGUUCGAGGCGGCGGGGUCGACGUGCUCGGGAACGAGGGCGCCAUGGGAGGAGCAUGAGAGGAGCUCGGGGUAGGAGGCGUGCUGGAGCAAGGGCUGGAGGGCUCCUGGUGCUCCGGUGGCUUGGCGUUCGAUUUGGAGCAGGGAAGCAGAGGCGGGGCGAGGGACUUGGCGCAGUGACGGGAAGAUGGAGGUCGUCGGCGGCACUUGGCGGCGGGGACGGCUGGAGGCAGAGUGAAGGAGGUCCGAUGGAGGAGGCGAUGGUGGCGUCCUCAUGGUGCUGGUUCGGUGGCGUCGGUGUUCCUGUGAAGCAGAGAGAGAGACAGACAGAUGAGGUGAGCCGCGGGAAGAAGAGCGAUGACGAAGGAGAAAGAAAGAGGAGGGCGGGGAGGAGAAGGAAGCAAAGGCAGUGCAGGGCACUCAUCUUCUCGUCGGGGACUCGCCGGAGCGGCGAGGCAAGGUCGGGGCCGAUAGGGAGGCGGCGCCGCGGAGCUGCUAGUGGCGGAGGAGCUCGGGCAUGAGCUCUUGUUCGAUCCAACCGAGAGGAGGACGAGCAGGGACGAGGUGCCUGAGGGGAAGCUUCGGGGCUGGUUCUGGUUGGUGGGAUUGGAUCGGGGGGAAUGAGGAGAUCCCGAGGAAGAAAGGGAGGUGGGUGGCGGCGGCUCGGGAAUAGGUGGAUGGAUGGGACAGUAUCCCUAGUUUUUAGGGUUAGAGUAGACUGAUUAUAUAGCAGUUGGAUUUUUGGGUAUGUGCUAAUUCGGUCCCUCCGAUUAAAAUUGAGCGGUCGAGAAAAAUAGGCUAGGAAGUCCAAAUAAGAAAACGGAGAUGUUUAAUAGAUGUUAGGGGAUGAUCCGGACCCAACGGUAACGAUGGUCCGGUUCGGGUUCGGGGAAGUUUUCGGACAUGGGCGAGGGGUCGAUGCACUGUGCAGAGAGGUUCAAACGGCCGGACAACAAAAGAACAGUCGGUCUUGAGAAAGGUCAACAGAGACGAGGAAGAUGCGGCAACUAUCAACGGGUGCAAGUUUUUUGAAAACAUGCGAUGCAAUGCUCAUGAUGACAUGAUGAAUGCAACAAACAAAAUAAAACACACGGCGAACACGAAAUAUAUGGAAGGCAUCUGGAGCGUCGGUCUCGGGGCGUUACAGUCAAAGCUUGGAACUUGGUGGUGUCUCGAUCCAACAUCGGAGAGACGCAAUCUUUCCUUAUGCCAACCCGCCGAGUCAUCCCAAAGACUGGAAUCAGACAUGGUUCUACUGCCAAGAUACUUCUCCGGCUAAUGAGAACCCCUUGCCCAGCUUUCGCGCCUCGCGCCUCGAGUCUACUCAUCCUUUACCAGACAAGCUAUCUGCUGGUGAAUGCCAGAAACUUGCCCCCACCAUGUCCAAAGUCAAGGCUCUUUUGGGGAAUGGUUUGAGUGGUAUCGAUUUGGUCCGGGUCUGGGUUGCUUGGCGGAUCAUUCCAUAAAGCCGCCAUUCCGGUUUGAUGUGCACCUAUACCGGCGAGCAAAAUGAUUCUCUGCGGCACAAUUCUGUCGAUUUACUGGAAGAUGUCAUUGAUGAUACGACAAAGUCGCUCUUGAACGAGAGCCUAGCAGAUUGUAGCAAGUUUUGCUUAAGUCCCUUCUGCAAAGCUAACCCGGCUCCAACGGUAAGCCGCCAAACUUAAGUAUUCUUACUCUCACCCUUAAGGUUUUGUCUUUACUCAUACUCUCACUGUUUUUCACAGGCUAGUGAUAAAUUCUGGAAAGUCAAAUAUGAUCACGAGUCUACUCAUCCUUAUCAAUGGGAGCAGCAAGGACCGGCGGCUCAGAUAACUGUCUCUUCAAAUCUUCAAAGGCAGCGUUAGCAGCAUCACUCCAGACAAAGUCGUCCGUCUUCUUCAUCAUCUGAUACAGUGGUAUGGCCUUCUCACCUAACCAUCUUAUGAACCGGCUUAAGGCAGCAAUACGACCCGCCAGACGCUGAACAUCAUUGAUACACGCCGGCUUAGCCAAAGAGGUGAUUGCCUUGAACUUCUCUGGGUUAGCCUCAAUGCCUCUGUUAGAAACCAGAAAACCCAAAAGCUUGCCUGCUGGCACUCCAAAAACGCAUUUGGCCGGGUUAAGCAUCAUCUUGUAGACCCGGAGAUUAUCAAAGGUGUAACACCCCAGAUGUAACUUUCCAUAUUUGUAACUCCAACUCUUGCCAUUUUUGGCUAUGUGUUAUGAUAUUCCCUUCGUGGCCGGGUUUUUGUAUUUCGUUUUGCAUUUUGUUCAUGUCAUCCAUCUCAUAUCGUGUCAUCAUGCGCAUCUCAUUUGCAUACGUGUUCGUCUCAUGCAUCCGAGCAUUUUCCCCGUUGUCCGUUUUGCAAUCCGGCACUCCCACAUGCACCGACGCACCCCUCUUGUUUCUUUUCGUGAGCGGGUGUUAAACGUUCUCGGAAUGGACCGAGGUUUGCCAAGUGGCCUUGGUACACCACCGGUAGACCACCUGUCAAGUUUCGUUCCAUUUGGAGGUCGUUUGAUGCUCCAACGGUUAACCGGGUAACCGCAAAGGCCUUUUGAGUGUGCAGCCCAACACCCCUCCAAAACAGCCCAAUAACCCAUCUAAGUCCCCUCCAUGCUCUCAGUCGUUCGAUCACGAUCGUGCGAGCGAAAACCGCACUCCAUUUGGAGUCUUCUAGCUCCCUCUACCUAUAAAUAUGUGAUCCCCCCGAAAUUUUUCGGGCAAAACCCUAGUCUUCCCCUUCCUCCGCACGCCGGACACGUCCGCCCGGCGCCGGACACGUCCGCCGCCGCACCCGAGCCAGCCAGGAGCCACCACGUGGCAGCGCCGCCAUCCGCCGCUCCGCCCUCCAUCGCCGGCGCUCCUCGCCAGCCGCCGGACCUCGCCGCGCCGCCCGNNNNNNNNNNNNNNNNNNNNNNNNNNNNNNNNNNNNNNNNNNNNNNNNNNNNNNNNNNNNNNNNNNNNNNNNNNNNNNNNNNNNNNNNNNNNNNNNNNNNNNNNNNNNNNNNNNNNNNNNNNNNNNNNNNNNNNNNNNNNNNNNNNNNNNNNNNNNNNNNNNNNNNNNNNNNNNNNNNNNNNNNNNNNNNNNNNNNNNNNNNNNNNNNNNNNNNNNNNNNNNNNNNNNNNNNNNNNNNNNNNNNNNNNNNNNNNNNNNNNNNNNNNNNNNNNNNNNNNNNNNNNNNNNNNNNNNNNNNNNNNNNNNNNNNNNNNNNNNNNNNNNNNNNNNNNNNNNNNNNNNNNNNNNNNNNNNNNNNNNNNNNNNNNNNNNNNNNNNNNNNNNNNNNNNNNNNNNNNNNNNNNCGUCCCCGACCGCCGGCGCCUCCUCUCUCUCUGUUCGAGCUCCAGCCUCCCCGUCCUUCCAAAUCCGGCGAGCGCCCCGGUGAACCUCGAAGACCGCGCCGGAUCUGGAUCUGACGAGGUUGACUCCCCCCCGUUUUUCCUCCGUCCUGAAGAUAUCACAUUAUGUUGCUCUGUUCAUCAUGGCAUAUCUCAUUGCAUACUGCUCCAUUUCAUGCGUGUGAUAUAUCAGAAUGUUCAUCACGAGAUGCUCUUCAUUUUGUUCCAUUGUGCCAUGCUCGUUUGAGUCCAUCUUGAUGCCCAAAUCUCAGGUGCAAGAGUGCUAUAUGAUGUUUACUGCUGUUACUUAUCAGAAAUUGAUGUUUUGUUAUUUUUGUUGCAUUUGAUGUGUGCAUCCUAUGGGCAUCAGCUCUACAGGUGUUUUGAUAUAUGCCAUGCCAUAUUUACAGAGGUGUAUGCCAUGUAUUUUUGUGAUCUAUGUGGUGAGUAGCACAAGCAUGCAAACUAGGCUUCGUGAUGUUUCUGUUUUCAGGGACUUAGGUUUUUGCUAAGUCUUUUAUCUGCUAUUAUUUUGUUGCCAUGUAUCCAUGUGGCUACAGUGAGAUCCAUGCUUAUUUUGAGUAUGUUCAUUAAGGAUGUUUUGUAUAUAUAGUUGUGAUCUAUCCAUACAUGUCCCUUUUUGCAAUUAUGGAGUGCCCUAGCAUGUCUUAAUCUUGCUCUACUUUUGCUAUAAAAUAUUCCUGGCAGAUUGUUAACAUGAUAUUCAAUUUUGCCAAGGUUGUUGUAGUUGAUCCAUACAUGCUAUGAACUUGCUCUUGCCAUGGUUAGCUCCAUGAACAUGCCAUCUUGCUGUAGGUAUGCUUGUUUUGUCAUGAAUUUCUUUGUGAUGAGUGAAUCGAGCUCACAAAGAUGCCUUCAUAAUUCUGUUUUUGCCAUGCUCUGUUUUCUGCCAAGUCUGAAACCUGUUAACGAAACUUGCUAUGUUUACAUGGGUGCCAUCAUAUCUUCUGUGCAUUUUUGGCUCAUGGUCAGUAAGGGACUUUUGUUCUAUGCAUUUAGUAGAUUCAUGCCAUGCCUUGUUUUGCUAUGAUAAGUUCCUGUAGCAUAUGUUUUGCUUGCUCUGAACAUUGCUACCUGAUGCUGUUUCAGCCAUGUUCAGUAUUUUCACCAAGUCUGUGAAGCUGAUAUCUUUUGCACUUUUGCGAUGCUUGUUUGAACCUGUUAUAUUGUGACCUAGCCGUAGCUCAGUGUUCAUCUUUUGUCAAGCAUAUUCUGUAGAUCACUGCCAUAUGCUUUGUUGCUAUGUUGGGGUGUUGUAGCAUAGUUACUUGAUGUAUCCUAUGUGCUAUCAUGCUGUUAAUCGCAGAAUCGUGUCAUUCUUGUUUUGCUUGCCAUUUGCAAACCGUGCAUCCGUUUCCGGUGAUCUUUAUAUCGAUUUCGACCAAAAUCAUCUCAUCUUUCCAGUGGCAUACUUGGUUUGCCAAGUUGAUGCCCUGUUCAUCCUUUUUCUUCUGGAGCACGCAUAUGCAUCGCAUAUCACAUCUCGCAUAUCAUGCAUGUAUUGCAUCAUGUUGCUUGUGCAUUUCCCGUGAUUGAUUGUGGUUUCAUUGCUUGUGUUCUUGCUGUGGGUAGAUCCGGGAGACGAGUUCGUGAACGAGGAACCUGUUGAGUACGCUUACGAGGAUCAAGCUUUCGACAACUCUGAGAACCUUGCAGGCAAGAUGACCAUACCCUCGAAAUCACUUCUAUCUUUGCUUUGCUAGUUGUUCAUUCUAUUGCUAUGCUACGCUACCUACCACUUGCUAUAUCAUGCCUCCCAUAUUUCCAUGUCAAGCCUCUAACUAUACUUUCCUAGCAAACCGUUGUUUGGCUAAGUUACCGCUUUUGCUCAGCCCUUCUUAUAGCGUUGCUAGUUGCAGGUGAAGUUGAAGUUGGUUCCAUGUUGGAACAUGGAUAUUUUGGGAUAUCACAAUAUCUCGUAUUUAAUUAAUGCAUCUUGUUGAGGAUAUAGACCUUAGAGUCACCCGCCAGGAGGGGCCGGGUUACUCGUACGGUCGUUGCCAGAAGCCCAGAGCCAAGUUUGAAGACGAUGGGCCAGAGAUGGGCUGAGACUCGGAUAUGGCUUAAAGCCCGUAGUUGUAAUCAUUGUUAUGGUAGAACUUGUAGUGUAAGACAAGUAUAGUUGAGAGUCCGAGCCGGACACUCUUAUGAGCCGGCCGGGACUCUGAGGGCUGCUGGGCGUCAGCCUCCCUAUAUAAAGGGACGACCCGGCAGCGGUUUAGGGGCGAGAACAAUCUCAUCGAGAGCCGGGAUAGCAAGUUUUGCUCCCUGGUGAUCGUAACCCUAAUCAAUACCAUCUCAACUGGACGUAGGCCUUUACCUUCACCGUAAGGGGCCGAACCAGUAUAAACCCUCGUGUUCCUUGUCCCACUUAACCCCUUCAAGCUUCCUAGUUGCAUGGCUCCACGACUAAGUCCUAGCUCGAGGACAUCUGCCGUGACAAUUCCACGACAGUUGGCGCCCACCGUGGGGCAAGCGCACGGUGGAUUUGAGUUCUUGAAGGGCAGCUUCAAAGGGCUCAAGGGAUACGCUGUGGGCCGGAUGACCAAGAGUCGUCGCGGCAAGCUCUACAUCGACGAUGCAGACUGGGGCCCCGAUGCCAGCUCAGUUGAGUACGGGUACCGGGUCCCCUUCGGUGGAAUUCAUGUCUUCAUUGGCAAGAUUGGUGAGCCAGGCCCUGAGCCGGAUCUCUGCGUCGAUCUCAUCGAAACGGCUCAGCGCGCACGACCCGCCCGGGCCCGGCCUGCCUUAAGGCGCGCUUUUGUGGGAUGCAUCCAUGGAGGGCCCUCUGAUCCAUCUGGGUCUGGUGAUGAGGCGGCCGCCGGCUCUGACGGCGAGUCGGCCACCGAUGAGUCAAACUCGUUGUACCAACUCCAAGAUGGCAGGCUCAUGGGUUGUUCCGAUGGCGACAGUAUUCCGGACCUUUUUGAGCCGCCAAGUCAGGUUGGAGUUUUUAUGGCUGGUGCGUAGCCUGUUCAGAACCCCACUGCCGGAUCGGGAAACCCGGUGCCCUCUCCGGCUCAGGUGCUGAUGGAUCUCACGGACAAGAUGACGGCCCUGUUGACCGCCACGGUUGACCCGGCGGAUCAAGCCCAGCAUGAUGUGGAGGUGGCACAGUUGAAAUUGGAUCUGAUAAAAGCUAAAGAGGAUCUUGCAGCGGAAGGAAUCAGGCUGGCUGCGGAGCGGGCGGCUCUCGAUGCCCAGACUCAGCUGAUUCAGGCGCAGUCCUUCCAACUCACGAUGGAUCAGAACGCGGCCAAUGAGGUCAUGAGAAGGAGGCAUCAAAAGGCCCAUUCCCGACUCCCGUCGGUUUACGAUCCACGCAACCUCUUCAACACGCCAGGUGCAGGGUCUAGUAACCCGCCAGGGGUCAUAGCACCCGGGUCUGGACCCCUUAUUCAGCCACGAGUUAUGGGGCCUCCCCAGGUGCCCCUGCCCCGCCUCAGUAUGUGCCAAUACCCCCCGGGUCAUUAUAAUAAUCCACUGGAGAACAUGGUCGCUGCGGCAGCACGGCUGGCGGCUCUCCCCGUUGACGGCGACUCUCCGACGGCCGACCCGCCGGGUCAGGGAACUCCUUCAGACAGCACUGGCGCAGCAAGAGGCGUACUCCUACAGCCGGGACAGGAUCCACUCGACCCCUCGUCCAGGCCAGAGCCCGAGUUACAGCCGGCACAUGGUCUCAGCAACCGGCUCAAGUAACGUCCGACGCCAUGACCCGCCCCCUGGCCAUGGCCCGGCUCAUAAUGGAGCCUUUUACGCAGCGGACCAAGCGCGGCAAGAGGCGGAGAAAGUGCCUCAAUUGACGGCUUACCAGACCCCCCCCCCGGCUUAUCCGACGACUUCCGUGGAUGUGGGUAUCCCUACCAGGACCGGGGGUGUCCCUUGUUUGGUGCCAGCUAUCCGUAAUGAACGUCUACCUAAGGACUUCAAAGGCCCUAGGAAAGUGCCUAACUACACAGCUGACUUACAACCUGCAGCCUGGAUUGAGAGUUAUGAGAUGGCUAUGGAAUUGCUGGAGGUCAGUGAGGCGGCCAUGGCCAAGUAUUUCACCAUGAUGUUAGAUGGAACUACCCGCACAUGGUUGAAAGGGCUACCACCGAAUUCCAUUGGGUCUUGGGCUGAGCUGAAAGCCCGGUUCAUCCAAAACUUCAAGAAUACCUGUAGGCAGUCUAUGUCAAUUGUGGAUUUGACUAACUGUAAGCAGCAGGAGGGUGAAUCCACGACCCAUUGGGUUCGCCGGGUCAAGGAGAUCAUACAUUCAUCAGAUAAGAUGGAUGCCGGCUCUGCAGUCUUAAUGUUGGAACAAAACUGUCGCUUUGUGCCCCUAAAGAUGAAACUCGGGCGACUUAAACGCGACUGCACUGAUAUGGGUACACUAAUGGCGGCUCUUGUCAAGUACGCCGAGUCCGAUGGUACCAAGGAUCACCCUUCAGAUGAUGAAAGGACAGGGAAGGGAAAGAAGAACGGCAAUGGCAAGGGUCCUCAGUUUAACCCGGGGAACCAAGGAGGAGGCAAGCGCAAGGCCGAUGGCAGCCUAGAGUUUGUAGCCAAUGCCAACUCCCAAGGUAACAACCAGCGACGCAAGGGGAGGCCCCCUCCCCGAGGCAGCAGGUCAGGUCCAACGCUGGAGCAGCUGUUGAAUGAACCUUGUCCAAGGCAUGGCUCUAGAGAGAAGCCAGCGACUCAUCUGUGGAAGGAUUGCGCGAUCAUGAAGGCCUUUAAGAAUUACAAUGGCCCGGGCGGCGGCUCAGGUGCUGGCGGCUUUCAUGGCCUGGGCGGCGGCUCAAAUUCCGGUCCUCAGAAUGGUCAAGGGGGCUUUAAUCAACAGGCUGGCCAGGGUCAUCAACAGCAGCAGGGGGGUUAUCAGACCAAUCCAAAGCAGCUAAGCGGUGGACAGUAUCAUGUAUUUACCACUAGUCUGUGCAAGCGAGAUCAGAAGCUUCACAAGAGGGUUGUGAACGCUGUUGAGCCGGCGGUCCCACGCUACUUACGAUGGUCUGAGCAGCCCAUAGUGUGGAGUAGGGAGGAUUACCCUCCUCGGGUGGAUAACCCGGGCCACUUGGCCUUAGUGGUGGCUCCUCAAGUGGGAGGAUAUAAGUUCACAAAGGUGCUCAUGGAUGGAGGCAGCAGCAUCAACAUCCUCUAUUAUGAGACUUUUCGUCGUAUGGGGUUGGUUGAUAAGAACCUCAGCCAGUCCAACACUAUCUUUCAUGGUGUAGUACCUGGUAAGUCGGCUUAUCCAGUUGGCAAGAUCGAAUUGGAAGUGGCUUUUGGUGAUGAGAAUAACUACAGGGUGGAGAAAUUGACCUUUGAAGUGGUCAAGAUAAGAAGUCCAUACCAUGCUAUAUUUGGACGGCCGGCUUACGCCAAGUUCAUGGCACGGCCGUGUUAUGUGUACCUACAGCUCAAGAUGCCGGGUCACAAUGGGACCAUUACGGUUCACGGCAGCCGGAAAGUGGCUCUGGAAUGUGAGGAAGGCGACGCGGCUUAUGCAGAAUCUGUUUGUGCUACAGAGGAGUUGAAGUUUUACAAGGACAAUGUUGACCCAACAGACAUGACCUCUCUGAAAAAGCCGACUACGAAAAAUGAGCCGGCGAUGAAAUUUAAGUCGGCUGAUGAGACUAAGCUUGUUGAUUUUGUUCCAGGGGAUUCAUCUCAGCAGUUUAGCAUCAGUGCCAAUCUGGAUCCAAAAUAGGAAAGUGCGCUCAUCGAGUUCAUCCGUGAGAAUAGGGACAUCUUCGCAUGGAAACCCUCUGACAUGCCAGGUGUACCUAGAGAACUCGCUGAGCAUACUCUCAACGUUGAUCCUAAAUUUAAGCCGGUCAGACAGUUCCUUCGGCGGUUUAAUGAAGAGAGGCGGAAAGCCAUUGGUGAAGAAGUAGCCCGGCUCUUGGCAGCCGGGUUUAUCGUGGAAGUUUUUCACCCAGAGUGGUUGGCUAACCCGGUGCUUGUACUCAAGAAGAACGGCACCUGGCGGAUGUGUGUGGACUACACGGACUUGAACAAGGCGUGUCCGGCUGAUCCUUUUGCCCUCCCCCGUAUUGAUCAGAUCAUUGAUGCUACGGCAGGUUGUGCACGUUUAAGUUUCUUGGAUGCUUAUUCUGGUUAUCAUCAGAUCAAGAUGGCAGUUAAGGACCAGGAGAAGACGGUGUUUAUCACUCCCUUUGGAGCCUUCUGUUAUGUGUCUAUGCCCUUUGGACUCAAGUGUGCACAGGCUACUUACCAGCGUUGUGUACAGAACUGUCUUCAUAAACAGAUUGGGCGCAAUGUUCACGCUUAUGUGGACGAUAUUGUGGUUAAAUCCAUCAAAGAGGAAACCCUGAUAGAUGAUUUAAGGGAAACCUUUGAUAAUCUUCGGGUUUAUAAGAUGAUGCUUAACCCGGCCAAGUGUGUCUUUGGUGUUCCUGCAGGCAAACUUUUGGGCUUCUUGGUUUCUGACAGAGGCAUUGAGGCUAACCCGGAGAAGAUCAAGGCCAUCACCUCCCUGGCUAAGCCGGCAUGUAUAAAUGACGUUCAGCGCUUGGCGGGUCGCAUCGCUGCUUUAAGCCGGUUUAUAAGCCGUUUGGGUGAGAAGGCCAUGCCCCUAUAUCAGUUAAUGAAGAAAACGGAUACUUUUGUCUGGAAUGAUGCAGCUAAUGCCGCCUUUGAGGAUUUAAAGAAGCAGCUGGCAGAGCCCCCAGUCCUUGCUGCUCCGGUUGAUAAGGAGCCCUUGCUACUGUAUGUGGCGGCAAACGCACGAGCCGUCAGUGUGGCUAUUGUGGUGGAACGCAAGGAGGAGGGUAAGGAGCAUCCGGUUCAGCGGUCGGUUUAUUAUGUCAGUGAAGUGCUCAUUGAGUCCAAGCAGCGAUACCCGCAUUGGCAGAAGCUGGUAUAUGGUGUGUUCAUGGCGAGCCGGAAACUUAAGCAUUAUUUUCAGGGCCAUCCCAUCACUGUGGUCAGUUCUGCCCCCCUUGGUGAUAUCAUUCAAAACAGAGAGGCCACAGGGAGAAUUGCUAAGUGGGCUAUAGAACUUGGACCCCACGGUCUCAAAUAUGUGCCACGCACUGCUGUUAAGUCUCAGGCCUUGGUGGAUUUCAUCAAUGAUUGGACAGAGUCACAAGUGCCCGAGCAAAAGCCGGAUAACACGUAUUGGACUAUUCAUUUCGAUGGGUCCAGGCAGUUGGAGGGCUCGGGGGCUGGCGUUGUAUUGGCGUCCCCUAAAGGUGACAAGUUCCAUUAUGUGCUACAGUUGAUGUUUCCUUGCACUAACAACGCAGCUGAGUACGAGGCCCUGCUCCAUGGUCUUCGGAUGGCUAAGGAGAUGAGCUUGAGCCGGGUAAGGUGCUUUGGUGACUCAGACUUGGUGGCUCAACAAGUAUCAGGCACGUGGGAUUCUAAGGAUCCUCGCAUGGCGGCUUAUCGCCGCGAGGUCGACGCCAUUGCUGGGCACUUUCAGGGCUACCAAGUGGAGCACAUUGAUCGCAGGAAGAACGAGGCGGCUGAUGCUCUAAGCCGGUUAGGCUCUCAGCGAAAGCCGGUGCCGCCUAACACUUUCCUAGACGUCCUGUAUAACCCUUCGGUUAAGUUGCCUACAGAGGAAGACUUGGCUGUCCCUGACCCGGAGGCACGGCUAGUGGCGGCUCUUCAUGUCAUACCAGACUGGACAAUGCCAUAUCUGGCUUAUAUAACCCGGGGAGAGUUGCCUGAGGAUGAAACUUUGGCCAGGCAAAUAACCCGGCGGGCUAAGUCAAUGAUCGUUAUCGACGGCGAAUUGCAUCAUCGCAGUGUCUCAGGGGCAUUUCAGCGUUGUAUCUCCCCUGAGGAAGGUCAAGAGAUCUUGCGUGAGAUCCAUGAAGGGGAUUGUGGCCAUCAUGCCGGCUCAAAAUCCCUUGUGGCCAAGGCUUUCCGUCAUGGUUUUUAUUGGUUGACGGCUCAUGCUGAUGCAGAGGACUUGGUCAGUAAAUGUGAUGGUUGCCAAAGGUUCUCACGACGGGCUCAUGUGCCGGCUCAGGAGCUGAGGAUGAUCCCAAUUACUUGGCCCUUUGCGGUCUGGGGGCUUGAUAUGGUUGGGCCUUUUAAAAGGUCCAAGGAUAAGAAGACCCACCUCUUGGUGGCAGUUGAUAAGUUCACAAAAUGGGUAGAAGCGGAGCCCGUUAGCAAGUGCGAUGUAGCCACGGCAGUUCAGUUUAUGAAAAAGGUGAUUUUCCGCUUCGGAUUUCCGCACAGCAUCAUAACUGACAAUGGCACCAAUCUAUCCAAAGGCGCUAUGGAAGAGUUUUGUCAACGAGAGCAUAUCCGACUUGAUGUUUCCUCAGUGGCUCAUCCCCAAUCCAAUGGUCAAGCUGAGAGAGCUAACCAGGAGAUUCUGAAGGGCAUCAAGCCCCGGCUUUUGGUCCCUUUGCAACGGACGUCGGGUUGUUGGGUGGAGGAGUUGCCCUCCGUCUUAUGGAGCAUCAAUACUACUCCUAACAGGUCUACAGGCUUCACGCCUUUCUUCAUGGUCUAUGGAGCAGAAGCAGUCCUCCCCAGCGACAUCCGUCACGACUCACCUCGCGUGGCGGCUUAUGUUGAGACGGAUAAUGAACAGGCGCGCCAGGAUGCUCUUGACUUGUUGGAUGAACAGCGUGAUGUGGCGGCAGCCCGUUCAGCGAUUUACCAAAAAGACCUGCGCCGUUAUCAUAGCCGCCGGGUCAAAUCCCGGGUCUUUCAGGAAGGCGAUCUCGUGCUCCGGCUCAUCCAGGAUCAAACAGAUGCACACAAGUUAUCCCCACCUUGGGAAGGGCCCUUUGUGGUCAGCAAGAACUUGCACAACGGGUCAUAUUACCUCAUUGAAAUUCGGGAGCACAAAGAUUCACGUAAGUCUGAGGAAGAGACCCAUCGGCCGUGGAACAUAGCUCAGCUUCGGCCUUACUACACUUGAGCUACCGGCUCUCGUGGUGUACAUAUUUGUCUCAGCCAUGUAUAUAUUAUGAUAAGUAAUAAAGCAGGACCUCUGUCCUUUUUUCUCCUCCAAAUAUGCACGUGUUGUUUUUAUUACAAGAUUACAUGAUGACUUAAAGGAGGAUCCGGCUUAUGAUCGUAUUCGAAUCAGCAUCGUUAAACAAUUUUAAAGUCACUUGGGGGCUUCCUGUUCAAACAUGGGUCGUAUUCGAACCAAAGAGAACAUAGCUGUCGAUACCCAUUUGAUUGGCAAAGAGCCGAGCUCAUUGGGAGGUUAUCUUUGGUCAUAUUUGAAUCAUAGUUUAACCCCUCUGAGAACCGACGAGGAUCGUAUUCGAAUCAGCGUCGUUAAACAAUUUUAAAAAUCACUUGGGGGCUUCCUGUUCAAACAUGGGUCGUAUUCGAACCAAAGAGAACAUAGCUGUUGGUACCCUCUUGAUUGGCAUCGCCACACCCACUGGGGGCUAUAUGAUCGUAUCCGAAUCUUGGCUUAACCCCUUUGGGCCGGGUCUCUGGUUGUAUUCGAACCGGAAGCCCCUAAAAGUUCCUCUGCUUUAUCACAAGUUUACUCUGAUCAUGUCAAGGUGUGUACGGCCGGGUCUCACUUUACCGGCUUAACUUUGGUUUACAGUGUUCGUUGAACGCCAUGGGUAUCAUUAUGACAGAUAAGGCGGAAUUAGGAUACCAACCUUGUUACCCGGGUUAUUUAAACCGGAAGUAUGCUUACUGGCCGCUAAGUGUUAUUACGGCUAUGUCAAGCAGAUAAUUGAGGACCAGUCUCUUUUUGAUUCAUAUUCUGGGUUAUCUAUCCAAGACACCUGAUUCUUCGGGCGGUAAGCCGCCUUGAGACUUGUGAUUUGCCUUUUUAUGCAGAAUACUUAAAGGUACCUCUUUGAGGUUGAGAAAAACAAAAGGAUGAUUAUGACCCGGAGAAAUAUUAAGGAGACAACUUCAAAAGACCUUGGCAUUCAAUACGUGCACGAUGGCACGGUAGAGAUAGACUGUUGCACCUACUCUAUUACAAAAACUCUUCAAGUCUAAAAGGUGGAACAUUGUUUGAUAAACCGCCAGCCAAAUUAUGAUGCUUGCUGAGUUGAGGUCCCCGGCUCAUUCCUAUCUCCUCCUCCGGCUGAUCCCAAGACCUCGAAGGUUGAUGACUUCCAGUUGAUGCCGCUGAGAGCUUCGAAUUGGGCUUCUUCAUCAAUUAACCCGGCCGGGUCAAUCUCCGGGGCGAAGGUGUGCUGACGAGCCGGCGGGAUCAGGUUGAGGGCUUCAUAGCGAGGGGUCGGAAUCCUCUGAUUCUCCGCGUCAUAACCCGGCUGGUACUUGGUCAGAUCUGUGUCAUUCCCGAUGAGGGUGGCCACCGGGCGUACAGCUUUCACGCACGCUGCGAAGUCCUUCUGGUCAAAAGCUGAGCCGUCUUCCUUCAGGCUUGGAUAACCCAGGGCGAUGUCUGCCGGGUCUAGUUCCGGCAGAAAUGCCUUGGCCCGGCUCAGCGCGGCGAUUGCGCCGGCUCUCGCGGAGGCCCGUCGCAGCUCUUGGAUCCGCUGAGGCAGAACGGCGAGCCGGCGCAGGACUUCGGCCAGAUGAGUUGGCACCUCGUUGGAUAGGGCCACCACAGCUAAGGCACGCUGUGACCCGGUGUAGAGCUGUUCCACCAGGGUGUACACGGCCUUUAACUUGGUGACCACGCUCUGGUUGAGGUUGGCACUCCUGGGACUUGUUUAACAGAAUCAGAUAAGCCGGUGACAAGGAUGACUCAUGACAUAUACAAACUUGAUGAAAGCCGGUGAGGCGACUUACCGAAGAUAGCGGCCACCAUUUGGGAAACCUGGCGCUUUAAGCCGGAGAGCUCGGCGGUCUUCUCAGUGAGAGCCUUCUCCGCCUGUUCCGCCCGGGUCACCAGUGCGGCCUUCUCUUCGACCCAGGCUUUUCUCUCAGCAUCAAACUCGGUCUUCAAUUUUUAUUGAGUGGCGAUGCUGGAUACAAACUUGGCGUUUGCCUUCCGGGUCUCCAUCUCCUGCAUCUUCAGCCGGCUCUUGAGAUCCGCAAGGUCCGCCUCUAGUUUCUUGCCAACAGCCUGCAUAUAUUUCCGGGUUAUUAACAGUCAUUAUAUUAGUCCCAAGCGUUUUCCAAGCAAAGACACUUGGCACUUGGGGGCUAAUGCAUAUUGAAUGUAUCUAUCUACAUACUGCCGGCUCAGUUGAGUAAGCCGGAACCUAAGUCUACAACAUAUUCAAGCAUAAGUCGUCGACUUGGGGGCUAGCAUGGCAAAGGUAACUAUGCAGUAAGUAAGAAGACAGCAGAAGGAUACCUCAGAUUUUUGUUGGAUCUGGUUGACCAUGGCGACCUCGGCGUCCCGGCUCUUGUGUACUUGGCUGAUGUAGCCAGAGACAAGCUCUCCAAUGCUCAAGUCGGUGUAGCCGGAGAGGUCCAGGUUCACCCGGUGGGGCUGCAGCAACUCCCCCUUCGCGGAGCAUUUGGCCAACAUGGUCGGUCUCCCCGGCUCAACGAACUCCGUCCGGGUGAUAACCACGUCCGGGUCGUCUGCUGGUGGAGCUGAGCCGGAGGCCUCCGGGUUAACCGAAGUUUCGGUCGUUGCCUUGGUAGUCGGGGCAGAGGCCUCAGGUGCCGUGUCCAUUGGAGUGGUGGCUUCGGGGGCGGAGGCAGCUGGCGGCUCUUGAGCUGUCACCUCCGGUUCAGGUACGUCCGGCACUCCGGCUGACCUGGUCUUCUUCGCUCUUUUGGUGAGCUUUGCCUGGGCACUGAAAAGACAGAAGUGUUAGGCACACAAAGAGUAAGUACAGACAAAGAUACUGUAAGAUGAUUGUUGUUACCCGGGCGCAGUCUUGAAGGCCGGCAGAUUUGACUGCAUGGAGUCACCUGAAGAGGGGGAGGUCUCCUGAUAAUUGGAGUCAGAAGAGUUGAGUGGCUGACGGAUAACACCCGCCAACGGAUGAAAAGGGUACAAGUGAGAAAAAACCUCAGUGCGACGCUUCCUUGUUGCGUCGGGUAACCCGGCGGAGAGAUCGGUGUCCUUGUUGGUCCGGGUGUGACGCCGGCUUUCGUGAACCUGUCGCUUCAAAAGAAAUUGAGGGUCUUGAUGAGCUAAAGGAUGUGAAAAGCUUACUUUCCGGGUUACCCUUCGGACUUUCAGCUGUGGCAAGGGCUCCGAGUCGGAGGAAAGUGACAUUACCUCUUCAACCACCGGGUUACUGGCGCCGGUGUCAUCCUGUCAAUGAGCAAGUGUUGAUAAGGCGGACAGCAACAAACCACAAGUACAGCAAGAGUUUAAAGGCUUAGGGGUUACCUCUGACUCGGAGAUGUCGCUUAGUUGCAUCAGCUCCGAAGCAGUAGGUCUGCUUCCUUUUUUACGAGGGGCGGCUUUCUUCGCCUUCCUGGCCUUCUUGGCCGCCUCAUGGUCAUAUUUGACCCGCCAGAACUUAUCAUCAGCCUGAAAAAUACAAGGAUGAAUUUUCAAAACGGUUCAGAUGCAGGUUAUAUGCAGAAGGAGAUAAAAUAUUAAAGUCAGUGGCUUACCGCUGGGGCCGGGUUGGCCUUGCAGAAGGGGGCUAACCCGGUCCUUCCACAGUCUGCCAGACUCUCGUUUAACAGAGCCUUGGUCUCUUCCUCAGCAACGUCUUCUGGAAGAUCAUUGCGACUGUGCCUCUAAGGGUCAUCCUUUCGCCCGGUGUACUCACACAUUAAGCCGGGGCGGCGGCUCAAUGGGAUCACCCGCCAUGAGAUCCAGACCCGGACCAGGUCGAUUCCGUUCAGGCCGUUGCCCAGGAGGGCCUUGAUUUUAUUGAUAGUCGGAAGCAGAGGCUGGCGCUCCGCUACAGUCAGCUUGUCCUACAGCGGGUGAGUCGGCUCUAGACGUGUUGGGCGAAAGCCGGGCAGCGGGUUCUCGUCAGCCGGGGACGUAUCUUGGCAGUAGAACCAAGUCAUAUUCCAGUCCUUGGGGUGGCUCGGCGGCUCUGCGUAAGGGAAAAGACAGUCCCUACGCUGCUGGAUGGAGAUGCCACCUAACUCCAGACUUGGCCCGUUGGCGCACUCAUUUUGGCGGUUUAAGUAAAACAGCUCUCUGAAGAGCAGCAGACUAGGCUCUUCUCCAAGGUACACUUCGCAAAAGACUUGGAAAUUGCAGAUGUUGGACACGGAGUUGGGUCCUAUAUCUUGAGGCCGCAGGUCAAAGAAGUUGAGCACGUCCCUGAAAAACUUUGAGCCGGGCGGUGCGAAGCCCCAGCUCAUAUGAUCUGCGAAGAUCACUACCUCCCCGUCCCUUGGCUGUGGUCUCUCUUCCGACGGGUCAGGGGCACGGUAGGACAUGAUUUCCUUCUUAGGCAAAUAUCCGGACUUAACAAAAUUGACCAGGGUCUCGUUGGUGACGUUGGACCUCAUCCAGUUGCAAGUGAUGGGAGCCUUGGGAGGCAUGGUGAAAGUUGGUGGUCUAUGACAAAAAGGAAAAGUGUCCGGGUUAAUUAUAAACCGGAGAUUUACAGUUCCAAACUAUGGUGGCGGUUUAUGAAGGGGACUAAUGGUAUAUACUCAAAUAUGGUGGUUUUCUUUAAGUCGGAGGAUUCUACGAAGCAUGGUUUUCUUUAAGUCGGAGGAUUCGGCAGCGUGUGGUUUCUUUAACCCGGAAUCGUAAGCCGCCAAGAUUCAAUGGCUGCAGUUUUUACUAAGUGUGGUAAAACAGGUUUCACAUCUUGCAGUAACUUUUUUGGAUCAAAAUGGUUGGGUGAAAUGAAAAUUUUCUAGACCUAGAAACAGACGAGCAGAUGUUCUUGAGCUCGAACGAAUCAUCUAUACAGUGGAAAGAGAUCUACUGGCACUUGAAAUGAGGCCUAAACAACUACCGCACUAGUUUUAUACAAGGCUAAAGAUCCAACAAGUGCAGUGACUACGAGAACUACCGAGGCUUGUGGCAAUGGCGAUGAACGCGAAGAACACAGAUGAACCCUACGGUAGAUCUAUCUGACAGGGCAGAAGAGACUCACCGGAGUUGGAGAAGAGCGGAAGUCGCCGCCGUUCAUCUGGUCCGAGUCAGGGUGAUGCAGCGGCCGAGUUGAUGAAGACCAGGGGCGUGACGGCGGCGGCAGUGGCAGAGCUCGGGCAGAGGAGUGACGGCGCGAGGAGGAAGAAGAGAGCGUGAGAAGAGCCUGUCGGGCCGGCCUAUUUAUAAGGCAAGGUCAUAAGUGGGCGCGAGAUUCAAGGAGACCACGGCGUGGUUAUCUCCCCCCCACGACGCCUCGAUUUUUGGAAUGACAGUAAAAGCAAAGAUCCAUUGCAAAUCUGGCGGAGUAAAAACGGACUUAAUGGAGGAUGACGUCAUGGCGGAUUAUCCGGAGCUCAGAGGAUGACGUCACUCCGGGUCAUGGCCUUCACAUGAAUGGUAAGCCGGAGAUUUUUUCUGUCAGAAGAGUUGAAGAUUGACGUGAGCCAACUCAAAUCAAUCUGGGGCCUAAUGUUGAGGAUAUAGACCUUAGAGUCACCCGCCAGGAGGGGCCGGGUUACUCGUACGGUCGUUCCCAGAAGCCCGGAGCCAAGUUUGAAGACGAUGGGCCAGAGAUGGGCUGAGACCCGGAUAUGGCUUAAAGCCCGUAGUUGUAAUCAUUGUUAUGGUAGAACUUGUAGUGUAAGACAAGUAUAGUUGAGAGUCCGAGCCGGACACUCUUAUGAGCCGGUCGGGACUCUGAGGGCUGCUGGGCGUCAGCCUCCCUAUAUAAAGGGACGACCCGGCAGUGGUUUAGGGGCGAGAACAAUCUCAUCGAGAGCCGGGAUAGCAAGUUUAGCUCCCUGGUGAUCGUAACCCUAAUCAAUACCAUCUCAACUGGACGUAGGCCUUUACCUUCACCGUAAGGGGCCGAACCAGUAUAAACCCUCGUGUUCCUUGUCCCACUUAACCCCUUCAAGCUUCCUAGUUGCAAUGGCUCCACGACUAAGUCCUAGCUCGAGGACAUCUGCCGUGACAAUUCCACGACACAUCUAUAUAUUUGUUAAAGGGUGGGAGGCUCGGCCUUAUGCCUGGUGUUUUGUUCCCCGUCAUACCGGGAUUAUGUUCCUUGAGUUUGCGUUCCUUACGAGGUUGGGUGAUUUAUGGGACCCCCUUGACAGUUCGCCUUGAAUAAAACUCUUCCAGCAAGGCCCAACCUUGGUUUUACAUUUGCCUACCUAAGCCUUUUUCCCUUGGGUUUUCGCAAGCCCGAGGGUCAUCUUUAUUUAAACCCCCGGACCAGUGCUCCUUCGAGUGCUGGCCCAAACCGAGCGAUGUCCGGCGCCCCCUGGGAAACCAGGGUCUAUGCCAACCCGACGUCUGGCUCAUCCGGUGUGCCCUGAGAACGAGAUAUGUGCAGCUCCUAUCGGGAUUUGUCGGCACAUUCGGGCGGCUUUGUUGGUCUUGUUUUACCAUUGUCGAAAUGUCUUGUAAACCGGGAUUCCGAGACUGAUCGGGUCUUCCCGGGAGAAGGUUUAUCCUUCAUUGACCGUGAGAGCUUAUAAUGGGCUAAGUUGGGACACCCCUGCAGGGUAUUAUCUUUCGGAAGCCGUGCCCGCGGUUAUGAGGCAGAUGGGAAUUUGUUAAUGUCCGGUUGUAGAGAACUUGACACUUGACUUAAUUAAAAUACAUCAACCGUGUGUGUAGCCGUGAUGGUCGCUUUUCGGCGGAGUCCGGGAAGUGAACACGGUUCAGGUUAUGAAUGAACAUAAGUAGUUUCAGGAUCACUUCUUGAUCAUUUCUAGCUUCACGACCGUUGUGUUGCUCCUCUUCUCGCUCUUAUUUGCGUAUGCUAGCCACCAUAUAUGCUUAGUGCUUGCUGCAGCUCCACCUCAUUACCCCGUCCUUUCCUAUAAGCUUAAAUAGUCUUGAUCUCGCGGGUGUGAGAUUGCUGAGUCCUCGUGACUCACAGAUUCUACCAAAACAGUUGCAGGUGCCGACGAUACCAGUGCAGAUGACGCAACCGAGCUCAAGUGGGAGUUCGACGAGGAACGUGGUCGUUACUAUGUUUCGUUUCCUGAUGAUCAGUAGUGGAGCCCACUUGGGACGAUCGGGGAUCUAGCAUUUGGGGUUAUCUUAUUUUCAUUUGGAUUUGACCGUAGUCGGUCUAUGUGUGGAUUUUGGAUGAUGUAUGAAUUAAUUUAUGUAUUGUGUGAAGUGGCGAUUGUAAGCCAACUCUCGUUAUCCCAUUCUUGUUCAUUACAUGGGAUUGUGUGAAGAUGACCCUUCUUGCGACUAUACCUACAAUGCGGUUAUGCCUCUAAGUCAUGCCUCGACACGUGGGAGAUAUAGCCGCAUCGUGGGCGUUACAAAAGGUUUCCUUCAGAUCAUCUAUCAAGGUCUCCUUCUCUUUGGACUUCACCACAAUGUCAUCCACAUAAACAUGAACAUUACGCCCAAUCUGAUUGUGGAGACAGUUCUGCACACAUCGCUGAUAAGUCGCCUGAGCACUUUUAAGCCCAAAAGGCAUAGAUACAUAGCAGAAGGCUCCAAACGGAGUAAUGAAAGCCAUCUUCUCCUGGUCCUUAACUGCCAUCUUCAUCUGAUGAUAACCAGAAUAAGCAUCCAAAAAGCGCAAACGCUCACAACCCGCCGUAGCAUCAAUGAUUCGAUCAAUGCCAGAGAGAGCGAAGGGAUCAGCCGGGCACACUUUGUUUAAAUCCGUGUAAUCCACACACAUACGCCAGGUGUCGUUCUUCUUGAGUAAAAGCACCGGGUUAGCCAACCACUCUGGGUGAAAUACUUCAACAAUAAACCCGGCCGCCAAGAGCUGGGCCACCUCCUCACCAAUAGUUUUACGCCUCUCCUCAUUAAACUGCCGAAGAAACUGCUUGACCGGCUUAAAUUUUGGAUCAAUAUUAAGAGUGUGCUCAGCGAGUUCUCUCGGUACACCCGGCAUGUCAUAAGGUUUCCAUGCAAAGAUAUCCCGGUUCUCACGGAUGAACUCGAUGAGCGCGCUUUCCUAUUUGGGAUCCAGAUUGGCACUGAUACUGAACUGCUUAGAUGAGUCGCCUGGAACAAAAUCAACAAGCUUGGUGUCAUCGGCCGACUUAAAUUUCAUCACUGGCUCGUGUUCCGUGGUUGGCUUCUUCAAAGACGUCAUGUCCGCCGGGUCAACAUUGUCCUUAUAGAACUUCAACUCCUUUGUUGCACAAACAGAUUCAGCAUAAGCAGUGUCGCCUUCCUCGCAUUCCAAAACUAUCUUCUGACUCCCAUGCACUGUGAUGGUGCCCUUGUGACCCGGCAUCUUGAGCUGCAGGUAAACAUAACACGGCCGUGCCAUGAACUUUGCAUAAGCCGGCCGUCCAAACAGUGCAUGAUAUGGGCUCCGGAUUUUGACCACCUCAAAAGUUAACUUCUCAGCCCUGGAAUCAUGCUCAUCCCCAAAGGCUACUUCCACCUCAAUCUUACUCGUUGGGUACGCCGACUUACCGGGCACUACUCCAUGAAAAACAGUGUUGGACGUCUUGAGAUUUUUAUCAGUCAAUCCCAUGCGAUGAAAGGUCACAUAAUAGAGGAUGUUGAUGCUGCUGCCUCCAUCCAUGAGCACUUUUGUGAAUUUGUAUCCACCAACUUGAGGUGCCACCAUUAAGGCCAAGUGACACGGAUUGUCAACCCGGGGAGGGUGAUCCUCCCUACUCCAUAGAAUACGUUGCUCAUACCAUCUCAGAUAACGAGGAACUGCCGGCUCAACAGCGUUCACAGCCCUCUUAUGAAGUUUCUGGUCCCUUUUGCAUAAACUGGUGGUGAACACAUGAUAUUGCCCACUAUUCAGCUGCUUUGGGUUACUCUGAUACCCGGAUUGCUGCUGCUGCUGACCUCCUUGGCUAGAUUGCUGAUUAUAACCACCUUGGUUGCCUUGAGGGCCUUGAAAGUUAGAAUUUGAGCCGCCACUCGGGCCAUGAAAACCACCACCGCCUGAACCGCCACCGGGUCCAUGACUACCGUCGAACAUGUUAGAAUUCUUGAAAGCCCUCAUGAUCGUACAGUCUUUCCACAGGUGCGUGGCUGGCUUCUCCCGGGUGUCGUGUCUUGGAUAGGGCUCAUUUAGCAACUGCUCAAGGGUGGGACCUGACCCGCCAGACCGAGGAGGUGGCCUCCCCUUACGUUGUUGAUUAUUACCCUGUGCAUUAGCCACAAACUCCGAGCUACCGUCAGCCUUACGCUUAUUAUUACCUCCUUGAUUCGCCGGGUUAUGCUGAAGACCCUUAGCGUUGCCAUUCUUCUUUCCCUUCACUGUCUUCUCUUCAUCAGACGCGGGAUCCUUGGUACUAUCAGAGUCGGCGUAUUUGACUAGAGCCGCCAUCAGCUGGCCCAUGUCAUUGCAAUCGCGUUUGAGCCGCCCCAGCUUCUGCUUCAGAGGUUCAAAACGGCAUUUUUUCUCCAACAUUAAGACUGCAGAGCCGGCAUCCAUCUUAUCAGAUGAAUGUAUUAUUUCCUUCACCCGGCGCACCCAAUGGGUCGUGGACUCACCUUCCUCUUGCUUGCAAUUAGUCAAGUCCACAAUCGACAUGGGCUGCUUGCAUGUGUCUUUGAAGUUCUGAAUAAACCGGGCCUUUAACUCGGCCCAGGAACCAAUGGAAUUAGGUGGCAGUCCCUUUAACCAAGUGCGGGCCGUUCCAUCCAGCAUCAUAGUCCAUUGCCGCGUCAUUGACCUCCAGCAAUUCCAUGGCCAUCUCAUAACUUUCAAUCCACGCCCCGGGCUGUAAGUCGGCCGUGUAGUUAGGCACCUUUCGAGGCCCCUUGAAAUCCUUGGGCAAACGCUCAUUACGCAGUGGUGGUACUAAGCAAGGGACACCUCCCGUUCCCGUGGUCGCGCCUGCCUCAAUAGAAGUCAUCGGAUAAACCGGAAAAGACUGAUAAGCCGCCCGCUGAGCCGCCUGCUCAAUCGCCUGCUGAGCCGCCCGCUCAGCCUCUUGGCGUAUCUUGUCCUGAUCAACCAAGUUAGGGGCUCCAUCACGCGUCGGGUCAUGCCCACACGGUUGGUCACGGCGCCGGGCAUUGCUUGAAACCGCCGCCGAGUCCAUAUGCCUGCUAUAACUCGAGCUCCGGCUUGGGCGAGGGGUCAAAUGAAUCAUGUCUCGACUGUAAGAAUAUGCCUCCUGCUGUGCCAGAGCCGUCUGAAGAAGUUCUCUGACCCUUCGUGUUUCGAUCGCCGUCGGAGAGUCGCCCUCCACCGGGAGAGCCGCCAAUCGUGCCGCCGCAACGAUCAUGUUCUCCAACGGGUUAGAAUAAUGACCCGGUGGUGUUAGUACAUACUGAGGUGGAGCAGUGUUCACUCGAGGAGGUUCCAUCACCCAUGGUUGAACCGGCGUCCCAGCUCCGGGCGUCGCAGCCGGGUUUACCUCCGGCGGAUUACUGGGGCCUGCACCGGGUGUGCAGAAGAGGUUUCUAGGAUCAUAAAUCGAAGGCAGACGGGACUGGGACUUCUGGCGCCUUCUCCUCAUGACCUCAUUUGAUGCAUUUAAAUCCAUCGUAAGCUGGAACGCUUCUGAUUGAAGCUGCUGAGCUCGAGCAUCCAAAGCCGCCCGUUCUGUGGCCAGUCUGGUGUCCUCAGCUGCUAGGUUUUCCUUGGCUUGUGCUAUUUCCUCACGUAACCGUGCCACUUCUGCGUCAUGUUCAGCCUGAUUCGCCGGAUUAACCGCGGCGGUUAACAGGGUUGUCAACCUAUCCGUGAGAUCUAUCAGCACCUGAGCCGGCGGGCGCACAGGGCCUCCUGCCCCGGCUGCCGUUGAUCCGGAGGUUAUUGCUGCCGCAGCUGUAGAGUUUUGACCGGGUUGAGUGCCAGCCAUGAAGAUCCCUACUCUGCUCGGCGGCUCAAAGGGGUCCGGAAUACUGCUGCCAUCGGAACAGCCCCCAAGCCCGCCGUCUUGUAAUUGAUACAACGAAUCCGUCUCACCCAUGGAUGACUCACAGUCAGAAUAGAUGGUCGUCUCACCGCCAGACAUGGAUCCGUCAAGAAGUUCCCCUCCAUGGAUGCAUCCCACGAAGGCACGCUUCAUGGCGGGCGGAGCCCGGGCGGGUCUCGCAUGUUGAGCCGUCUCGAUGAUGUCGGUGCAGAUGUCCGGCUCAGGGCCCGGCUCGCCGAUCCGGCCGAUUAAGACGUGAAUUCCGCCGAAGGGGACCUGGUACCCGUACUCAAUUAAGCCGGCGUCGGGGCCCCAGCCUGCGUCGUCGAUAUAGAGCUUGCCGCGACGACUCUUGGUCAUCCGGCCCACAGCGUAUCCCUUGAGCCCUUCGAAGCUGCCCUUCAAGAACUCAAAUCCACCGUGCGCUGGCCCCACGGUGGGCGCCAACUGUCGUGGAAUUGACACGGCAGAUGUCCUAGCGAAAGGACUUAGUCGUGGAGCCAUCGCAACUAGGAAGCAAGAAGGGGUUAGUCGGGGUAAAGGACACGGGGUUAUACUAGUUCGGCCCCUUACGGUGGAGGUAAAAGCCUACGAUCCAGUUUUGAGUGGGAUUGCUUAUGUCUCGAUAACCAGGGAGCGAAUCCGCUUGACCUAGCUCUCGAGUUUAUGUUACUUGCCCUGAACCGCCGCCGGGUCGUCCCUUUAUAUACAGAGGUUGACGCCCAGCGGCUCAUAGAGCCCGGCCGGCUCAUAGACAGUGUUCGGCUCGGUUUCUCUCUAUUCCUGCCUUAUAAUACAAGUUACACACAUAUGGCGGUUUAUCUCUAUGGGCCUUAAGUCACCCUUUGGGCCUUGGGCCCUUAACUAACCCGUCAUCUCCAGGAGUCGUCUUAGGCUUCAUGAGUCGUCUUAAGUAUGACCCGGCACCUCCUGGCGGGUCAUACUAAUAAUUAUAUCCCCAAUAGUUUCUGCUUUCGGUCUACGAGGGUACGUGGACACUCUCCCCGCUCGUUGCUAUGCAUCUUCUAGAUAUAGAUCUUGCGUGAUCGUAGGUAAAAUUUUGAAAUACUACGUUCCCCAACACCCGGGCGCAUCCGAGCUCCCCCAUAUCCGCCUCAUAUUUGGACUGGAUAUGAGGGGUGCCGGUCAGCCCGAGCGUUUGAGGCCCGUUUGAGGCAUCCGUCUAGGUCGAAAAAUCGUGAUCGCUCAGUGAUCGGGCGGGCCGCCCAGGCGUUCGAGGAGGGUUUGGAGCGCCCGGCUGUAGAUGCUCUAAUGCAUAUGUAAAGAUGUAAAAUGGCCGACCGCGGCGGGGCUAUAGCCGCUAUUUGGAAUAAAAAUUAUCAUAUAGAGCAAUAUAUUCAGAUUUAACUAGAUGACUCCCCGCGCGUUGCUGCGGGACGUUAGUAUGCCAACCAACACACUGAGAUGCACAUUAAGAAAAGAAAUGGCUUUCAAGUGAUACAAGGCCUGGUUGUGUGCAUCUAAGGAUUAACGGGAAGGUAAUUUAGCGCAAUAGCUACUGUACUAUUUAACUUAAAUGAUUAACUUUCAUUGAGUCAGCAACUAUAUGAUCGUAUGCAGUUUUGAGAUUAACUUCGCGAACAUUCCCUGUUCAUAGGUAAUUAAAUAGACUUCACGAAUUGACAGUGUUAUAAAAGAAAUGUGGUGCCGACGCAGAGAAAUUGCUAUACUCAAUCUCAACUGAAAUCUUUUAACACACAUACCUAAAGAAAUAAUCGACAACCCUCCAUAUUUGCAAAAAAAUGUGAAAGCAGUAGCGCUAAAAUGUCGAGACGAGAAAAGGGGAUACGAAUGUCAGGUCACAACAUCAAAUCAAGUGAAUCAUAAAACAAAGAGAAAAGUAUGUUUUUGUCCCUCAAGUUCCCAUAAAGUAUAGACUUGGUCCCUCAAAUUUUUUUGGUAUACAUCUGGUCCCUCAAGUCUCAAAACCGGAUAAGUUUGGUCCUAAACCAGAUUUUGAGCACGUUGACCGGUUUUGACCGCAACAAAACCGCCCGAUGAACAGUAAAUUUGACAAAAAAAUAAAAAAAAUCAAGAAAAUCUGAAAUUUUUUGAGGUCGAAUAUGCUUGCGUACACAAGAUGUGAACAAAAUUUCGUUCUCUUUCGGCACUCAAGGAGCUCGUGGUAAAAAAACAAAAAUAUCUGCCUGAUGAAUAGUAAAUUCAAAAAAAUCAAAACAAAAUCAAAAAAAUCUGAAAUUGUUUGGGGUUCAAUAUGCUUACAUGCGCAAGGUCCGACCAAAAUUUUGUCAUGAAAUGACAUCGGACGGGCUCUAGCAAAAAGAAACAAUUUUGGCUAUUUUUUUUGAGCAAAAUUUUGUUUUAUUUUUCACCAGCUCUUAGAGUGUCGAAAGAGCAUGAAAAGUUGGUCGCACCUUGCGCAUGUAAGCAUAUUGGAUCCAAAAAAUCAGAUUUUUUUGAAGUUUUUUUUUCAAAUUUACUGUUCAUCGGGCGGUUUUGUGGCGGUCAAAACCGGUCAACGUGCUCAAAAUCUGGUUUAGGACCAAACUUAUCCGGUUUUGACACUUGAGGGACCAAAUGUAUACGAAAAAAAUCUUAAGGGACCAAUUCUAUACUUUAUGAGAACUUGAGGGACAAAAACAUACUUUUCUCUACAACAAAUCGAGACAGAGCAAGGAGAAGAGAUGUUAGGCUUUUCUUCGGGCUGGGCUUACAGACCUUGAUGUCGACAGCAAGGAGGCGAGAAGACCACUUCUCAAGUCCUCAUGGCUCUUGUAGCAAAGGAACACGCAACGCCCGUGGAAGCCCACCGUAUCAAUACUGAACCGUAUCGUGAUCUUCUCCCUCCCGAGCUCCUCCAGCUGGAACCUGAACUCCUUGUCCAGAUCGGGGCCGCGACGGGGAGGCCGCCUCUGGCGCAUCCGAGGCCGCCAGCGCCAGGAGGGCCCGGAGAAGAGCGACGGCAUGCGACUGGUUGAUUCAGACGUUCUGGCUGGGCGACAAUGGAACCAUGGCUCAGCCCACAUCCCAUCGCUCAUAGAGGCGUCGAAGGGGAGUCAUAGCCGGAGGAGUGGACUGGUUCAUAGUUGGAGGAGCCUCCUCCCGCAGAGAUUGCAUUCCAACCGCCACUCAACGCGAGGAUUGGAGAAAGAUUUAUCCUGUGGAGAAGAAACGGAAGUGGAGAAGGAAGUGGUGCGGUCGGGCCUAUAGUGGGGAAACCAAUUUAGGACAGUAUAACUGCACUUAAUCCCAGCCCUCUCAGGCCAUCAGUAACCACAGCCGUUUAUUUUCACGAUUGAGCCAAUUCUGGUCGUCUGAUCACGGUCAGGGCGCUGUCCCCUCGUUUUUCAGCAAGUGGGCCAGCUGUCCUAUAGGGACGUUACUCCCGUGGAAAAAUCGAAGUGUGCUGGUUGAUUGGUCCUCCGGCUAAUUCGGCCUUACGAGCAAGAAGCCCAUCUCAGACGAGAAAUAACAUGACCUCUUUCCUCGCUCUCGCCCCUCCCUCUCCCACGCGGAUGACGACGGCGACCGCGGCGUGUCUGCUUCCCAUGCUCGUCGCGGUCCUCCCCCCGCGCAGAGACAAUUGGGCUUGUAGUGCCUCCCACCUCGACCUCCCGUUCUCGUGGGCCAUCCCUCCGGAAACCACCGGCGGCCGGAUGGGACCGCAAGCAGCGUCGUCCUUCCCAGAUCUCUGGAGCAAGAGGCGUUGCCCCUCCCUCUUCGACGGGAGGCGCCCGUCCCGCAAUCCGACUUCGAGUAGCCGCACCCACCGAGACGCACUUGCUCGCGGGCUAUGACACCACCCAUCCCUAAACCGCUGUUGCCGGCGACGCCUCCGCCAAGGUUGCGGCGAUGGAACCCACACCAGGGUUCCGGGUGCUGUUGGGAGGGGUGAGCGUGCGGCAUGGGCCGCUGGCCUUUGGGACACAUCUCCACACGCAUAAGCUGGGAUCUUGCAGUGGCGAAUGACGCCCCAUCUUCCCUUAGCCGGCGACGGUGGAUCUACGCGGUGACAGCGCGCACUGCCCCCUCCCUCCACAUCUCAAUGUCGCAGUCGUCGCCUUCCUCGUCCAUCGGAGGUGCUCCACCAUCUAAACACUAACCUUCCCUCAUCUUAUUUCAGAUCGUAACUCUGUUUUAAUUCAAUCAUACUCUGUUUUUCUUGUACAAGGGACUCUUGGUGGACAACUUCUUCACCAUGGUUCUCCAGCAACUGCACAAGUAGGUCGGUUCUCUCUGCUUGUUGCCCCGCGGAAUUCAUAUUGUAGGUGAUGUAUGGCGCUGCACAAGAGAGGACAUUUGUAUGGGAAACAGCUAAAUUUCUCCGUGGCAUGCUACUGCAUGAACAACUGAAUCCAUAAGCAAGUCUACACACAUGAGUUCAGGGUUGAAUAGAGUUGUUCCGUCCACAUGGUUGGAAAUUAAGGUUUUGUGUAUACAAAGUUUCUGUAUUGUUGGCUUGCCAUAUUCUUCGGUAGUUACCUGGCCAAGGAACAAGCACGAAUUGUGGAAGAAGAGAAGAAAAUACUAGAGAUUAUAUGUGUUCGAAAUCAAAUGCUAGCCCUAGAAAUAUUAGUCUAACAAAUCAUAUUCUGAUGCACCAAGGUUAUUGGUUUAUCACUUAUAGUUCAAAUUGUUGUUUUAGUGAUGUAUAAAAGUCAAUACGACUUUGAUAAUCAAGUUGAUCAAAUUUCUUCUUUUUAUUGCAUCUUUUUUCUCUGAACCAUUUUGAUCCUUUUCUUCCUGAAGAACAUAGCUAACGUAGUUUAACUAUUAGGUCUUCAGUAUAAACUAGCAAGGAAGAAAUGUUCUUCAAGUCUCAAGCAUUGUUGGGUUCUGACGGUGCGAAUAUCUUUUACAGUGAGGUAACAACAUAACUAGACAUGUACAACAAAUUUGCAGUCAUUAUCAGUGUUCUGCCUAGCUCAUGGUGCCUUAAGUUGCUUCCAUUAUCUUUCUAUGAAUCCGUCAAAGUCUAGCUUUGGUACUGAUGCUUUUGUAUUCUUACUUGUAUUUACUUAACUAAAAGCUACCAACUGAGAUACAUCAUUUCCAAGUUUUUUUCGUAUCUACCAGCUUUUGGCUAUCCUAGGUGGUGGGAAUGGCGCUAGAGGGUUCUCAGUUUAAUGCCAAGUAUUAUGACAACAAGAUGUAUAGCUGCACUAAGUUACCUCUCUGCCGCUUUUUUAUCUUAAACUUUGGAGGUCAUCAGAAGCUUUCUUUCUUGUUCGAUGACACCAUGUACUUUGUGUAAUGAUUGCAAUAUUCAUGAACCAAGCUGAUACAAACCAAAUACCUUUGCAAAUCAAUUUUUGACAUGAACUUCGGGAUUUUUAACUUCAUAUGUUGAAGUGCCUACGAAUAUUGUUGAGAUGAACCUCUAAGAGAACCUUCUAAGAGGCAUAUACGCCUGUGGUAUAAAAACUCCUGCCCUUACAUGCUGCUUACCAAUUUAAAUUUUGAUCAUCUUACAAAUCCAACACUUAAAUAAAUUAAUUAUUGGUAGGGUGGGAAUUUACUAUGACGCUUGUGGUAUAAAAACUCCCGCCCUUACAUACCAAUUUAAAUUUUGAUCACCUUACAAAUCCAACACUUCCAUAAAUUAAUUAUUGGUAGGGUGGGAAUUUACUAUGAGUCAGUUAGCAAAGCGGGUCUCACCUGCAGUGGAUAUGAUAAAGAUUUCCAGAGCCAGAGGAAGAGAAAUAAACCAAUAUGGUUAUUUCUAUGAUGAAAGGUAUGAGAAGUCAGCUUUAUUUAAAUAUGAAACAUACAUAAAUUAUUCAGAAAUCGUAUCAUGAGAAGCCCUCACUAAAACCCAACGAAGCGUUGCUGGUUUUUAGCCAAAUGUUGGAAUGUGGCCAAGCUAUGUGAUUUCUUUAUGCUUGGAGGCAAUCGUAAUGACAUAGACUUACUGUGACCGUUUUUAGUUUACCUUUACAUUUAAUAUGCUCUGUUAGGAAAAUGCUAUUGAAAGUAAAAUAUGACAUUCAGGUUAAUGUACAUUUUUUUCUUCAUUUCCUUUAACUACUAAAUUUGUCUCGAGUCAUCUUUAGGCAAUCAUUUCUUUGAUCAUACAUAUCAAAAGCCCCCAAGUUGCUACUCCAAAUAUUUAUUCAAAUUUGGGGCAUUUGAUUUCAGAGUACUGCUUGCUUGGACAAUGAUGUAGUUUAUGAUGGACUUUGGAUAGUAACUUACAUUUUGGAGAUCUCUUACCUCUUGAUUGAAGUUUGGUGGGGGAUGUCGUCCAAAUUUUUCUGCCACAAGAGGUUGAGUACAGAUACAACAUGAUGACAUUUCUACCACUGGGACACUAUUUUAGAACCCAGUGUGGGUUUGGUCAUCUGUCACCCAUUAUUUUUAAUAUUGGCUUCCCAAAACCACAUGUAACUAUAUAAUUUGGUAUAAAACAUCAAAGCAUAUAUUGUUAUUUUUCUUCCGAUAAACAGUUGUUUCUUUACAUCAAUGAGGUAAUAUGUGAUAGUACUAAUUAAUGUGCUACCGUGAGCAACUAUGCUUGAUGCUGGUAUCGGUUCACAACAUUCAUUUCGUUGGGAGCUAUAUUUUGAGGGUCAACCAGGAGAACCUAUGGGAAUGGUCUUAUUUACUCCCUCCGUAAAGGAAUCUACGAUCGUUUAGAUCACUAUUUACAAAGGGAGUACUUAACAUGUUAUCAAUCGUCCAGCUUAUGUAUCUAUUUAUGACCUAAUUUUGGAGCAUACCAGAUCUUGCUCAUGCCACCUUAUAUUUACAUUAAUUCCUACCAUUAAAAGGACAAAUUGACGGGCGCGGCAACGCGCGCCAUCCAUGAUCUAGUCGGGAAGGAAAACGAAGUCAUAAGGAAGCGUUGCGGUCGGGCCUAGUGGGCCAUUGGCAGAAAACAUAGUGGUAAAAAUAAUCACCAGAAAAGCGAUGCGCUGGAAAAAUUAAAGAUGAUAAUGCUGAUGUGGCACAUAUGAUGAGGUGGAUAGGCUGCAUGUCAACAGAAAUAGUUUAGUGGGGAUGAACUAUUUAGGUAUUAUAGAUAUGAACUCAACUUUCAUAACAAACAUAGUUCAUAAUCCAAUAACCAAAAGUGCAUCAUAUCAAUCAAAGUUCUUGGUCCAACAAAUUAAAAGAAAUAUAAAAACAAACAUAGCAUCUCAAUUUUCGUCCGAUCAAUUGUCACUAGUCACAUUGUAGACAUUGACAUCAUCAACGGCUUCUUUGUCGCCGUUUUCGUGCGUUGAUGCAUCGCGCGACUCCACUAGAAGCACCUCCAAUGUCACUCGUGUUGCCACUGAAGCCACCUCGCAUGCCACUCAUGUUGCCACCGAAGCCACCUCCCAUGCCAUUCAUGUUUCCAUCGAACCCACCUCCCAUGCCACCGAAGCCACCAUCCAUGUUGCCACCAAAGCCACCUCACAUGUUGCCACCAAAGGUACCAUUCAUGGCACCUCCCAUCAUGUUCAUGUAGCCGCCCACUCCACUGCCCUAUGGCACUUGCUGGUCCUUCUCCCAUUCCACCGCCAAUGGCACCUCCCAUUCCUCCUCCCAUUGCUCCUCCCAUUCCACCACCCAAGACACCUCCCAUUCCUCCUCCCAUCAUGAUUAUCAUGAGCAUUUGCUUCUUCAUGAUCAUUUCAUGGUGACAAAAGCUCAACAUACGCCUUUGCUUUGGGGUCGAGGCCACUUGUGUCCAUGAACACAAACUUGAGUGCCUUCUCCACCAUUUUGAGCUCUUCGGCCGCCACCUUAAUCUCCUUGGCCACCGCCAACCUCUCCUCGACCGCCGCCCUCCACCGCUCAACUUCCCCAUGGGCGGCAGCGGGGCUUGUGGUGGUGGAGGAGGCGGCCCAUGUUCGGCGGCAGUUGCCGCUGGCGGCAUCGUAUCGGCCGAAGCAGUCGCGACCUCCUUUGUCUUAUUUGCUGCUCGAGAUGGGCCCGUAGCGGGGUUGCACGCCGUCAGCCGCUUCACGCCCCACCACGGGGCAGCCGGCGGCGCACCUAUUCCCGCGGCGGCGACCAGCCGGGGUGAGGCGAAACUGGGGCGGCGGGAUGGGGGCGAUGUGGCGGUGAAGGCGGGGUCGGUGAAGGUGGUUGCGCAGGCGGCUGCUGCGGCGAGGUGGUUUAGACUGGUAGAGGCGACGUGGGAGGGGGGUCAUCGGAGUCGUCCAUGGGGUCGGGCGGCGCUCGGGAGACGGGUGGGCGCCUGGAAGUUUCAAAUUCGGCGGUUGGUUAUUCACGCGCGGAUGGGCAUUUUACAUCACUAGGCGGUCGAGAUGCAAAUUUGGAUCUCCAAGUGUUGUAUUUACAUCACUUGGAGGAGGUGAUGUAAAAAUUUAUUUUAUUUUAUUUUCGAAAAGGGGGGUCUCCCCGGCCUCUGCAUCAGAGUGAUGCAUACGGCCAUCUUAUUAACGAAAGAAAAGGUUCCAACAAGGUUCGAAAGUCUCCGACAGAAAAGUAAUAAAAAUACAGCUCACACAGAGCAAAAGAGGCUAGACACACAGACUAGCCAAGAAAAGACGCCACAUCCGGCUGGCUAAAUAUAGAUAGGUAAACUAAUUGCCUAUCCUAUUACAUGACCGCCAUCCAAACCGGUUGAAGAUAUCCCGAGCUACCAUCUCCCAGCGGAUAGAUCCAGUAACCAAAUGCUCCCUGGCCACCAUCGGAGUGAGUAGUGACCAUGAACGGAUCAUGGCCGUGGCUCGGAAAAUAACCUGCAAAAAAUGCAUACGUGAUAUUCUGUUAAAAACCAAAUCAUUUCUGCAAGUCCAGAUAGUCCACAACAACGCGCAAACUCCAACACGAAUAUGUCUCGCUAAUUCAGGCUCAACCCCGGUGAGCCAUGUCCCAAAUAACGUGGUGACAGAAUUCGGAGUAGUAAUAUUAAAAGCAAUGUGAACCGUCCGCCAAAGCACUCUGGCAAGCGGGCAAUCAAAAAAGAGAUGCUUGAUUGUCUCGUCCCGAUCACAGAAGCUACACCUCGUAGGUCCUGUCCAAUUACGCUUAAUCAAGUUAUCCUUGGUUAAAAUAACCUGUUUAUGGACAAACCACAUAAACACUUUUAUUUUCAAAGGAACUUUGACAGCCCAAACAUGCUUGGAUGUAGGAAUGGAGCUCGAAUUAAUCACAUCAAUAUACAUUGAUUUAACCGUGAAAACUCCAGACCUAGUCAGUUUCCAGCGCAAUUCAUCGGGUUGUUGAGAAAGAUGGACAUCCAUUAGUCUCCGAACUAGACGGAGCCAAUCUUCCCAACGAUUGCCCACUAACGACCGUCUGAACUGAAUAUUAAGGGGGUUGGAUUGAAACACCGUCGCAACGAACACCUCACGUCGUUGAACAAUACGAUAUAAAGACGGAUAUUGAAUGGCCAAGGGUGUCUCACCGAGCCAAGUAUCCUCCCAGAAUCGUGUACUAGCGCCGUUACCAAUAACAACCUUUGUCCUAUUAAACAACGAUUGUUUGACUUUCAUCAGGCCUUUCCAGAACGGCGAGUCAGUUGGCCUGACAGUGACCUAAGAUAAGGACUUUGUCUGUAGGUACUUGCUGCGAAGGAUUUGGGCCCACAUGGCCUCAGUCUCAAAAGAAAGCUUCCACAGCCACUUGCUAAGAAGGCAUCUGUUGUUGACUUCAAGAUUCUCAAUACCAAGACCCCCUUGGUCUUUCGGUCUACAGAUGAUAUCCCAUUUUGCAAGUCUGUAUUUUCUUUUAAGAUCAUCACCUUGCCAAAAGAAACGCGAUCGAUAAAAGUCCAGUCUUUUCCUAACACCAACUGGGACUUGAAAGAACGAUAAGAGAAACAUAGGCAUACUCGUGAGCACCGAAUUAAUCAAAAUUAGUCGGCCUCCAUAUGACAUGAGCUUGCCCUUCCAGCAACUCGUUUUCUUCUCGAACCGGUCUUCGAUGCACUUCCAUUCUCUAUUGGUCAGCUUUCUAUGGUGGAUUGGAAUACCUAGGUAAGAGAAAGGUAAAUCCCCCAAAUCGCACCCAAACAAUUGCCGGUACGCUUCCUGUUCGUCUUUGGCUCUACCAAAGCAGAACAGCUCGCUCUUAUGAAAGUUAAUCUUUAACCCAGUCAAUUGUUCGAAAAGGCAUAACACCAGCUUCAUAUUUCUCGCCUUGGCCAGGUCAUGCUCCAUAAAGAUGAUAGUAUCAUCAGCGUACUGAAGGAUGGAUACACCUCCAUCAACCAGAUGAGGUACCAAGGCACCCACUUGACCAUUCUCCUUAGCCCUUCCUAUCAAGAUAGCUAACAUGUCAACCACAAUGUUAAACAAGAUAGGGGACAUCGGAUCUCCUUGUAUUAGGCCUUUAUGUGUCUGGAAGUAAUGACCAAUAUCGUCAUUCACUUUAAUUCCCACACUCCCUUUUUGCGUAAAUGAUUCAACCUGGCGACGCCAGGCUGCAUCAAAACCUUUCAUACGCAAUGCCUGUUGGAGAAAGGGCCAUUUAACCUUAUCGUACGCUUUCUCGAAAUCCACCUUGAAAAUGACACCAUCUAACUUCUUGGAAUGGAUUUCAUGGAGUGUUUCAUGGAGAACGACCACCCCUUCAAGGAUGUUGCGGUCCGGCAUGAAAGCGGUUUGGGAAUGCUGCACCACAGAAUGCGCAAUCUGUGUGAGCCUAUUAGUCCCGACCUUGGUGAAGAUUUUAAAACUAACAUUGAGAAGGCAGAUCGGUCUGAACUGCUCAAUUCUCACAGCAUCCGUCUUCUUCGGAAGCAGUGUGAUAGUGCCAAAGUUCAAGUGAAAUAAUUGAAGCUGUCCAGAGAACAAAUCAUGAAACAUAGGUAGCAAAUCCCCCUUAAUAAUAUGCCAGCACUUUUUGUAGAACUCCGCCGGAAAUCCAUCCAGUCCGGGAGCCUUAUUAUUUUUCAACUGUGCUAUAGCAUCAAACACCUCCUUCUCCGAAAAUGGGGCAACCAGAAUAUCAUUUUCAGCUGCCGAGAGUUGAGGCACAUCCUCAGUUCUGGACUCUUCGAGAGAUACACAAUUAUCCUCCAGAGGGCCAAACAACUGCCUAUAAUACUCGGUUAUAUAAGUUUUUAGGUUAUCAUGUCCUAAAAUAGUGCCCUCAUCUUGCUCGAGUUGGAAUAUUCUCUUCUUUCUGUGCUUACCAUUAGCAAUCAGAUGAAAGAAUUGAGUAUUCGCGUCCCCCUGGACCACUUUGCGAACCUUCGCCCGCAGAGCCCACUUCAAUUCUUCUUCACGGAGAAGUUCUUUUAACCUCUUCUCUGCAUCGGUUUUAACCUGGAGCUCAGCAGGCGUCAAAAUCAUGGAUUCAGCCUUAACAUCCAGAUUCUGUAUAAGAGAGAGAAGCAUGUCCUUCUCAGCCUUAUAUACCCCACUAAGGUGCUUAGCCCAGCCCCGUAAGAAGCUUCUCAAACUCCUAAUCUUAUUUUGCCAAGACCGCCGUUCUACCGCCUACACCCUUCGCCCAUUCCCUAGCGAUCAGGUCUAGGAAUCCUUCGCGUUCGAACCAGGCCAUCUCAAAAGAGAAGGUGUUUUUGUUUCCCACGUGGUUCGGCUCCCCUGAGUCAACGAACAGGGGUGUGUGGUCGGAAAAACCCCGUGAAAGAGCUUGAACCGUCACCAGCGGGAACUUCUGUUCCCACUCCACACUCGCAAGAACGCGAUCAAGCUUUUCGUAAGUCGGGUUGGGCAGAGAGUUAGCCCAGGUAUACUUUCUACCAGAAAGUUCUAUCUCUCUCAGAUCCAAACUUUCAAUGAUAGUAUUGAACAUGAACGACCAUCUGCCGUCAAAAUUAUCAUUAUUCUUCUCCUCUCACGGUCAUCAUAAGACCAUAAAAGCGCAUAGGCAUGAUAGGUUAAAAUAUUGUGACUAUAAAUUAUUUAGAGUUGCUAAAUGGAGCAAAAAAGGUAGUUCAUACAUUGGACAGAGCAGCAAACUAUAUCAGCAACGUAAAUAACAUGCAACGUCGGAUUGAAAUCUACAGAAAAUAAAAUGAUACUAAAGCAGCAAUAAUUGACAUGAAUCGGGGGGAGUAGUAUUUUUUUUUAAAUUGCCAGCCUUCCUAUUUUUCACAUGCCAGUUGCACUAGCGUAAAUUCACAGCACACACAAACAAAAAAAGUUGUACUAUCUCUGUUUUCUCGCGGGUACUCAGUUAUUAACCUACCCACUCAGUUACACUACCCUACAAAAAUAUGUUCGCUUAGCCUAGAAGCAAGGAAGAGAUAUGCAUGCCACUGCAAGUAUAUAAGCAAGGCCCCGUCCCUCCUCUACAUUCAUCCAUCAUACAAUCCAUCUUGAAGGUUUUAAUCUGUCAUAGAACCCUCUCAAUCUUUCACAAGAAAACUAAAUGGAUCGGUCCAUGAAGGUCUUUGUGGUCGUCUUCCUUCUCCUUGUGGCCACAGGUGUGUAUGAUGCACUUACUAUUUAAGAUAACUGAUGAUACUGCUAUAAUUAUGUACUAGUAUGAGUAUGUGAGAUGGCUGAUACGCUCUUAUCAAUUUGCCCGUGUAGGGUUCCAGGGAGCAGUGCAGGUAGCUUUGGCGAGGGAGUGUACGUCACCGAGCCACAAGUUUAAGGGGUUGUGCGUGAGCGACACCAACUGUGCAAGUGUUUGCCUGACAGAGCGUUUCCCCGGAGGCAAGUGCGACGGCAUUCGGCAGCGUUGUUUAUGCACCGAGAAAUGCUAGAUGGCCCUGUUUUCGUCUUGGAUACGUACAUGCUUCCGUGUAAUAUUGAUUGAAUAAUACUAGAUCUGCAUCUAUGCAUGUAUGAUGCAUAUGUGAGUGCUACCUCUAGGAAGUACAUGAACAUCAUGUAAUCCGAACAAAGUUUCAACAGGGAACCAGUUCAAGUUGAAUAACCCAAGACCCCAGAAUUGGAGCUGCUACUGUUUUGGCGGUUGAAACGAAUAUAAGCUUAAAAACUAUAGAACAAAUGAGACAUGAAGCUUUACUAGAAGUCUAGAAGGGAAGUCAUAAUUCGUAAGAAAGUGGGAGCAGACAUAGCACGACAGCUGAAGAUUUGGCCACCACGAACAUAAAAUUGGGUGCCUUCUCCUCCACCAUCUUGAGCUCUUCGGCCGCCACCUUUCUUUCCUUGGCCGCCGCCCUCCGCCGCUCGGCUUCCCUCCUCUCUUCCAUUUAUUUUGACUUCAACUUUUUUUCUUCGGCAUAGUCUUUCCUUGCAGUGACAAUGGCGUCAAACCCUUAUUUAAGAUCAUUGUCUCCAGCCUUCGAACCCUUUGUUUUCUUAUUUCCAUCCAGCCUAUAUGACUUGGUCGCCGAGUGAGGAGUGGGGCUCCUUCUCUCCUUACCACAGACAUCAUCAUCAAUCCUCACGAUCAACAACCACACUUUUCUUCUUCGAAGCAUCAUAAACUUCUCAAGUCUUUCACUUCUUCUCAUCCUUGAGCUCCUUGUAGCAAUUGAUGAAAAGUGAAGGCUUUUCCUUUCUUUUUCCUCUUCUCUCCUUUGUUGUUUCUUUCUUGAAACAAUCCUUGCGCAGUCAUUUUCUACAACGAAACAACAAAAGCGACAUCAUCAAUUUAGGAACAUAUGCAGACUUGGGCAAUGUAGAGAAAACAAACACAAGUAGCAAGCAAUUACCAUGUCACUAUCACCGCAACCACUAGAGUUGAUGCAACCAACAUUUGUUAAGCAACCCGUCCACUUUUGGCAUUCGGCAUUGACGGUGCCCCAACGUUGACGAAUAAAAUCCCUUGAUCUAUAGUGUCCACUAGUAUUGCACUCAUCAAAAUAUUCCUUGAUGCAGUCCCAAUAGGUGUUCGCGGCUGGGUCACUCCCCACGGAUGCAUCAAUGGAGAUUCGCUUCCACGCAGUGCAAAUCAAGCCAUCUUCGGCGUUGGUAUAAUUUGUGCUUCUUCCCUUGAAAAUAAAGCCCUCAUUGUCCAUGUCGAGAUUAUCAUCAUCAAAUUGAGUAUCACAUUCUUGUGAUGCAUACUCUUGAGAGAAAUAAUCUUCGUUUACGCCAUUUGUCACGUGCAUGAAUGCUUCAUCAUCAAGACUACAAGUGGACGUACACACAAUCUCACAUUCUACUCGUACCAGAAAUGAAAAUAACAUACAAAAAGAAAAAAAAAUACCUUUGCAAAUUUCGUCGAGCACAUUGGAGGCGGUGUCGCGGGCGUGGCCGAGUCUUCCUCCAUGGGCGGCGGCGGGGCUUGCGGUGGUGGAGGAGGCCCAUGUUCGGUGGCAGUUGCCGCGGCCGCCAGCGGCAUCGAAUCGGCCGAAGCAGCCGCAGUCGCCUUUUUCAUCUUCACCACUCGAGAUUGAGUCGUGGCGGGGUUGCACACCGUCGGCCGCUUCGCGCCUCCACCAUGGGGUUUAGCCGCCGGCUGCUUCAUCACCGGCGGCGCACCUGUUCCUGCCGCAGCGACCGACCGAGGUGAGGCGAAACCGGGGCAACGGGAUGGGGCGGCAUGGCGGCGGAGGCGGGGUCGGUGAAGGUGAUUGCGCAAGCGGCAGCCGUGACGAGGUGGGUCAGACCAGCGGAGGUUGCGGCUGGGAGGGGGGGUCAUCGGUGUCGGCCAUGGGGCUAAGCGGCAGCUUGCGACCAGCGGUCGGGAGACGGGCGGGCGGCUGAAAGUUUCAGAUUCGGCGGUUGGCUGUUCACGCGCGGCUGGGCGUUUUACAUCACCAGGCGGCUGGAGAUGCAAAUUUGGAUCUCCAAGUGUUAUAUUUUACAUAACUUGGGGUAGGUGAUGUAAAAAUUUAUACAUCAGCAUCAUCUGUUAGAGCAGCGUUUUUCUUUUUGGCCUUGAAGAUGUAAAAAGCUGUUAUUUAUAUACCUACAUCAUCUAUUGGAGAUGCUCUCACAUCAUAAGACCAUAAGAGCUCAUAGGCCUGAUAGGUUAAAAUAUUAUGAUUAUACAUUAUUUAGACUUGCUAAAUGGAGCAAAAAAGUUACCCCUUUGUAAACUAAUAUAAGAGCGUUUAGAUCACUAAAGUAGUAAUCUAAACGCUCUUAUAUUAAUUUACGGAGGGAGUAGUUCAUACAUUGAACAGAGCAGCAAAAUAUAUCAGCAACGUAAAUAACAUGCAACAUCGGACUGAAAUCUAUAGAAAAUAAAAUGAUACUAAAACAGCGACAAUUAAUAUGAAUCCAAGGUAGUAGUAUUUUUUGAUUUUUUUGCCAGCCCUCCCACUUUUCAUUUUUCACAUGUCAGUCGCACCAACGUAAAUUUACGCACACACAAACAAAAAAGGUUGUACUAUCUCUGUUUCUUGCGGGUACUCAGUUAUUACACUACCCACUCAGUUAUACUACCCUACAAAAAUACGUUCGCUUAGCCUGGAAGCAAGGAAGAUAUAUGCGUGCACUGCAAGUAUAUAAGCAAGCCCCCCUCCCUCCUCUACAUUCAUCCAUCAUACAAUCCAUCUUGAAGGUCUUAAUCUGUCAUAGAACCCUCUCGAUCUUUCACAAGAAAACUAAAUGGAUCGGUCCAUGAAGGUCUUUGUGGUCGUCUUCCUGCUCCUUGUGGCCACAGGUGUGUAUGCUGUACUUACUGUUUAAGAUAACUGAUAAUACUGCUAAAUUAUGUACCGAAACGUCGUAUAUUUUGGAACGGAGGUAGUAUGUGAGAUGGCUGAUUUGCUCUAUCAAUUUGCCCGUGUAGGGUUCCAGGGACCGGUGCAAGUAGCUUUGGCGAGGGAUUGUACUUCACAGAGCCACGAGUUUGUGGGGAUGUGCCUGAGUGACCGCAACUGUGCAAGUGUUUGCCAGACCGAGUAUUUCACCGGAGGCAAGUGCGACCACCGACGUUGUGUCUGCACCAAGGACUGCUAGAUGGCCCCUGUAAUCUUCUUGCACACAUGGUUCCGUGUAAUAAUAAUAAUAAUAAUAACUGAAUAAUAAUACUAGAUCUGCAUCUAUGCAUGUAUGAUGCAUAUGUGAGUGCUACUCCUAGAAAGUACAUGAACAUCAUAUAAUCCGAACAAAGUUUCAGCAGGGAACCAGUUCAAGUUGAAUAAUCCAACACUCCGGAACUGGAGCGGCUACCGUUCUCGGGACUGAAACGAAUAUAAGCUUAAAAACUGGAACAAAUGAGACAUGAAAUGUUACUAGAACUCUAGAAGUCUAGAAGGGAAGUCAUAUUUCGUAAGGAAGAAAGAAAAGUAAAUCGUGGGAGUAGACAUAGCACCACACCUGAAGAUUUGGCCAAGACUUGGUGAAGAACCAAAAGUACCUAAGAAUCUACACAGAUUACAAGAAUCGAACUUGCAGGAGUAACUUUUGCAGAAUUGCUGCUAUGUAUACAGAAGUAUUGUGGAGAUAAGAGAUCUAAGAAUCUAAUUCAACAAUCUACAUAUUUUAGACCAAUUCAAUUUUUUUCAAAAAGAGGGGACAUCCCUCGGCCUCUGCAUCAUACAACCUUUUAUUUAUCAUAUCAAAGUUCAUCAUCCAACCAUAACAAAGUUCAACUAAUAAAGUGUCGCAUAUGACUGCGCGAAGGGUAAAUAAAAUAGUAAAAAAAUCAUAGGAAAAUGGGCCUCAUGCAUCACAAAUCCUACUAGUAGGCCGCCAACCAAAUCGGUUGAACAAAUCCCGAGAGACCAUCUCCCAUCGGUUGCACCCAAAGACCGUGGGCACCCGAUCCUCCUCCUUGCAAUGUAAUGACCACGUAUGGAUCCAGCUGUAGCCUUGAAGAUAACCUGUAAAAAAUUCGGAACUUUCGUUCUGUUAAAAAUACAAUCAUUACAAGUGUUCCAAAUGGCCUAAAGUAAAGCACAAAUUCCCACACGGAUCUGAGACUUAAACUUGGGGUGCACCCCUACUAACCAGUUUCCAAACAUAUCCGUACUACUCGUAGGUGUAGGUAGGUUGAAAGCUAUAUGGGCCGUUCCCCAUAGUAGCUUGGCAAGUGGGCAUUGAAGAAAUAGAUGCUGAAUCGACUCCUCAUUGCCACAAAAGCAACACUUAGUGCAUCCUUGCCAAUCUCUUUUUUUCAGAUUAUCUUUUGUCAGGAUGACCUUGCGAUCCAAAUACCACAUGAAGAUUUUUAUUUUCAGUGGGACUUUAAUUUUCCAUAUAUACUUGCGGUGAAAAGGUUGUCCUCAUUGAUGAGGUCUGUAUGCAUGGAUUUGACUGUGAAGUCACCAGAAGUAGUUAACUUCCAACGGAAUGUGUCUGCUUCGUGUGAAACGUUAACCAUCAUCAACAUGCCAACAAGGUCUAACCAGUCUGUCCAUUUGUCCCCAGUCAGUUGUAUUCUAAAGGCAACAUUCAACGGUAUGUGGUCCAUCACAGAGACAACGGAGACAUCUUUCCGCUGCACAAUAUGAUAGAGACGGGGGUAUUGCAUGGCUAGUGGCAAUGUCCCCUAGCCAUGUAUCUUCCCAGAACCUUGUAGUUAGACCAUUUCCUACAAUGAACGUCCCUCUGCGAAAAAAAUCAUUUUUAACUCCCAUGAGUCCUUUCCAGAAAGGCGAGUCUGUUGGUUUUGCCUGAACCUCAGAGAGGGUUUUUGAAUGAAGGUACUUAUUCCUAAGUAAUUCUUGCCAAACCCCAUCCUCGGUAAGUAUCUUGUAAAGCCAUUUGCUCAACAAACACUUAUUUUUAGUCUCAAGGUCUUCCACCCCUAGACCUCCUUGGUCUUUAGGGCGACAGAUCACAUCCCACCUUGCCAGGCGGUAUUUACGCUUAUGUUCAUCAGACUGCCAGAAAAACCUGGAUCUGUAGUAAUCCAAUCUUUCUCUUACCCCUUUAGGUAUUUGAAAGAAAGAUAACAUGAACAUAGGUAAGCUUGUGAGAACGGCAUUGAUUAAGGUGAGCCUUGCCCCAUAAGACAUAAGCUUACCAAUCCAACAACUCAACUUUUUCUCAAAUCGAUCCUCAAUACCUUUCCAUUCCUUAUUAAGAAGUUUACGGAAAUGGAUUGGGAUACCAAGGUAUCUAAAGGGAAAAGAGACUGACUCACAACCAAAAGUUGUUUGUAUUGAUCCUCUUCUUCUUUGGCUUGUCCAAAGCACAAGAGUUCGCUCUUGUGGAAGUUAAUUUUGAGACCAGAUAACUGCUCGAAUAAACAAACAAUAAUUUUCAUAUUCUUUGCAUUUUCAAUGUCAUGUUCCAUGAAUAUGAUGGUGUCAUCGGCAUACUGAAGUACCGAUACCCCACCGUCCACAAGAUGAGGAAUUAAGCCCGCAACAUGACCUCCUUCCUUGGCUCGGCUAAUGAGAACCGCUAGAAGGUCUGCCACAAUGUUGAAAAGAAUAGGCGACAUAGGGCAUCCCUGUCGCAAACCCUUUUGUGUCUGGAAAUAGUGACCAAUGUCAUUAUUUACAUUGACACCUACGCCGCCCCCUUUCACAAAUGUGUUAAUCCAUUGGCACCAUUUUCUCGGGAAGCCUUUCAUGCGCAUACAUUGUUGCAAGAAUGGUCAUUUAACUUUGUCAUAGGCUUUUUCAAAAUCCACUUUGAAGACAACUCCAUCAAGUUUCUUCGAGUGUAACUCGUGAAUCGUUUCAUGCAAGACAACAACCCCCUCCAGGAUGUGUCUGAAGGAAAUAUGCCCUAGAGGCAAUAAUAAAGUUAUUAUUUAUUUCCUUAUUUCAUGAUAAAUGUUUAUUAUUCAUGCUAGAAUUGUAAUAACCGGAAACAUAAUACAUGUGUGAAUACAUAGACAAACAUAGUGUCACUAGUAUGCCUCUACUUGACUAGCUCGUUGAUCAAAGAUGGUUGAGUUUCCUAGCCAUAGACAUGAGUUGUCAUUUGAUUAACGGGAUCACAUCAUUAGGAAUGACGUGAUUGACUUGACCCAUUUCGUUAGCUUAGCACUUGAUCGUUUAGUUUACUGCUAUUGCUUUCUCCAUGACUUAUACAUGUUCCUAUGACUAUGAGACUGUCCAACUCCCGAAUACCAGAGGAACACUUUGUGUGCUACCAAACGUCACAAGGUAACUAGGUGAUUAUAAAGGUGCUCUACAGGUGUCUCCGAUGAUGUUCGUUGAGUUGGCAUAGAUCGAGAAUAGGAUUUGUCACUCCGAUUGUCGGAGAGGUAUCUCUGGGCCCUCUCGGUAAUGCACAUCACUAUAAGCCUUGCAAGCAAUGUGACUAAUGAGAUAGUUGCGGGAUGAUGCAUUACGGAAUGAGUAAAGAGACUUGCCGGUAACGAGAUUGAGCUAGGUAUUGAGAUACUGACGAUCGAAUCUCGGGCAAGUAACAUACCGAUGACAAAGGGAACAACGUAUGUUGUUAUGCGGUUUGACUGAUAAAGAUCUUCGUAGAAUAUGUAGGAACCAAUAUGAGCAUCCAGGUUCUGCUAUUGGUUAUUGACCGGAGACGUGUCUCGGUCAUGUCUACAUAGUUCUUGAACCCGUAGGGUCCGCACGCUUAACGUUCGGUGACGAUCGGUAUUAUGAGUUUAUGUGUUUUGAUGUACCGAAGGUAGUUCGGAGUCCCAGAUGAGAUCGGGGACAUGACGAGGAGUCUCGAAAUGGUCGAGACAUAAAGAUCGAUAUAUUGGACGACUAUAUUCGGACAUCGGAAAGGUUCCGAGUGGUUUGGGUAUUUAUCGGGGUACCGGAGAGUUACGGGAAUUCGCCGGGGAGUAUAUGGGCCUUAUUGGGCUUUAGGGGAAAGAGAGAAGGGAGGUUGCGCGCCCCCCAAGGCCUAGUCCAAAUUGGACUAGGGGGAGGGGCGGCGCCCCCUCCUUCCUUCUCUUCUCUUUUCCCUUUCCUUCUCUCCUACUCCUACUACAUGGAAGGGGGGAAUCCUACUCCCGGUGGGAGUAGGACUCCUCCAGGGCGCGCCAUAGCUAGGCCGGCCCUUCCCCCUCCUCCACUCCUUUAUAUACGUGGCCAGGGGGCACCCCAUAGACACACAGGUUGAUCAUUGAUCUCUCUUAGUCGUGUGCGGUGCCCCCCUCCACCAUAAUCCACCUCGGUCAUAUCGUAGCGGUGCUUAGGCGAAGCCCUGCGUCGGUAGCUUCAUCAACACCGUCACCAAGCCGUCGUGCUGAUGAAGCUCUCCCCCGAAGCUCUACUGGAUCGUGAGUUCGCGGGACGUCACCGAGCUGAAGUGUGCUGAACGCGGAGGUGUCGUACAUUCGGUACUGAGGAUCGGUCGAUCGUGAAGACGUACGACUACAUCAACCGCGUUGUCAUAACGCUUCCGCUUACGGUUUACGAUGGUACGUAGACGACACUCUCCCCUCUCGUUGCUAUGCAUCACCAUGAUCUUGCGUGUACAUAGGAAUUUUUUUGAAAUUACUACGUUCCCCAACAGUGGCAUCCGAGCCAGGUUUAUGCGUAGAUGUUAUAUGCACGAAUAGAACACAAGUGAGUUGUGGGCGAUACAAGUCAUAUUACUUACCAGCAUGUCAUACUUUGGUUCGGCGGUAUUGUUGGAUGAAGCGGCCCGGGCCGACAUUACGCGUACGCUUACGCGAGACUGGUUCUACUGACGUGCUUCGCACACAGGUGGCUGGCGGGUGUCCGUUUCUCCAACUUUAGUUGAAUCGAGUGUGGCUACGCCCGGUCCUUGUGAAGGUUAAAACAACACUAACUUGACGAAAUAUCGUUGUGGUUUUGAUGCGUAUGUAAGAACGGUUCUUGCUCAGCCCGUAGCAGCCACGUAAAACUUGCAACAAUAAAGUAGAGGACGUCUAACUUGUUUUUGCAGGGCAUGCUGUGAUGUGAUAUGGUCAAGACAUGAUGCUAAAUUUUAUUGUAUAAGAUGAUCAUGUUUUGUAACCGAGUUAUCGGCAACUGGCAGGAGCCAUAUGGUUGUCGCUUUAUUGUAUGAAAUGCAAUCGCCAUGUAAUUGCUUUACUUUAUCACUAAGCGGUAGCGAUAGUCGUAGAAGCAAUAGUUGAUGAGACGACAACGAUGCUACGAUGGAGAUCAAGGUGUCGCGCCGGUGACAAUGGUGAUCAUAACGGUGCUUUGGAGAUGGAGAUCAAAGGCACAAGAUGAUGAUGGCCAUAUCAUAUCACUUAUAUUGAUUGCAUGUGAUGUUUAUCCUUUAUGCAUCUUAUUCUGCUUUGUUUGACGGUAGCAUUAUAAGAUGAUCUCUCACUAAAUUUCAAGGUAAAAGUGUUCUCCAUGAGUAUGCACCGUUGCCAAAGUUCGUCGUGCCGAGACACCACGUGAUGAUCGGGUGUGAUAAGCUCAACGUUCAUCUACAAUGGGUGUAAGACAGUUUUGCACAUGCAGAAUACUCGGGUUAAACUUGACGAGCCUAGCAUAUGCAGAUAUGGCCUCGGAACACUGAGGCCGAAAGGUCGAGCGUGAAUCAUAUAGUAGAUAUGAUCAACAUAGUGAUGUUCACCAUUGAAAACUACUCCAUUUCACGUGAUGAUCGGUUGUGGUUUAGUUGAUAUGGAUCACGUGAUCACUUAGAUUAUUAGAGGGAUGUCUAUCUAAGUGGGAGUUCUUAAGUAAUAUGAUUAAUUGAACUUUAAUUUAUCAUGAACUUAGUCCUGGUAGUAUUAGCAAAUCUAUGUUGUAGAUCAAUAGCUCACGAUGUUGCUCCCCGUUUAUUUUGAUAUGUUCCUAGAGAAAAACUAUGUUGAAAGAUUUUAGUAGCAAUGAUGCGGACUUGGUCCGUGAUCUGAGGAUUAUCCUCAUUGAUGCACAGAAGAAUUAUGUCCUUGAUGCACCGCUAGGUGACGGACCUAUUGCAGGAGCAUAUGCAGACGUUAUGAAUGUUUGGCAAAGCUCGGCAUGAUGACUACUUGAUAGUUUAGUGCACCAUGCUUUACGGCUAAGAAUCGGGGCUUUAAAGACGUUUUGAACGCCACGGAGCAUAUUAGAUGUACCAAGAGUUGAAAUUAGCAUUUCAAACUCAUGCCCAUGUCGAAAGGUGUGAGACCUUUGACAAGUACUUUGCCUACAAGAUGGAGGAGAAUAGCUCAGCUAGUGAGCAUGUGCUCAGAAUGUCUGAGUACUACAAUCACUUGAAUCAAGUCGGAGUUAAUCUUCCAGAUAAGAUAGUGAUUGACAGAGUUCUCUAGUCACUAUCACCAAGUUACUAGAACUUCGUGAUGAACUAUAAUAUGCAAGGGAUAACGAAAACGAUUCCCAAGCUCUUCGUGAUGCUGAAAUAGACGAAGGUAGAAAUCAAGAAAAGUAUCAAGUGUUGAUGGUUGACAAGACCACUAGUUUCAAGAAAAGGGCAAAGGGAAGAAGGAACGGCAAGCAAGUUGCUGCUCCCGUGAAGAAGCCCAAAGCUAGACGCAAGUCUGAAACUGAGUGAUUCUACUGCAAAGGAAAUGGUCACUGGAAGUGGAACUGCCCUAGAUACUUGGCAGAUAAGAAGGAUGGCAAAGUAAACAAAGGUAUAUUGGAUAUACAUGUUAUUGAUGUGUACUUUACUAGUGUUUAUAGCAACUCCUCGGCAUUUGAUACUGAUUCAGUUGCUAAGAGUAGUAACUCGAAACGGGAGUUGCAGAAUGAACAGAAACUAGUUAAGGGCGAGGUGACGAUGUGUGUUGGAAGUAGUUCCAAGAUUGAUAUGAUCAUCAUCGCACACUCCCUAUACUUUCGGGAUUAGUGUUGAACCUAAAUAAGUGUUAUUUGGUGUUUGCGUUGAGCAUGAAUAUGAUUUGAUCAUGUUUAUUGCAAUACGGUUAUUCAUUUAAGUUAGAGAAUAAUUGUUGUUCUGUUUACAUGAAUAAAACCUUCUAUGGUCAUACACCCAAUGAAAAUGGUUUGUUGGGUCUCGAUCGUAGUGAUACACAUAUUCAUAAUAUUGAAGCCAAAAGAUGCAAAGUUAAUAAAGAUAGUGCAACUUAUUUGUGGCACUGUCGUUUAGGUCAUAUUGGUGUAAAGCGCAUGAAUAAACUCCAUGCUGAUGGGAUUUUGGAAUCACUUUAUUAUGAAUCACUUGAUGCUUGCGAACCAUGCCUUAUGGGCAAGAUGACUAAAACUUCGUUCUCCGGAACAAUGGAGCGAGCAACUGACUUAUUGGAAAUAAUACAUACUGAUGUAUGAAAUCCGAUGAGUGUUGAGGCUCGCGGCGGGUAUCGUUAUUUUCUGACCUUCACAGAUGAUUUGAGCAGAUAUGGGUAUAUAUACUUGAUGAAACAUAAGUCUGAAACAUUUGAAAAGUUCAUAUAAUUUCAAAGUGAAGUGGAAAAUCAUCGUAACAAGAAAAUAAAGUUUAUACGAUCUGAUCGCGGAGGGGAAUAUUUGAGUUACGAGUUUGGUCUUCAUUUGAAACAAUGCAGAAUAGUUUCGCAACUCACGCCACCUGUGUGAUGCCCGGAUAAUUAUGCUACAGUAAACCUACGCUAAUGAUGCCACGUCACCUCUGUUAGUGUUGAUAAUCUCGCGUUAGUUCAAAAACCAAUUCAAAUUCAAAAUUAAAUAAAAGGCAAACAACAAAAGUUUUCAAACUUUAAAACUAAAAUGUUCGGGUUGUGCCAAAUAAUGCGUAGGUAAUUAUGGUGGAGAACCACACUUUUAUAAAAAUGUUCAAAUAUUCAAAUGGUAAUAAAACAGUAGCAAAACUAUUAUUUAAAUACUUUAAAUACUCAACAAUUACAAAAUAUUUUAUUUAGGUGCCAAGUUAAUUGUGGCAGUGGACUAAUUAGUAAUACUAAUUUAGGUGCUCAUUUGGCAUUUUACAAAACUAAAAUAAAAUGUAACUAAAAUAAAACAGAAAAGAAACACACACAAAAAUGAAAAAAAAAAACCCGGCCAAUUGGGCUUUGGCCCACCAGGCCGCACCCACCGGGCCGCCAGGCCGGCCCACCCUGCCGCGGACUCCCCCCACUCCCCUUAUCCACUCACCCGNNNNNNNNNNNNNNNNNNNNNNNNNNNNNNNNNNNNNNNNNNNNNNNNNNNNNNNNNNNNNNNNNNNNNNNNNNNNNNNNNNNNNNNNNNNNNNNNNNNNNNNNNNNNNNNNNNNNNNNNNNNNNNNNNNNNNNNNNNNNNNNNNNNNNNNNNNNNNNNNNNNNNNNNNNNNNNNNNNNNNNNNNNNNNNNNNNNNNNNNNNNNNNNNNNNNNNNNNNNNNNNNNNNNNNNNNNNNNNNNNNNNNNNNNNNNNNNNNNNNNNNNNNNNNNNNNNNNNNNNNNNNNNNNNNNNNNNNNNNNNNNNNNNNNNNNNNNNNNNNNNNNNNNNNNNNNNNNNNNNNNNNNNNNNNNNNNNNNNNNNNNNNNNNNNNNNNNNNNNNNNNNNNNNNNNNNNNNNNNNNNNNNNNNNNNNNNNNNNNNNNNNNNNNNNNNNNNNNNNNNNNNNNNNNNNNNNNNNNNNNNNNNNNNNNNNNNNNNNNNNNNNNNNNNNNNNNNNNNNNNNNNNNNNNNNNNNNNNNNNNNNNNNNNNNNNNNNNNNNNNNNNNNNNNNNNNNNNNNNNNNNNNNNNNNNNNNNNNACGCCCUGCCUCGCUCCGGGGACGCGCUCGUCGCGCCCGCGACCUCCCGUGGCCGCGCCCGGAGUUCUUCUCCCCCUGCGCCUGCUCCAUUCCCUCCGCGCCCUGGCCGCACCCACCGGCGCCCAGCCGCGCGUGCCCGUCUCGCUCCACCGUGGCCGUGGUCGCCGACCGGGUUCGCCACCUCGUCGCCUCGGGUCCGCCCGAUGGGUGCCUCGCCUGCAACGGCGCCCGUUGCCCAGCGCCCGCUCGGGUGACACCCGCACCCGAGCGCCCGAACCCGUUAAGGCCCCUAGCCCAAUGACAGGGGGGCCCCGCCCCUAAAACGUUUAAAAAAAGAAUAAAAAAAUAAAAAAAUAUUAAUUAAUUAAUUAACUAAAUUAAUUAACUUAGUUAAUUGAGUUUGAUUAACUUAAUCAAUUAACUAAACUAAUUAAUCAUGAUUAGUUAGUCUAGUGUAUGACAUGCGGGACCCACACAUAGUUGACCCAGUCAACUGCACAGUUGACUGCUGACGUCAGCAUGAUGACAUGCUGACGUCAUCUUUUACUAUUCUGGAUAAUGUUGAUUAAAUUAAUUAAAUAAAUCCUAAAAAUGAUUUAAAUCUUUAAAAAUUAAUAUAAAAUAAUCCGUAGCUCGGAUGAAAAAACUUUGUACAUGAAAGUUGCUCAGAACGACGAGACGAAUCCGAAUACGUAGUUCGUUCGUCCGCCACGCGUCCCUAGCAUAGUGAACCUGCAACAUUUCACCUCCGGUUCAUCUGUCCGAAAACGUGAAACACCGGGGAUAUUUUCCCGGAUGUUUCCCCCCUUCGCCGGUAUCACUUACUACCGCGUUAGGGCAUACCUAGCACCGCGUUUUGCCUCCUUAUGUUUUGUGAUGCUUUGUUUGCUCCGUAUUUACUGUUUUUCCCCCUCUCCUUCUCCGGUAGACUACGAGACCGACGCUGCUGCUACCCAGUUCGGCUACGGAGUUGACGGCCCCUCCUUCUUGCCAGAGCAACCAGGCAAGCCCCCCCUUGAUCACCAGAUAUCGCCUAUUCUUCUCUAUACUGUUUGCAUUAGAGUAGUGUAGCAUGUUACUGCUUCCCGUUAAUCCUAUCCUAAUGCAUAGCCUGUCAUUGUUGCUACAGUUGUUACCCUUACCUGCUAUCCUACUGCUUAGAAUAGGAUGCUAGUUUAUUCCAUCAGUGGCCCUACACUCUUGUCCGUCUGCCAUGCUAUACUACUGGGCCGUGAUCACUUUGGGAGGUGAUCACGGGUAUAUACUAUAUACAUUAUAUACAUGACACAUGUGGUGACUAAAGUCGGGUCGGCUCGAGGAGUACCCGCAAGUUAUUCUGAUGAGGGGGCUGAAAGGACAGGUGGCUCCACCCCGGUAGAGGUGGGCCUGGGUUCCUGACGGCCCCCGACUGUUACUUUGUGGCGGAGCGACAGGGCAGGUUGAGACCACCUAGGAGAGAGGUGGGCCUGGCCCUGGUCGGUGUUCGCAGAUACUUAACACGCUUAACGAGUUCUGGGUAUUUGAUCUGAGUCUGGCCAUUUGGUCUAUACGCACUAACCAUCUACGCGGGAGUAGUUAUGGGUAUCCCGCGUCGUGGUAUCAGCCGAAGCUCUUUUUGACGUCAUCGACUGAGUGGUGCGCGCCGCAUUGGACCGUAAGCUCGCGCUUGUAUUAAGGGGGCUAGGUCUGCUUCCGGCCGCGUACGCAACGUGCAGGUGUGCAUAGGGCGAUGGGCCCAGACCCCUGCGUGCAUAGGGUUUAGACCGGCGUGCUGACCUCUCUGUUGAGCCUAGGUGGGGCUGCGACGUGUUGAUCUUCCGAGGCCGGGCAUGACCCAGAAAAGUGUGUCCGGCCAAAUGGGAUCGAGCGUGUUGGGUUAUGUGGUGCACCCCUGCAGGGAAGUUUAUCUAUUCGAAUAGCCGUGUCCCUCGGUAAAAGGACGACCCGGAGUUGUACCUUGACCUUAUGACAACUAGAACCGGAUACUGAAUAAAAUACACCCUUCCAAGUGCCAGAUACAACCCGGUGAUCGCUCUCUAACAGGGCGAUGAGGAGGGGAUCGCCGGGUAGGAUUAUGCUAUGCGAUGCUACUUGGAGGACUUCAAACUACUCUCUUCUACAUGCUGCAAGAUGGGGAUGGCCAGAAGCGUAGUCUUCGACAGGAUUAGCUAUCCCCCUCUUAUUUUGGCAUUCUGCAGUUCAGUCCACUGAUAUGCCCUUUACACAUAUACCCAUGCAUAUGUAGUGUAGCUCCUUGCUUGCGGGUACUUUGGAUGAGUACUCACGGUUGCCUUUCUCCCUCUUUUCCCCCCUUUCCUUUCUACUUGGUUGUCGCAACCAGAUGCUGGAGUCCAGGAGCCAGACGCCACUGUCGACGACGACUCCUACGACACUGGAGGUGCCUACUACUACGUGCAUCCCGCUGACGACGACCAGGAGUAGUUAGGAGGAUCCCAGGCAGGAGGCCUGCGCCUCAUUCGGUCUGUAUCCCAGUUUGUGCUAGCCUUCUUAAGGCAAACUUGUUUAACUUAUGUCUGUACUCAGAUAUUGUUGCUUCCGCUGACUCGUCUGUGAUCGAGCACUUGUAUUCGAGCCCUCGAGGCCCCUGGCUUGUAUUAUGAUGCUUGUAUGACUUAUUUAUGUUGUAGAGUUGUGUUGUGAUAUCUUCCCGUGAGUCCCUGAUCUUGAUCGUACACAUUUGCAUGCAUGAUUAGUGUACGGUCAAAUCGGGGGCGUCACAACCUGGAACACCACAGCGUAAUGGAGUGUCCGAACAUUGUAACCGUACUUUAUUAGAUAUGGUGCAAUCUAUGAUGUCUCUUACCGAUUUACCACUAUCAUUUUGUGGUUAUGCAUUAGAGACAGCUGCAUUCACGUUAAAUAGGGCACCAUCUAAAUCCGUUGAGACGACACCAUAUGAACUGUGGUUUGGCAAGAAACCAGAGUUGUCGUUUCUUAAAGUUUGGGGUUGCGAUGCUUAUGUGAAAAGGUUUCAUCUUUAUAAGCUCGAACCCAAAUCGGAGAAAUGUGUGUUCAUAGGAUACCUAAAGGAGACUGUUGGAUACACCUUCUAUCACAGGUCCGAAGGCAAGACAUUCGUUAUUAAGAAUGGAUCCUUUCUAGAGAAGGAGUUUCUCUCGAAAGAAGUGAGUGGGAGGAAAGUAGAACUUGAUGAGGUAAUUGUACCUGCUCUCUUAUUGGAAAGUAGUUCAUCACAGAAAUCUGUUCAUGUGACUCCUACACCAAUUAGUGAGGAAGCUAAUGAUGAUGAUCAUAUAACUUCAGAUCAAGGUACUACCGAACCUCGUAGGUCAACCAGAGUAAGAUCCGCACCAGAGUGGUACGGUAAUCCUGUUCUGGAGGUCAUGUUACUUGACCAUGACGAACCUACGAACUAUGAGAAAGCGAUGAUGAGCCCAGAUUCCGCAAAAUGGCUUGAGGCCAUGAAAUCUGAGAUGGGAUCCAUGUAUGAGAACAAAGUGUGGACUUUGGUUGACUUCCCCGAUGAUCGGCAAGCCAUAGAAAAUAAAUGGAUCUUCAAGAAGAAGACUGACGCUGACGGUAAUGUUACUGUCUACAAAGCUCGACUUGUUGCGAAAGGUUUUCAACAAGUUCAAGGGGUUGACUACGAUGAGACUUUCUCACCCGUAGCUAUGCUUAAGUCUGUCCGAAUCAUGUUAGAAGUUGCCGCAUUCUAUGAUUAUGAAAUUUGGCAAAUGGAUGUCAAAACUGCAUUCAUGAAUGGAUUUCUAGAAGAAGAGUUGUAUAUGAUGCAACCAGAAGGUUUUGUCGAUCUUAAAGGUGCUACCAAAAUGUGCAAGCUCCAGCAAUCCAUCUAUGGACUGGUGCAAGCAUCUCGGAGUUGGAAUAUACGCUUUGAUGAGUUGAUCAAAGCAUAUAGUUUUAUACAGGCUUGCGGUGAAGCCUGUAUUUACAAGAAAGUGAGUGGGAGCACUACACCAUUUCUGAUAAGUAUAUGUAAAUGACAUAUUGUUAAUCGAAAAUAAUGUAGAAUUUUCUGGAAAGCAUAAAGGAGUAUUUGAAAGGAGUUUUUCAAAGAAAUACCUCGGUGAAGCUGCUUACAUAUUGAGCAUCAAGAUCUAUAGAGAUAGAUCAAGACGCUUGAUAAGUUUUUUCAAUGAGUACAUACCUUGACAAGUUUUUGAAGUAGUUAAAGAAAGAGUUCUUGCCUGUGUUGCAAGGUGUGAAGUUGAGUAAGACUCAAAGCCCGACCACGACAGAAGAUAGAAAGAGAAUGAAAGUCAUUCCCUAUGCCUCAACCAUAGGUUCUAUAAAGUAUGUCAUGUUGUGUACCAGAUCUAUUGUAUACCCUACACUGAGUUUAGCAAGGGAGUACAAUAGUGAUCUAGGAGUAGAUCACUGGAUAGCGGUCAAAAUUAUCCUUAGUGGAAUAAGGAUAUGUUUCUCGAUUAUGGAGGUGACAAAAGGUUCGUCGUAAAGGGUUACGUCGAUGCAAGUUUUGAUGUUGAUCCAGAUGACUCUAAGUCUCAAUCUGGAUGCAUAUUGAAAGUGGGAGCAAUUAGCUAGAGUAGCUCCGUGCAGAGCAUUGUUGACAUAGAAAUUUGCAAAAUACAUACGGAUCUGAAUGUGGCAGACCCGUUGACUAAACUUCUCUCACAAGCAAAACAUGAUCACACCUUAGUACUCUUUGGGUGUUAAUCAUAUGGCGAUGUGAACUAGAUUACUGACUCUAGUAAACCCUUUGAGUGUUGGCCACAUGGCGAUGUGAACUAUGGGUGUUAAUCACAUGGUGAUGUGAACUAUUGGUAUUAAAUCACAUGACGAUGUGAACCAGAUUAUUGACUCUAGUGCAAGUGGGAGACUGAAGGAAAUAUGCCCUAGAGGCAAUAAUAAAGUUAUUAUUUAUUUCCUUAUUUCAUGGUAAAUGUUUAUUAUUCAUGUUAGAAUUGUAUUAACCGGAAAUAUAAUACAUGUGUGAAUACAUAGACAAACAUAGUGUCACUAGUAUGCCUCUACUUGACUAGCUCGUUGAUCAAAGAUGGUUGAGUUUCCUAGCCAUAGACAUGACUUGUCAUUUGAUUAACGGGAUCGCAUCAUUAGGAAUGAUGUGAUUGACUUGACCCAUUUCGUUAGCUUAGCACUCGAUCGUUUAGUAUGUUGCUAUUGCUUUCUUCAUGACUUAUACAUGUUCCUAUGACUAUGAGAUUAUGCAACUCCCGUUUACCGGAGGAACACUUUGUGUGCUACCAAACGUCACAACGUAACUGGGUGAUUAUAAAGGUGCUCUACAGGUGUCUUCGAUGGUGUUCGUUGAGUUGGCAUAGAUCGAGAAUAGGAUUUGUCACUCCGAUCGUCGGAGAGGUAUCUCUGGGCUCUCUCGGUAAUGCACAUCACUAUAAGCCUUGCAAGCAAUGUGACUAAUGAGAUAGUUGCGGGAUGAUGCAUUACGGAACGAGUAAAGAGACUUGCCGGUAACGAGAUUGAGCUAGGUAUUGAGAUACCGACGAUCGAAUCUCGGGCAAAUAACAUACCGAUGACAAAGGGAACAAUGUAUGUUGUUAUGCGAUUUGACCGAUAAAGAUCUUCGUAGAAUAUGUAGGAACCAAUAUGAGCAUCCAGGUUCCGCUAUUGGUUAUUGACCGGAGACGUGUCUCGGUCAUGUCUACAUAGUUCUCGAACCCGUAGGGUCCGCACGCUUAACGUUCGGUGACGAUCAGUAUUAUGAGUUUAUGUGUUUUGAUGUACCGAAGGUAGUUCGGAGUCCCACAUGACAUCGGGGACAUGACGAGGAGUCUCGAAAUGGUCGAGACGUAAAGAUCGAUAUAUUGGACCACUAUAUUCGGACAUCGGAAAGGUUCCGAGUGGUUCGGGUAUUUAUCGGAGUACCGGAGAGUUACGGGAAUUCGUCGGGGAGUAUAUGGGCCUUAUUGAGAUCUAGGGGAAAGAGAGAAGGGAGGUUGCGCGUCCCCCCAAGGCCUAGUCCGAAUUGGACUAGGGGGAGGGGCGGCGCCCCCUCCUUCCUUCUCUUCUCUUUUCCCUUUCCUUCUCUCCUACUCCUACUACAUGGAAGGGGGGGAAUCCUACUACCGGUGGGAAUAGGACUCCUCCAGGGCGCACCAUAGCUAGGCCGGCCCUCCCCCCUCCUCCACUCCUUUAUAUACGUGGUCAGGGGGCACCCCAUAGACACACAAGUUGAUCAUUGAUCUCUCUUAGCCGUUUGCAGUGUCCCCCUCCACCAUAAUCCACUUCGGUCGUAUCGUAGUGGUGCUUAGGCGAAGCCCUGCGUCGGUAGCUUCAUCAACACCGUCACCACGCCGUCGUGCUGACGAAGCUCUUCCUCGAAGCUCUACUGGAUCAUGAGUUCGCGGAACGUCACCGAGCUGAACGUGUGCUGAACACGGAGGUGUCGUACGUUCGGUACUGAGGAUCGGUCGAUCGUGAAGACGUACGGCUACAUCAACCACGUUGUCAUAACGCUUCCGCUUACGGUCUACGAGGGUACGUAGAUGACACUCUCCCCUCUCGUUGCUAUGCAUCACCAUGAUCUUGCGUGUACGUAGGAAUUUUUUUGAAAUUACUACGUUCCCCAACAGUGUCGCCCUGGCAUGAACGCUGACUGGGUCGGUCUCACCACUUUCGUGAAUAUUUUGAAACUUACAUUUAGAAGACAAGUUGGUCGAAACUGCUGAAUCUUAAUAGCAUCUUCCUUCUUAGGAAGAAGGGUAAUAAUACCAAAAUUUAACUUAUACAAAGCUAAAUUCUCAUUAUAUAAUUCAGCAAAUAUAGGCAAAAAGUCGCCUUUUAUGACCGUCCAGAACAUCUGAUAGAACUCCGCCGGGAACCCAUCUGGUCCCAUCCGCUGAAAGAGAAAAAGAAAAAAUUAGACCAAUUCAUUAUGUUGACCUGAAGGACAAAGAAAGUAACACCCCAGAUCUACUGUCCAGACUCACAUACCUCAGUGACAGGACAAGAUAUGCCAAGAUGGACGACAGUGGGGCUGAGGAACCCCACUUCCCUCUACUCCCGCCUACGCCUGCAUGUGUAAGUAGCUUGGGAGCUUCGAACACUGUUUUUUUCACCUGGAUUUUCAUUAAAAAAAGAGGCCAAUAUACCUCGAGAGGUACACACACAGAGAGAGAGGGUGCAACACUGUUUUUUCUCUCUUCUGCAUCAACUGUAUAGUCUGUCUAACUAUGGGCGUGUUCGGAUGCUCUCCGCUCCCGGAGUUGGUGGAGCGACGCCGAACAGGUAAACUCCGUGGAGUAGAAAACGGGGAGUGGAGCUGGUUACAGGCGAAAAAUGCGGAGCUACUAUUUCUGAGGUCUCAGAUCUUUAAAUCAAGGAGUUGAUAAGAUUUACGAAGAAACUGCCACCGCCAAGUGAAAACGGUUCGCGACCCACGCCCAGCUCGCUCGUUCCUGUUUCUCUGCCGAGCUCCACGUGAAUAGGGAGCAGAGUUGCUUGCCGAACAUCUCGUACUAGCGCUAUUUUCUACACGGAGUGGCAUUUCUGGUGGAGAAGCGGGAGUUGAGGAUUCAGAGGAGCUGGAGCAUCUCCGCCCUAUAUAUGAGAUUUGUGAUUUUCAGAAGUGUCAUUUUAUAACGGAGGCUUCCACAUAUUUUCGUCUUGGUUUGUGCACAGCCAAGAAAAACUUCUUACAUAUAAAUUUAGCCCAAAAGAUAGCAGUAAACCAAUCCAGAUAUGUCGCGAACAUUUUCUAAUUUCCUAAUUGUUUUUGAAUUUCUGAAUUAAAUCUGAAAAUGGGGAGAAUUUUUGAAAUUCUAAAUAGUUUUCGAAAAGCAAGAACUAUUUUUGAAAUUUCCAAAAAAAUCAAAAACACAAUUAUUUUUAAUUUGUGAACAAAAUUUGAAAACAGAAACAUGUUUUGAAUUUUUCAAACAUUUGUUAACAUUUUAAACAAUAUUGGAAUGCCAAAAAAUUUAAUUUUUUAAAAGAAACUUGAAAAGGAAAAGAAGUAAAAAAAAGGAAAAGGAAAAAAACCAUAAAAACCAGGUACAAUUAGAAAACAGUUUAGGAACCUUCUAGACGGUUUCCCAAAGCGGUCAGGUUGGGAGCACCUAUUGGACGCUCUUUGCAUCCAACAGCGCGCUGCCGCACAGACAGACCCACAACUGGGCCGGCCCACGAACAGGAAACAAACGAGAGCGCGACAUAAAAAAAACAGGAAACGAACAUGGCGCUGACAGGUGUCGAACUUGCAACUUUUGAUUCACAACGUUCGCAACCAGCCACUAGAACAUACAGCUGUUUCUGCUAUAACUGAAGCGCGAUUUGUUUCUUAAUCUCACUAAAGUGGCACCUUAAAAACAAUCUUCACAAAAUUUCGAACGUUUCUUGAAAAUUUACGAAAACAACUAAAUGUCAAAUUUUGUUCUAAAAAUGAUAAUAUUUUUGUAAUUCCAAACAAUUUUUUAUUCUGCAUAUUUUUUGAAAAUCGUGAAAACCUGAACAUUUUCUAUUUGUGAAUUUUUUCAAAAAAAGAAAACAAUUUUCGAAAAUCUAAACAAAAUUAGAAAACACGAACAUAUUUUUAAAUCCGCAAACAUUUUUUUAAUUCACAAACAUAUUUUAUAUCAAUGAACAGAUUUUUAUCUAUGAACAAUUUUAGAAAAUGAGAAUAUUUUCAUUGGGAAACACAAACAAGUUUCGAAGUUCUAAACAAAAUUAAAAAAUGAGAACAAAAAUUAACCUCUGGAAAGAUUUUUUUAAAAUACAAACAAAUUUUGAAACACUGAAAUUUUUGAAAACAUGAAUAAUUUUUGAAAUUCUGAAUAUUUAUUGAAAUUGUGAACAAAAUUUGAAACUCUGGACAUUUUAUAAAAACCUGAAGAAAAUUUAGGAAAACAAUAAAAUGACAAAUUUUGUACCGAAAACGAUAAUAUUUUCAUAAUUCCAACCAAUUUUGUACUAUGUAUAUUUUUUGAAAAUCGUGAAAUCCCAAAAAGUAUUUGAUUUGUGAUUUUUUCAGAAAAAGGAAAUAGUUUUCGAAAUUCCACAAAAUUAGAAAACACGAACAUAUUUUGAAAUCUGCGAACAUUUUAAAUUUCGCAUACAUCUUUUAUAUCUAUGAACAACUUUUGAUCUAUGAACAAUUUUAGUAAACGAGAACAUUUUUAUUGGAAAACACAAUCAAACUUUGAAAAAUAAAACAAGUUUCGAAGUUCUAAACAAAAUUUAAAAAAUGAGAACAAAAAUUAACCACCGGAAUUUUUUUAGAAAAUUUAAACAAAUUUUGAAACACUGAAUUUUUUGAAAACAUGAAUAAUUUUUUUAAUUCAGAACAUUUAUUGAAAUUGUGAACAAAAUUUGAAACUCUGGACAUUUUAUGAAAACCUGAAGAAAAUUUAGGAAAACAAUAAAAUGCCAAAUUUUGUUCCGAAAACGAUAAUAUUUUUGUAAUUCCAACCAUUUUUGUACUCCGCAUAUUUUUUGAAAAUCGUGAAAUCCCAAAAAGUAUUUGAUUUGCGAUUUUUUUCCAAAAAAAGGAAACAAUUUUCGAAAUUCCAAACAAAAUUAGAAAACAUGAACAUAUUUUGAAAUCUGCAAACAUUUUUAAUUUCGCAAACAUCUUUUAUAUCUAUGAACAACUUUUGAUCUAUGAACAAUUUUAGUAAAUGAGAACAUUUUUAUUGGAAAACACAAACAAACUUUGAAAAAUUAGAUCAAAUUUUGAAAUUCUAAACAAAUGUCUAAAAAUGAGAACAAAAAAUAACAUUCCGAACAAUUUUUCAGAAACACAAACAAAUUUUGAAACACUAAUUUUUUUGAAAACAUGAACAAUUGUUGAAAUUUAGAACAUUUUUUUACAUUUGAACGAAAUUUGAAACUCUGAACAUUUUAUGAAAACAUUGAGAAUACAUGAUGAUUUUAUGAAAACAUGAAGAAUACAUGAUGAUUUUAUGAAAACAUGAAGAAUACAUGAACAUUUUUUGAAAUGCAAGAAACUUUUUAAUACACUAAAAUAUUUUGAAUAUGUGAACAUUUUUUUUGGUAACACAGACAAUCUUGUAAAAAAUAGAACAUAUUUUGAAAUUACCACACUUUUUUUGAAUUUGUGAACUAAAUUGCGAAAUGGGAAUAUUUAUUAAAAUUAAGAAACAUAUUUUGGAUUUGUGAACAAAAGUUUGAAACGAGAACAUAUUUUGAAAUUUAGUAACAUUUUCGGAUUUUAUGAACCAAUUGUUUCAUAAUGUUAACAUUUUCUGAAGUCCUAAAUUUUUUAUGGAUUUGUGAAUUUUUUUUAUAUCCCAACUUUGUUGGAAAAGAAAAAAACGAAAAAAAAGACAGAAAAAGAAAGAAAGAAACAGAAGCAGAAAAACGAAAAAAGAAAAAACUGUACAAGGAACCUUCUAAACGUUUCCCAAAACUAGAAAAAACGGCUGGGAAUCUUCUAGAACUUUCACAAAAUCGGAACUCCCAAGCGAUUGAAACAGUGGGAGAUGGGCCCGCCCAUGUGGUUGCGCACCUGUGCGAUUACCCGACACUGACGCAGAGAGCGUCCAAUAGGGUUUUGGGGGUCCCUAGCUGACGCUCGCGAGCGUCAAUCUGACGUACUUUCGCGCAGGGUGCGGUCUUAACGGGCCAGCCCAUUCCGUGGCGUUCAUAUCGAGUCGCUACUUAAAAUCCAUAAAAAUGGACGCAUUCUUGAGGAAUCGAACUCGCCACCACACGAUACAAAAUACCUGUUCCUUACCAGUUGAGCUUGCAAGUUUCAAUGUCUUUUAGACUGCGCGCGUAUUUAAGAACUAGAUACAGAGGUAGAUAAAAAAAGCCACUAAAAAAAGGUAGAUAAAAGAAAGAUCGAAUUUUGAACCAUUUACUAUUUUCAAAUAUACAUUUAAUAUACUUUGAUAUACGAUGACCAAUAUUUAAAUACACAUUGAACAUAUUUUUAUAUAUGCUGAACAAUAUAUAUAUUGAACUUUUUUAGAUAUAUACACUGAACAAUUUUUCACACAAUGAUCAUUUUUUCAAUAUACAUUGAACAAUAUUUAAAUACACAUUGAACAAUUUUUGUGAUAUACGCUGAACAAUUUUUGCAUUGUGCACAAAUUUCGAAAAAGUGAAAAGAAUUUGAUAACUGUGAACAAUUUCCGAAAUCAUGAACAAAAAUUAGAAUAUCCAAUAGUUUUUGAAAACAAAGGUUAAAAAAUGAAAAAAGGUAGAAUAAAGUGGGAAAACAAAGAAAUAGGAGCAGAAACUAAAGAGGAAAAAGGAAAAAAAAUACAGGAAAGAGAAAAAAAGGAAAAUGGCAAAAGAAAAAAAAAGGAAAAACCGAUUGAGGGAACCUUCCAGAAGGUUCCCAAAACCGGUUUGCCUCGCAGUGCUAUUAGCGCUCGCAGUGGGCCGGCCGUUUCGCGGUGCUCGCUCGCCUGCUUCAGCGGAAUUGCAGCAGUUCGACGGACGCGCGCGAGAGCUCCUGUUCGGCGCCUUAAGCGCCCGAACAGGUAGCUGGCGCCCGCGCGCCCCACCGCAUGGGCCGGCCCAGCAAGCUGCAAAAAAGCAAUUCGUGCAGGAAAGGAAAAAGCGUGAGAACCGAGAUUCGAACUGCAACCACCAAUGUGAAUGCCUACAAGCGUUACCGCUGGGACACCCUCAGUUAGUUGAUUACUAGUGGAACAAAAUCUCAUUUGGCCACUCAUUCAGUACAAACCGUGAAUUUGAAUAAGUAUAAUAUAUACAAGUAUUAUAUAUCCACUAUACUAAUUUGAAUAAAGAAAACAUAAAUUUGAAAAGGCAUUCAUAAAAACUGUGAAUUGAAAGAAAUCAAAUAUUUUCAAAAAGGUUUGUACCAAUGGGAAAAAAUUCGCAAAAAGGAAAAAUUUCAUGAAUUUUAAAAAAGUUCAUCAAAUUUGAAAAAAAGCUCAUUGAAUCUGAUUAAAGUUCAUCAAAAAUUUUAAAAGGUUCAUCAAAUUGGAAAAAAAGUUCAUCCAAUCUGAAAAAAAGUUCAUCGGAUUUUGAAAAAAGUUGAUCGAAUCUGAAAAAAGUUCAUCGUAUCUGAAAAAAGUUCACAAAAUUAUAAAAAGGUUCAUUAUUUUUGAAAAAAGUGCAUAAAUUCUGAAAAAGGUUCACAAAAAAUUGAAGAAAGUUCAUCGAUUUUGAAAAAAAGUUCACUAAUUUUGAAAAAAAAUUCAUCAAUUUUGAAAAGGUUCACGAAUUUAAGAAAAGAAAAAAGAAAAAUGAAAAAGGAAAGGAACGAAAGUAGAAAUAAAAUGAAAGCGAGAAGUUAUCAAACAAGGUCGUUGUGGCCGCCUGGUUAGUCGACUUACUCGAGUAAGUCACCACGCCCGUGUUUUUGCAGAAAUUGCAGUUUUAACACACACAAAAAAUCUAUAACGGGCUGGCCCAGGUCGGAGUUGGGGGUGUGCGCCGGUUUGCGAUUAACACAGUAACGGGCGCAGCGGGCGCCAAAUAGGAAACAGCCACGCGCGCGUCAAAUAGGGUUCGCCUAGGGUUUUCCCAGGAACCUUUCCUGAACCGAGAUCGGUCGAACACUUUACGGGCCGGCCCAGAACGCUCGCUCGGUGGUCUCGAAGCGUCGAUAAGUCGAUAAAAAGAGCGCGAAUGCUAUUUGUUGCAGUAAGCAAGCCGGUAACUCUCUCGCUGCGACCUUGACCAGUAACUGGCCGGCCCACUUGCGCACCCUUCGAAGGAAAAUACCGAAAAAAAAGGGAGUAGCACGGGGGGAGGGGGUGUUCGAACCGUGGCUGCUAAAACAAUUUUCACCACGGCUAGCCACCUGCUACAGUCGGGUUUGUGAACACAUAAUAGUGCGGGACGUAGUUGAGGCGAACUUAGCCCGAGUUUCAUUGGUUUUUUCUUUUUUUUUGUUUUUUGACAGGGUUUUCUUUGUUUUUGUUUUUGUUCCUUUUUUAUUAUUCAUUUUUUUCCUUUUUCUUCUCCACUUUUUUGGUUUUAUUUUUCUUCUCCNNNNNNNNNNNNNNNNNNNNNNNNNNNNNNNNNNNNNNNNNNNNNNNNNNNNNNNNNNNNNNNNNNNNNNNNNNNNNNNNNNNNNNNNNNNNNNNNNNNNNNNNNNNNNNNNNNNNNNNNNNNNNNNNNNNNNNNNNNNNNNNNNNNNNNNNNNNNNNNNNNNNNNNNNNNNNNNNNNNNNNNNNNNNNNNNNNNNNNNNNNNNNNNNNNNNNNNNNNNNNNNNNNNNNNNNNNNNNNNNNNNNNNNNNNNNNNNNNNUUUUUUCACUCUACAUUUUUGUAUAUGUCAAAAAAAAUUAAUAAGUGAUCAAUAUUUUUUGUAUACACGUUCAACAUUGUCCAAAUUUCAAAUACUUGUUCAACAUUUUUUCGAAUACAUGUUCAUCAUAUUUCAAAUACUCAUUCAACAUUGUUUUAAUACUUAUUCAAAAAAAUUCAACUUCUUGUUCAACAUUUUUAAUGCUUAUUCAACAUUAUAAAAUCCUUGUUCAAAAUUUUUCAAAUACUCAUUCAACAUUUUUAAUACUUAUUCAACAUUUGAAAAUACUUGUUCAACAUUUUUCAAAUACUCGUUCUACAUUUUUUUUAAUACUUAUUCAACAUUUGUCAAAUACUUGUUCAACAUCUUUAAUACUUUAUUCAACACUUUCAAAUACUUUCUUAACGUUUUUAAUACCUAUUCAAUUUUUCAAAUACUUGUUCAACAAUUUUUUUAAUAUUUUUUAGAAAUUGUUUUGUGUGUGUGUGUGUGUGUGUGUGUCUAUAUAUAUAAGUACAAAAAUAAAGCAAAAAACGAGAACACAGAAAAAAAACAUAAAAACAGGCCUUUGCAUCCCGCGCAGCUGGGCCUUCCCAUCUGGGCUCCCCCCGACGCGAGCCGCCAGGUGUAAGGCGAUAAAUAGGGGUUCCCCGCAAAGAGCGGCGAAUAGGAAAUUUCGCAGUAAUGCUACACUCACGGUGGGAUUUUUACGGACUUCACGGGGUAGCAAACAUGGGGGAUUANNNNNNNNNNNNNNNNNNNNNNNNNNNNNNNNNNNNNNNNNNNNNNNNNNNNNNNNNNNNNNNNNNNNNNNNNNNNNNNNNNNNNNNNNNNNNNNNNNNNNNNNNNNNNNNNNGAUUAGAUGGAACAACCCCGUAUUAGUCCCGUAAAAGCCCGUGAGUCUACCAUUUUCGGAAAUUUCGUAUAUCAUGGGGAUGCCUUUUAGGUUUCCGUGGCACUUUAUGGAUAGUGGGCUGGCCCAAGUACGUAAGUGAAAAGGCCACUACAGCUUUUAAAUGCAAAUGAUCCAUCUCUCUCUCUCUCUCUAAAGAAAUUGAAAGAAAUCCCAAUCAAUUAUGAAAAAAAUCGCAACUUUCCCAAUAAAAAAACUUACUGCGAUCAUUGUAAAAAAUGUGUACUGGAAAUAAUCUGUACUCGCCAAAGUAAUAAGAAUGUACAUAUGCACGUCGAUGCUAUUUCCUUGCUUCUACUUGUUUUCAGCAUCUUCCAGAAAUUAAAGUUUCUUCUUUUUCAGUACCCUAAUUCUUCCAUAUAUUUGCAAAAGGAAGCGAAAUAUAGCAGCAACGUGCAUAAACAUGCAGCAUCCUAAUAUCUAUAUAAAAUAAAAUGUAAGAUGACUAAGAAUUACACACAAGGUGUGGCCGCUCUUCCUAUUUUCACACGUUUUUUUUGCUAGCCUUUCUAUUUUCACAUGUCAUUUGCACUGCCCUAAAUUCGCAUACACACAAACAAAAGAGUUGCACUAUCCCUGUUUUCUUGUGGGUACUCAGUUAUUACACUACCCCACAAGUUGCUCAAAAAACAGCUAUUAAACUACCCUACAAAAGCAGGUAGUCACUUAACACUGCCCUACAAAUAUAUGUUCGCUUAGCCUGGAAGCAAGAAAGAUAUAUGCGUGUCACUGCAAGUAUAUAACAAGCCCCCCUCCCUCCUCUACAUCCAUCCAUCGUAAAAUCCAUUUUGAAGGUCUUAAUCUUUCACAUGUUUUUUUUUUGCUAGCCUUUCUAUUUUCACAUGUCAUUUGCACUGCCCUAAAUUCACGCACACACAAACAAAAGAGUUGCACUAUCCCUGUUUUCUUGUGGGUACUCAGUUAUUACACUACCCUAAAAGUUGCUAAAAAUAGUUAUUACACUACCCUACAAAAGCAGGUAGUCACUUACACCACCCUACAAAAAUCUGCUCGCUUAGCCUGGAAGCAAGAAAGAUAUACGUGUGUUACUGCGAGUAUAUAACAAGCCCCCCUCCCUCCUCUACACUCAUCCAUCAUACAAUCCACCUUGAAGGUCUUAAUCUAUCAUACAACCCUCUUAGACUCUUAGUCUCUCACAAGAAACUAAAUGGAUCGGUCCAUGAAGGUCUUUGUGGUCGUCUUCCUGCUUCUUGUGGCCACAGGUAUAUAUGCUGUACUAUUUAAGAUAACUGUAAAUUCUGCUAUAGUUUAUGAGUAUACGUGAGAUGACUGAUUUGCUCUAUCAAUUUGCCCGUGUAGGGUUCCAGGGAGCAGUGCAGGUAGCUUUGGCGAGGGAUUGUAGGUCACAGAGCAAAACGUUUGUGGGGCUGUGCGUGAGCGACACCAACUGUGCAAGUGUUUGCCUGACCGAGCAUUUCCCCGGAGGCAAGUGCGACGGCUAUCGGCGAUGUUUCUGCACCAAGGACUGCUAGAUGGCCUUGUUUUCUUCUCGCUUACAUGCUUCCGUGUAAUAAUAACUGAAUAAUACUAGAUCUGAAUCUAUGCAUGUAUGAUGCAUAUGUGAGUGCUACUCCUAGAAGUACAUGCACAUCAUAUAAUCCGAACAAAGUUUCAGCGGGGAACCAGUUCAAGUUGAAUAAUCCAACACUCCGGAACUGGAGCUGCUACCGUUUUCAGGGUUGAAACGAAUAUAAGCUUAAAAACUGGAAAAUGAGACAUGAAGUUUGACUAGGAGGGAAGCAAUUUUUGUAAGAAAGAAAAGUGAAGCGUGGAAGUAGACCUCGCACCACACCUGAAGAUUUG